GUCUUGUUGGGUGCUUGGUGGUAGGCAUCAUCAUAAUCAUCAAAAUCCUCAUCAUCCAUAAAAUCAUCAUCUUCAUCAUAAUCCCACUCUUCAUCAGUGAAUUCCUCAUCCUCAGGCAGAAUGAAUUUCCCUCCUCCUUUCUGGUUCAGGAUCGGACCCGGGUCCUUGGAGGGCAUCUUGAGGUCCUUGAAUUGGGGCAGCUUGAGAUCUUGCAACGCUUUCAUCUGCUGGAGCUGCUGAAGCUGCUGCUGGUUCGGGACGUUCUUACCAUUUUUGGCAUUACCCCCGUUCUUGCCACCAUUUUUACCACCACCGCCACCUUGGCUUUGAUUAUUUCCUCCUCCGCCUUUUUUCCCACCGUUCCCAUUUUUGCCAUCAUUGUUCUGAAUAGGCGCACCUCCACCACCGCCACCUUUCUUGCCAUUAUUACCAGCACUACCUCCAACAUUUCCCCCACCCUUUUGAGCAUUCAAGAGCUGCUGGGCAUGAUUCCCAUUCAUCAUCUCAUUCAGCAUCAUCAUGUUGGGCAUCUGGCCAUUGCCCAUCAUUGGCUUCGUCUUGUUGGGUGCUUGGUGGUGGGCAUCAUCAUAGACAUCAUCAAACUCCUCAUCAUCCAUAGAAUCAUCAUCUUCAUCAUUGACUUCAUCAGACUCCUCAUCAUCCUUAGAAUCAUCAUCUUCAUCAUUGUCAUCAGACUCUUCAUCAGUGAAUUCCUCAUCCUCAGGCAGAAUGAAUUUCACUCCUCCUUUCUGGUUCAGGUUUGGACCCGGGUCCUUGAAGGGCAUCUUGAGGUCCUUGAAUUGGGGCAGCUUAUGAUCUUGGGAAGAUUUCAUCUGCUGAAGCUGCUUGAGCUGCUGGAGCUGCUGAUGGAGCUGCAGCUGGGUCGGAUGUGGAAACAGCUGCUGGCUCGGGAGGUUCUGACCACCCUUAGGCUGGUUGUUUCCAUCACCUCCGCCUCCACUGCCACCGCCCUUUUGGCCCUUGUUUCCACCUUUGGCAUUAUCAAUUUGCAUGUUCUUGAACUGGUUGUUGAGGUUGUUGUUGGACUUCUGAGCACCCCAAAGCUCUGCAUGUGUGCCUGAUUUAUUGAGCUUCUUGAUGAGUAGAGCUGGGUCUACGUUCCCUGAAACGGUCACUUUGCCCUGUUCUGCAUCUAUUUUGAGGGUGUACACCCCUGCAAUUUUUUAUAAUUGAAUGUGAUAAGUAUACUUGAACUGAGAAUUUCUAAAAUAUCACGGGAAGAAACUACUCUUUUUUUUUUUUUUUUUUUUUAAAUUUAAUAAAUCUACUAAAAUCCAGAGAGAGAGAGAGAGAGAGGUUCGAAAAAAAGAAAGAUUAAAUAAAGAGGACUGGAACUGAAAAAGGAGUAAUACCCUCAAUUUUCUGCAAGAUUUUCUUCACUUUCUGCUUACAGCCAUCACGGUGUAUGUUCACUUUUAGAACACAAGUCUGCAUGCACAAGCAAACCCAGAGAACAAAAACAGGUGUAAAGAACAAUUUCUCUCACUCCAAUAAAAGAAUAACAGAAGGAAAAAAACGAAUGAAACGAAGCUUUCUAUGCGGAGUUUCAUUCCGAAAUGUCAUUACCAAGCCUGGAAAAAGAGAUUAGUUCACAGAGAAAAACAGAGCACACACCCAAAUUGUGACACAUUAAGUCCCAAAAACUUCGACCAAAAAAUAAAAGAAGUCACAAUUUGGUACCGAAAAGUCCCGAUGAUCUUGGAACGCUUUCGUGCGCUGGUUCAGCUGUUGAAGCUGCUGCUGGUCCUCAUCCUCAGUCAGGGUGACUUUCGCUCCUCCUUUCUGGUUCAGGUUCGGACCCGGGUCCUUGAAUUGGUGCUGCAGCUUGAGAUCUUGGAACACUUUCGUCUGCAUGAAAUCUUGGUCCUCCUUCGUCUGCUGGAGCCACAGUUUGAAAUCUUGGUACUCUUUCGAUCGCUGGAGCUGCAGAAGGAAAUCUUGGCACUGCUGGAGCUGCAGCAGGAGCUCCAGGAAAUCAUGGAACUCCUUCGCCUGCUGGAGCUGCUGGUUCUGGAGGUUCUGACCACCCAUAGGUUGGUUGUUGAGGUUCUUGUUGUUGGACUUCUGAGCACCCCAAAGCUCUGCGUGAUUGCUUGAUUUAUUGUGCUUCUCGAUGAGUAGAGCUGGGUCUACGUUCCCUGAAGCGUUACUUCGCCCUGUUCUGCAUCCAUUUCUACGGGGAAACCCCGAACACACCAACCCAAAAGAAAAGAAACAUAAGAAAAAUAAACCAAGAAAUUUUUUUAAUUGAAGGUGAUAAGAAUACUUGAACUAGAAAUUCUAAAAUGUCACGGGAAGAACUACUUUUAUUUAUUUAUUUUAUUAACCUAACUAAAAUACCAUUGGGAGAAUACAAAUAUCUUUGAAAUAAAUAAAUAUUUUGAAAUGUUAUGUCGUUUGGUAAAUUGUAAUUUUAAAUAUCAUUGAGAGGUAACUUUAGUAUAAAUACGGUUUAACAAAAUUCACAUUUGUAAUGGGCUUUAACUAUUUUGUUUUUUAUCUGAAAAUCAAAUUCGGCAGCCGGAGCCAGUCAAUUGCUGGAUGGCCAUCAUCUAAGGUCGUAGAGGCUAGAUCUAGCGGUCUAAGGUCGCGAUCUCAGGUGGCGUUGGGUCGCGAGUAGUGCCAUCCCAGACAGGGGUCACUAGGGACACGCGACCCCCAAGCAGCACUGGCAGCUACCGGAGAAGCCGACUCUCUAGGCAGAGAAGAUAAAGACGAAUGGGGAAGAAGAUGAACAGUGACGUAGAUGAACAGUGAACUUGCAUCUUUAAAAUGCCAAAUGCUUAAAAAGCAGGUUUAGCCCUACGUUGAGUUUUCAACAUUGUUGAUGUUGAUAUUUGAUCAAUGAACUUUUAAAAAUAUUUGCUGAAUGCAAAAUAUUUUUUCCAAGAGUCUCUUAAGAAAGCUAAACCAAAUGAGACCUAAGUCCCAGUAACUUCGACCGAAAAAAGAAGUCCUAAUGACCAUCAUAUAUGACUCUUGAGCAAAAAACAAGGAAAAGUACAGAGGGGGAAUUGCCAAUGAGCUAACUCAGAAGGGACAAAAUGCGUACCUGGAUCUUCAAGAACUCUUCUUUACUCACUCAAAUGGAACAAAGCGGGACACAGUUAUUGAAAAGAUAGGAAAAGGAGGAAGGAGACGGGGUCUUAAAACAGAUUUGACAAACAGAAGCAGCCGAGGGAGGGAGAGAGAGAGAGGUGCAGGUGUUUUAAUUGGAAGAGCUCGACAAAGAGCGUUCCUCUGUCCUUUCUGUUGAGACAGGCUUCGUUCCAGAGUAAUCCCCAGAAGGAAAAGAAGAGGACCUCAAAUGGUCUAAAGGGUUUUCUCCGAGCAGAGUGUUGGAAUGCAGAAAGAAAGUUCCAGUUUUUCUGGAGAGAGAGAGAGGGGUAUGAGGAGAUGUGGGUGCAGAUAAAACACCUCUGGUUCACUUAAAUAAAAGUGGGGAUGAGGGUUUUUAUCUAAAUAUCAUUUUGUUUUCUCAAGGGGCCGGAUACUUUGGUAAAUUCAUGGGGGAAACAGCCCACUGCGAGAAGGGACAAGAACAGUGAAUAUUCAAAUAAUUAUUCAACAUGGUCCCAUUUUGAGGUCCAUUAUUGAGUGCACUCCCAAUUUAAAGAUGAGAGAUUCUGAAAGUGUCUGACAGAGUUCACCGACAUAUGCUGAUAGUAAUUCUAAUUUACGCCAAAGUUUUUGUUUGUUCUUAAAGACAUGGGGGAAAUAGGAAUUAGAAAUGAAAAGGCAAGGGAAAAAAGUUAAAAAAAAAGAAGGGGAAACAGAGAAAUCCAAGGGAAAAAAGUUAAAAAGAAGAGAAGGGGAAACAGUGAAAUACAGGUGGAUGUCACCGGGUCUUAAACAAACUCUCACACCGGUCACCCAUGGCUUAUUUAUGAACCCUGCAGAAGCCUCCAUGGUGAACCAGUAAACCCAAGGCACGAAGGCUCUCGGUCCUCGCAUAUAAUAUAUGUCGUCUAACUGAGCAUUUCGCUGUCUACAUCGAUUGCAAAGGCAUGAAUUAGACUGUCUUGGAUAGUAAUUUCUCUGGUUUAUUGAGUACCUUAAAAGAGGAAUAUACUUCCUCGGUAUUAGUAUUUUAUGGAAAUAGCAGCCCCACAGUCCCACAGCGAGACGAACUAUAGUCCUACUAGUUGCAAUACGAUCUAUAAUAUUAAAACAUUGAACCUGAACAGGUUCUUAAACUAUCCUGUUUAUCGGAGUCAGUCCCUUCAUUGACAGGGAGCAGUUUAAGGACCUGCUAGUUGUAAUACAAUCUAUAAUAUUAAAACAUCAACUCAAUUUGAAGGCUAAGUAUAUCCGUUUUUUUCCGCUGGACAAUUACUCUAAAAUUGUUGAUCUUUGUUUUUUUGCGAGGUACAAAUGUAGCUGGCCCUUUUUACAUAAUACCCUUUUUUUUUUUAAUAAAGAAUGGCAAACGAUAUUAUUGAAGUACGAUUUACCUAAAGAAAGUAAAGUGCCUAGCUUAUCUACUAUUCGAUGAAAAUUAUAGUUUCCAUAAAUUGUGCCAACAAAUUAAGUUGAGCAGUAUUUGAAAUUUAGUCGCUUUUCAAUAACUAGCCAAGUCGAAGACGAGGCAUUACUCUCAAACCUGGUGUUUCUCCUAAAAGGAACCUAAUCCUCCUUAUGUAUUUGUGCAUUUCAAUGUGAUAGAUCAAAAUGGUAUGUUGCUAGUUUGAUGUAGGUUCAAAAGUAAAUAUUGUUUUCCUUUUUUUUUUCUUUUAAAUUCCUUAUCAUUAAUAUUUUUUUGAUCAUGUUAUUGUGAAUAAUGAAAUUUCAUGGAUAAUUAUUAUGUCAUGGUCUGUGCAUUUGAGUAAAGGUUAGUUUCAUACUCAUCCUUUUCACAAUGAUGAACGAAUAACUUCAUAUCCAAAGUUGAAGAUUGUAAUUUGGAUAUGCUAUGAUGACUAAGGCUAAUGUUUUUAUUCUUUUGUUUUCCGAAAUAGAAAAAAAAAAAUCCGUUUGGUAACAUUGUUGACAUCUAAAUUUGGGUAGUUUGGUAAUUUAUUUAGUACAUAGAAAAUUAUGGGAUAAUUUUAUCCCUGAAAAAAAAAAUUAAUUGCGUAGUAUAUUAAUCUAGUGCAUUUGUUUUUAAUUUGCAUUUUGUGUAUUUAUUUAUUGGAUCGAUGAUUGAUGGGUCGAAUUAGAGGUUUUGAGUUUUAAAUUAACAGAUCGGACUAAACCCAUAAAAUGAGUAAAUUGGCCCAAGCUCUUUUUUUUUUUAAUGGCAAAAAUUAUCUAAAUGGAGAUUUGAUGUGAUAUUACAGUAGAUUUUUGGAAUUUAAUAAAAUCGUAUUGCAAUCUUAUUUUUAGUAAUAUAUGAUGAAAUUAUGGAAAAACAUUAAUGAGAUAAGGAUUUUUGUGAUCGGAAGGUUAUAUGUAAUCUUCGAGACGAAGUAUUAUAGGGAGAUCACCUUUUUUAGCUUAUAAAAGGGGUCGUGUACGAUGAGUGGGGGACUUCUCUUCGUCAAAAAAAAAAAAAAAAAAGUGAAAAGUGAAAAGAGAGGAAAAAAAAGAGAAGGGAGCGGUUUGUGGGAAAGGAAAAGAGGAAAAAGACAAAAGAAGGUAGAGAGAGAGAGGAAAAAUUUAAAAAAAAAAGAAGAAGGAAAAAGCAGAAGCCAAAGUUUAAUCGGCAGGGGGAUUGGACGUUUACUGUUCAUCCUCUUCCCCAUGCACUCGCCGGAAUUUGCUGCCCGCAGACCGACGGCUCCUCCUCACCAACACUGCCGACCCAGUUUUUCCGCGAGCCCAGCCCUUCGAGCAGCCGACGACCCGCGCUGCGCCGACGCCACCGAGCUACGCUGCUCCGAGAUUCCGUCACGCCUGAGUUGCUCUGCCGUGCCGCGACCCGAUUCCUCUACUCGCCGGACCCCGAGUCGACCCGCCGGCUCACGACCCAGCGUCUCCAUCCCUGCGCGUCUGCCCGAGCCCCAGAUCCGGAGUCCCCGUGUCCGCCGAUUGUAAGCUCAGCCUAGGUAGCCGAGCCGCCGGUCACUGCCUUUCGCCAGUCUCGCUGCGACGCGCAGCCCCACCGCGCACCACUGCCGCCCUGCUGAUCCGACUGCGAUGAUCUCACGUUUCCUCCUCACCCGCACUUCGCCGACGCUUGCCCGCCGCCGCGCCUGCCAGCCUCUGCUCCUUGAUCGCCAGCUACAGCACCACCUCCGAGCCUCCUUCUGGCGAACCCAGCAGCUGCCCCUCGCUGGUCGAUGCCUGAGCUCCGAACCUGCAGCCCGCCGGCCUUCCCCCGAGCACCAGCAGCACCGCCGUCGGCCAGCCUGCGCCCGACGCCAGCUGGUCUGCCCGCUGCUGGUCCGGCCAUCCGUCACUGCGUUGGCGCGCCCACACCCACCGCCGCUACUGCCCUUUUCCAAGUCUCUCUUUAGGUUGUUUUUUGAUUUUUUAUUUAUUUUAUGCUAUUUUAGUUUAUUUAAGUUCCAUUGUUAUUAUACAAAUUGAAACAUUGAAAGUUGAUUUUCGUUUUAUGAAUAUUGUAGGCAUUAUCCGCAGGGUUUUGCCCAAAAUUAUUGUAAUUGUUAAUUUGAUCGGUAAGAUAUCAGAUUAUUUUUUAAUUAUAUUAAUUUUUUGGGUAUUUUAAUAGUAUUUUAAUUGUUAAAUCAAUAUAAUUAUUAAUUUGAUAUGUAAAUUUUCGGGUCAGAUUUUUAAUUAUUUUGAACCACCUUUUAUUAAUUUAAUCCGUAUUUAACCUGUGUUAUUUUUUUGAUUAUUUUAAUCCUUUAUUUGAUGGAUGUCUUGAUUAGUUUAGAUGUAAUUUCAUAAUUGCUAGUCUUGAAAAAACACCAAAAAAGAACAUAAAAAUCAAAAAAAUAAAAUCAUGCAUCGGAGUGUGUUAGUUUAGUAAAUUAAUAAUGCAUUUUUAGGAUUGCACUUUUAGAUAAUUUUUUAAAAUAGAUUAGGAUUGAUUUUAGAUAAUGUUUGCACAUUUAAAUAAUCUCAUUUUUCUAAAAAAUAGUUUCCUAAGAUAGGAUAGGGUUUAAGUCAAAUUAAUCCCUAAAACAUAUUAGAAAAUUAUUCAUUUAUAGUAGUUUAAUUAGGGUUUUUAUUAAUUCCGAAUUUUAAAUAAAAAAUACAAAAAGCAUUAGGUGUAUGUCAAUUAGUUUGCAUGUUAGAUUCAUUAUUAGUAAAAUUAGGUCAUAUAGUUUAAAUGCAUGAUUUAUGAUAAAGUUCUAGUUAAAAGAAAAAUCCAAAAAAAAUUACUUGCUUUAGUGUGUGGAAUUCAUUUGGUGCAAUUUAUUUUAUUUAAUGUUUAAUAAUGGUUGAACAUCUAUGUGAUCACCCCAUUUGCAUGAUAAUGAUUUAGGUUAAAAAAUCCAAGCUACCUACAAAAACAUUUUUGAAAUUAAAAAGAAAUGGUAUCGAAAUAGCAUUAGAUAAAUCUAAUGUAACCAAAUACCCGUACCCUUAGUUUCUAGUUCGUAGGAGUUCUUACAUUAUUUUACUUAGGUGUCUAAUCGACCUACCGUAAACCAAUUAGUAACGACUCAUAGCUAAUAAUCAUACUUGAACCUUAAUUCGUGAAUUGGUAUGGGCUACCUUAAUUCGUAAAUUGGUAUAGGCUUGGGAGAGCUCGGGCUAAGUUUAAAAACUUAGUAAUCCAUUAACCUAAAUUUAGGUAGUACAGCCAAAAUUUAGGUCGCGACAAACGUCAACUAAUUUUUCUAUUUCACUAAACAGAUCAGUGGCCAAGAAAUAGAUUUGGAACAAAAAGAAGAAGUAGAAAAAACACACUUCUUUCCUUGGAACAAAAAGAGAAAUAAUGUUAUUUUAGAAAAUCUAACGUAAUGUAACCUAAUGCUUGUCUUUACACAAUGGGCACAAGGUCCAGUCUCUUGGCCCGGUUCGAGUCCCCAUUUUUUGAAAUAUAAAAAUUUAAAAUUAAAAAAUUUAGGAGAAAUUUAGAAAUGAGAUUUUGGAUAGUUUUACUAGAUUUUUGUAUUAAUUCUAGUUUAGAAUUAGUUUAGCAUAAAUAAAUGUGAAAACCUUUUGAUGAAAAUUGGAUUCAAAAUUGAAUAAGUUUUUAGGGCUUUACUUUUGGAUUUUGAAUGCCGUUUUCUUUUAGAGACAAUGUCAGGUCGCGAAAGCUUGGUGACUCCAAUCUUCUUCUCUAAAGAUUCUAUUGGAGGCAUCUGUAAGAUCAUCUACAAUUCUAUUUUAAUAGAAAAUUAGAUGGCUAACCAUUUAUCUUGUGCUCAUAGCAAUCGAAUAAGCUUGUGCUCCAUUGAUUUCCAAUGUCAUUCGCUUGAAGGUUUGACGAGUUUGUGCAAAUAAGUGCAUCAAAGAUCACCUCCAUCCUCAAUUGUUCCUCAUUGCCCAUUCUUCUAAGUAACAUUUUGCUCUUCUUCUUGUAGCUAAAAAAGCUCAAAGGUUCCAUGCACUUGUUUAUUGUAAUGGUCAAAGAUUUACUGCCCAUCUUCUUGCAUUGUUUGUUAUAAACCAAUAAGACUCUCUAUUGCCAUUUGUAGCCAUCCAUCUUUGAGUAACUACUAUGCUGGAAUUUUUGAGGCUAUCUUAGAAUAUGUUGAUCAAUUAAAUCCUUACAAAGUCUGGUUUUAUUCAAACAUGAAUUGUUAAGUCUCCACUAACAUUUAAAUGAAGAAAAAUUGAGAAUAAAAUUUUUUAGGUUUGUACCAAAUGCAUUUCUAUUCUUUUUGUAUUCAAAAAAUAAAAGUUUUGUAUAAUUACCAAAUACGUUCUUCUGCUUAGAAACUUGUUCAGGGAAUAUAAGUAAAAAAAAAUUACUUCUAACAAAAAUUAUUUUUGGAAACAAAAAUGUUACCAAAUGCACCAUAAGCAUUUGGCUUUGAUGCUAUGAUUUAUGUUUCUGUGUACUUCUUCCUCAAAGCAGUAAGUGUUGGCCCAUGCCAAGAGCAUUAAUGUGCUACAGCACAUUAACAUUUAUAGCAUGACAACAGAAAGGAAAAGGAGCUGAAAUCUCGUCAGAGAUGGGGAAAAACCGGUGCUUAACGCAAGUUUUAUGGUCACGAAAGUCUCUGAACCAAUUGGGUACCCCCCAUUUCGAUCAAUCGAAGUGGGGAAGAUGGAUUUAUGUUAUUACUUCGACCGACACGCGUGCGUGCUUGAUUGAAUUUUUUCUAAAAGAUCCGGUUCAAGGCUAUGAUUAAAGAAGAGAUGAUGAUCCUCAAUGUCUUGGCUAUGGACUUUUCUACCUAAGGUCAUGUACCAAGAAGUUUGUAGCUAUGGAGUCUGGACUGUUGCUAAACUUCUGGUGAGUUUCAAGAGCAUUCUGGGUAGCUGUAGGUCAUGUUAUAUUAAGCUAAAAACUGCUAAUUAAAGACCAACCUUUCUAUAAUGAUGCCCUGUGGCUGUGUUCUUUUUUCUCCCUGUUACUUUAUCCGCGGUUUGGCAAAAAGAGGUGACUUCAAGAAGGGCUUAUCUAUUUUCUCUUGGUUUUAUACACUUUCGCUUUUCGCUCGACGAGAACGUCCUGCUGUUGCACUCCCCGACUUGGAUCAAGCACGCGUCCAGGAGAAAAUUUUGCAAGUCGAAUACCUAAAUACAAUAAGAUAAUUUUAGUACAAAAAUCUGUUGCAUUCAAUACUUACUCUUUGUGACAUUUUAAGUGAUCUUAUUUCUGAAAAUGAUGUGGAUAUACAAAGGAGGGGCAUGCCUAGUCGCCACUUUAGCUCACGUGUGCCUUGGUUAAUUAUCUUUAAAAUGUAGAACUUCAAUUCGGUAUAUUAGUCCGGAUUCCCAAACAAGGGCAAAAUUACAAAUCCACGCCGGAAUUUUCCGUCAGCUACGCUUUGCAUCCUCUGAUGCCAAGAUUCUGACUUUUGCAUCCUAUGAUUCAAUAGAAAUUUUCACCUUGUGCCUAAAAUGGGGAAAAAAAGAGUUUAUCACGAUGUAGAAAUUAGAGGGCGAAAAUAGUUACUACUUCGUCCGGACCUCGUUGUCCCAAUAAAAGUAACAAUUUGUUUGGCAUGCAAUAACAGUAUUUGCAAUUUGUAUUUAUUCGUGCUAAUUAGAUCGAACUUAUAAUUACUAAGUUGAGGUGACUGAAUCUUUGAAUUGAGAUGAAAAUGUGUCAAUUUAUAUAAACAAGCGGACUAUUUCUUGUGAUCGUACAUGAAUUGCAAGACUAAAAAAAUGAAAUAACCUAAGAUAUUGCCAAACAGGGAUCAUUUUUUUUUUUUUUUUAAUUCCAGCAACAUUUUCCUUUCUCUUGCGUGGACUCGUUCUGGACGGAGGGACCGUCGAAAUCGACCAAAGGCAUCGUUGCACUCGCAAGAAACCCGAGCUCGCUCCCCACCAAGCUCUCCACGCAGCUCAAGCUCCUCCGUGGAUUAGCUCUCUGACUCCCUUCUUCUUCCUCCUCCAUAUCCGGCCACGGUAACCUCUAUGUUGGCGCCGGCGUAUACAUGCGGCCACUGAUCAAGCAAAACCUCGCGAAAUCCCUCCUCCGCACUCAGCUACUAAUUGUUCCCGGGAGCGUCGCCCCGUCUCCAAUGAAGGCGACAGGUGACAAGUACUCCAUCUACGUAACCGCCAUCAAAAUCGAUUUCGCUCCAAUUGCCUUCAACUCCUCAAUCCUAAAGAUUGACAAGGACGGCGUUGGGGCAACUAUAAUCAGCACGUUUGCUCCGUACACGUUCCUCCACUCGGCCAUCUUCCAGCCCCUAGAGAAGGAAUUUACAAAGAAGGCGAUGAGCAGGGAGAUCAAGAAGGCAAACCCCGUCGCCCCAUUUGGGGCUUCCUUCGACGCGAAGAUGGCGAAGAGUGGGCUGGCCAGCUUGGACGUGCCUGUGAUCGUGCUGGUGCUCUGGGGCAAUGUGCAGUGGAGGACCCAAGGAGCGAACUCAGUGGUGAGGGUGAGCAAGGAUUUUUUUAUAUUUUUAAUGAUCGGAAAGGUCCUCAUUUCAUUUCAAGUAGAUAAUAUGGAGGAAUAACUCAAAUGAGCUUCAGAACAAAGAACAUUCAAAAGAGAUUGAGGAGGAGUAGAGGCACAAUUUUGAGGUAGGGACUGGUGUAUCGGGCUUUAGCUAUUCAAUCCGCAGCUUUAUUUAGUUCCCUCAAUACAUGGGCCAAGUUUAAAAUAGGAACUGAAGCUAGAGCGGCUUAGCCUUUUUAGACUAUUUAACUGACUUCCCAAUGGGGCGUAUCUAACCCCAAGAUCUUGUAUACUGCUGAGUAGCAGUCAGAUUCAACUGAGAAUACAUGUGAUCCUUUUUCCCUUCCCCACUUUGCAGCCAGCUCCAGACCCUCGCAGAUGGCUAGGGUUUUCAUGUGCAAAGGGGAUUGAACUUUCACGGCAUGAGCGAAUUCUCCAAGCAGCAUUCCACUCAUGUCCUUGCACACCCCAGCUAUGGAUCCUUCAUUUGUUUUUGAUGUGAAAGCCCCAUUGACGUUGAUUUUCACCCAACCUGGGUCCGGCGGUCUCCAUCUUUGAGGUAUUUCGCUCUCUUUACUAGUGUUUUGCUGCUGUGAUGAAGCUCUUUUAUUUUUAUUUUUAUUUUAUUUUAUUUUUUACUUCGACGCGAGUAGAUCAACCACCACCCCUUGUGGAUUUGGUGUUCGGGCUCCAAAAACCAUUUCGUUCCUCUCUUUCCAGAUGAGCCAAAGAGAUUCGGCUACCAUUUCAAGUUUUGGAGCUUGAGGAAGGUGUCUUUUAUACUCUAAAAACGAGUGAUCUAUACUUAUUAGUCCUGUGCUUUUAUUUGAAUUUGGAGAUGACUAUCUGACCAUAUUCCAUUUGUCCAAGGACAGAGCAAGAAUAGAUGUUUUGUUGUUUUUGAGGUCACUUUGCAGAGGGGACACAACAUCUUAGGUAGGAUUCUUCUUCUGGUUGGAUUCUCCUUAGUAGGAAAUGCAUUUUGACAUAAGUUCCACAUGAACACCUUAAUUUUGGGAGGGUGUGUAGAUUCCAGAUUGUGCUCCAUAUUGCUUUGGGUUUGUGGUAGGAAGAUGAGGCUAAUGAAGCGGCUAAGUUGUCGUCUCCAGGCUUUUGAGUUGGUUAUAGCCACUUUUAACUCAAUAAUUACCUUGUUUGGUUGCCAUCCAUAUGCACGUGUCUUUCAUUUUUGUCGGAAGGUAAGGGGAUUGCCAAGAUUUCGCUUACGGUUUCGUCUUCAAACAAGUUUUGGAGACUUUACUCCUUCCAUGUUGUAUUGUUCCUAUCUAUGAGCUCGACUACCAUCAAGGGGUCGUCUUGGUUGGUUGCGCUAGAAUUGUGCCUUGCUUUAACCAUUUGUCUUCGUGUAUUUUUAUUGAUUUUUUGUUGCUCACUAACCAUAAUGUUGAAUCUCAAAUAACAUCUCUGCCACUCAGUAAGCUUUUCCAUCCCCAUGAUGGUUAGUGGCUUGUCUUAGCAUGAGAAAAAUUUGUAGAGGGGAAAUAGAGUCCCUUGAAUAGUUUACUCCAUAAAGACGAGGGAUUUUCUAUCAUUUGCCAAGCCUGUUUGCCUAGUAUAGCUUUAUUAAAUGUAAUUAGAUGUUUAAAGCCCAUUCCCCCACUAUCCUUUCUCAUCUUCAGCACAUUCCAGCUUUUUCAAUGAAUUCCAACCAUGUAAUCAGUGUUCUUCCACCAAAAUGAAGCAAUUUUUUUCUCUACGGCUUUACAAAUAGAGACUGGAAUUUUAAAGAUAAACAUCGCAUAUUAAGGUAAUGCUUGAACUACUGCUUUCAAAAGAAUUUCUUUCCCAGCUUUUGAUAACAACAUUUCCUUCCAUCCUUCAAGCUUCAUAUUCACCUUGGCCAAUAUCCAAGCAAACAUUUGUUUAUUAGAUGUUCCCCAAUCCGAUGGAAUGCCUAGGUACUCUCCCCUUUUGUCAAUUUCUAAGACUCUCAAUUCUCAUGCCAUAUUUCUUCUUAAAUUCUGGGGGAAUCCAAAAGCUAAAAAAAAUCCCUACUUUGUUCAAAUUAAUUGCUUGACUAGUAGCCAUGCAGUAUUGAUUGAGAACAUUGGCCAACUAUUGUCAUUUCCUCACAUUUCCAUCCAAAGAGAAGAUUGAACCAUCCACAAAUAACAAAUGAGAUAGAGUAGGGCAAUUGCUGUUCAGUUUUAUGUCUUUGAAUCUCCCUUUCUCAACUGUUUUUUUUCAUAAGAAGGGAUAAACAUUUGCUGCUAAUAUGAAUAGAUAAGGAGAAAGGGGAUCACCUUGAUAAAGUUCUUUUGAGGGCUGAAAAUAACACAUCGAUUCUCCAUUAAACUUGACACUAAAUGAGACGGACGUCAUACAAUGCAUAAUCCAAAAGGUCCAAUUUUGACAAAACCCCCAUCUUCAACAAACAAGCCUCUAGAAAGUCUCAUUCAAUUUUGUCAUGUGCCUUCUUCAUGUCAAGUUUUAGCACAGCUAGAAACUUCUUCUUCAUUUUCUUAACUUUUAGCCGGUGAAGUACCUCCUAAACAAUUAGAAUGUUGUUUUGUAUUUGUCACCUCAAAAGCACCUUGCUCCAUUUCUAUCAACUCCAGAAGCAAAGGCUUUAAUCGAUUAGCCAAUACCUUGGAGAUAAUUUUAUAAGUGAAGUUACACAGAAAUGAUUUGCUCCAUAAACUCCCUACCAACCUCAAUAAAUCCUCCUGAAUGUCCAUCCAAUGAUUAUGGAAGAACUGACCAUUUAAACUAUCAGUCCUUGGAGCCUUGAUUGCGCCUAAUUGAAAAACCGCAUUCUUCACCUCUUGUAAUGUAACUUUUGCUAUUAAUGCUACAUUCAUCUCCUCUUGAACCGUCACCUUCUCUAAUUUUUUGGUGUCUCUACACCACUCACCAUCUGGCGGUUGAGGCAUGGAGAUUUUAUUUUUUAGUUGACUUUGAAUUGUUGUAGCAUGAAAAUAUUUAGUAUUCCUAUUGCCUCACUUCAGCCACAUGAUCCUCUAACACAUUCUCCAAUACAUCUCUAAUUGUUUCCAUAGUUAUUCAAUUUGUCAUUUAAUGCUUUGGACUCUACCUGUAUCCUGUUCAACCCCUUGUAUGUUUGUGAUGAAUAGAAGAUAUUUAUGAGAAUUUUGAUCUGUUUAUGGGCAUUUGAGAAUUUUUUGCUUCAUUCCGCAAGGAUUUUUGUAACCUUUAGCUAUUUUUGUUUCUAGUUCAUGUUAUUUGCACAAGAAUUUGCCAAAGCUAAUUGGAGUUGCUCUCACACUCUAUGUCUUCUGCCUAGAAAGCUUCGUAUUUGAAUUCCUUCAUCCAUUUCACAAUUCUAGCUGAUAACGACACCAACGAGGGGCUAUGAUUGGAUCUUACUACUUUAAAAGCAAAAACUUGAGCCUCAAGCUAAGAAACCCUCCAUUCCAUGUUGCAUAGUGCUCGGUCAAGUAGUUCUUUGACAUAAUCCUUUCAUUUCCGAUUGUUUGACAAUGUAAACGCAGAACCUUUUCCCUCCAAGUCCAUUAAGGAGCAAUCGUUUAUAACUUCUCGAAAUGUCAACAUCUAGUAAUAUUCUGCCAUUCUUUUUCUAACUUUCUCCUGAUGGUAGAGAACUUCAUUAAAAUCACCGAUGCAAAUCCAAGGAAGAGAGUUACAAGACUUAAUAUACCUUAGUUCAUCCUAUAACGUCAUUCUCUUUUAAAAUGUAUAUGGGGGCAUGGAUUAACAUAAGUCUCAUAACUAUUUUGUUUGCUCCCAUCUAUAGGUUGCAUUGAUGAAAUCAGUAAUGAAAGAGUCAAUUGAUAGUGAUAUGUCUUCACUCCACAUCAGCACAAGCCCCCCAACAAUUCCUUCUGGAUUCACAGCAAACAUAUAUUAGUAUUUUAACCUUUUCUUUAUCCUCUACACCAUUGGUUCCUUGUUUUUAGUUUCCAUCAAGAAGAUUACAUUGGGCUUUUCCCAGGCCACUAGGGCUCUAAGUUCUUGAAUUGUUAGGGGAUUGCCCAACCCCUGACAACCCCUGACAACCCCUGACAAUUUCAACUUAAGAUUUUCAUUGGUACCCCAGUGGCUUAUUCACGGUAAUUGGUCGUUCGGUAGUGGGAGAUUUACAUAAUCAUGAUAGUCAUUCACAUGGCUUGGAUUCGCAUUCAAGAGAUCUUGGUGAACCCGAUUAUUCUGAUUCAAAGGAUGAAGAUGAUCCCACAAUUAUUGAAAGAGAGUGGCUUAGACAUGAGGAAUCUAAAUUUCCAACUACUGAACAACCAAUUACCGUGAAUAUAAGAGAUGCAUAAAACCCCAUUGACCCUCUCCCUUCACCAUCUAGAUAUGUGUAUCUAACAGCUGAGUUUCAUCAAUUAAUAAUUGCAUAUCAUUUUCUAGAACAUAUGGGUUGAACCUCUUUUGCUUUUUAGCACUUUGUUUAAUCCUUUUUCCUUCUUUUUUCUAGGUUGUUUCUAUAGGUUUCCUUCUUGUGUGGGAUAGAGGAGCUUUCCCCUUGUCAAGCCAUGUUAAUGGUAAGUAGGGAGAAUUAACACUUCUCUGGUUACCACUUUAACUCUCACUAUCUAUUCCCUUUCUCUUCUCAGCUCUAUCUGAAUGACUAUGUAAGAUAGGUGCUUGUUGGAUGAUCUCCAUUUGGUUAGAAAGAUCUUGAGUUUUAGAUAUGACUUUCUCUACUGCCCUCUCCUCCCAUUUAUCUUCAUAAAUAGCUCCCAAAUGGGAGUAAACUCCCUAGCUUUUGCUUUUAGCUAGAAUCCAAACUUGAGGUCCUCUAAUUUGUGUUCGUCAACCAUAAUUUCAGUACAAUGGAUGGUAAAAUGACCUAAUUUGCCACGUGUAUAGCAUAAAUGAGGUAAUCUCUCAUACUUAUACUCUAUUCAUAAUUUUUUGCCAGCAUGUUUAAUUACACUAUCUUGCUUCAAUGGUUCAAAUAAAUUUAACUCAACUUUCACUCUCUUUGAUACAAAUGUUGUAGUGCCCUUUAUUUCUAUUUUGAUCUCUAUGACCUCUCCUAAAUCCAUGGUUAUCCUUCUUAUAACUCUUUCAUUACGCCAUUCAAUAGGUAAGCCAUAAAUGUGACCUAGAAAGCUCUCCUUGUAAAAUCAUAAUAGCAAGGGGGUGUGUUAGGUUCCCAUGGUUUUAACAAUAAAAUAUGGUUGGCGAAAGACCAAGGACCCCCAUUUAGCACUUGUUUAAUGUCCCCAUCAGAUUUAAAAGCAAAUAGAAAGUGACCUUUUUCUAAAGGAGCAAUGUCCACAUUAUCUAUUUUCCAUGUCUUUUUCAUAGUACUUUGGAAGGCUUGAAAAUUAAUAGAAGGGCUAGCGAACAACUUAUCUAUCAACAUUAGUUUGUAGUCCUAUUCUUGUUUAGUGGCAUCCAUUUCUUCCAAAUCAAUAAUGCCGUUAACUAACCGCACAUCUCCUAGUUUCUUGCAGAGCAAUUCCAACUGAGGGUUAGUCUUAAUAUUCUCCAUACGUAAUCGUCAAUUUUUGAGUUAGGGAAAUCAACAAAUGGGUGGAAGGUGUAACUACCACUCCCAUUAGAACCAACCCAGAACAAUGCUUGAGAGAAGAGAACAAUGCUUGAGAGAAGAGGCCCUUGCAUGUUGCUUCUAUCCCCCAAAAAAGUUGGAUGUGCAGAAUAAAACUCUCAGCUUCCAGUUGUCCACGAAAGUGGAUGAGGGUGUGAAGGGCUUGAAGAUUCGAACCCACUAACUAUUCAACGACACUCUUAUGAAAGAAGACGGAGGGGAUUUAGGGUGGGUAAGGUAAGGAAGGUUUGACGAAGUGUGAGUUUGGCAAUGGAACAAUGGUUUCAUAUUCGCCUCCUAUAGUAGCAAAUAAAGGGUUUAGUUCUGACGGUGGAAAGAGGUUUUCUUUGAGGUAAGAAGAUGUUAGGUUUUAAAGAGUGAGUACAUAGAUAAGGUAAUGUUAGAGGAGUGAGAUUUGGGUAGGGUGAGUAGUUUAGCUAGGGUUUUUGUAGAGAAAGAUGAUAGGUAUUGUAGAUAGAGCAAGGAUGUGAUGUGCCUGGGGUUUCUAGAGGGAGGAUUGGGGCAGGGCACCACGAUGGAGUUCAAGGGUCAUCAGAUUGAGGAUAAUCUGUUGGAGUCCGAUGUGGGGUCAUUGACGUUCGGGUUCAGCAACUCGCUUCUCCCUCGGAACUCCAGUUGCUCCCAUCUUUGAGCCAUCGAUCUGAAGAUGACAAGGUCCCUUGGUGUUUUCACAUUAAUAAAGAAUAUGUCCUAAUGUGUGAUGUAGCGAUGAAGUUCUUUCCAGAGGCCAUCGGGCACCAUCUUCGUUUCACUUUCAAACAAUAAAUUAGAAGAAGAAAACUGAGGGAACAUAAACUCUCUUAUAAAAUCAGAUAAAUUGUCACAGAAGUAGAAUUACACACACAAGUUAUUUCGGAUUUUUUUGUUUAGCAAAAAAUUGACCAUCAAUUUCUUUCUUCAUUUUUCGGUGUUUAGAUUGCUAAAGAGAAUAAAUCAAUGGAAAAUGGCUUCAUAUUUGGAUAAUUAGAACAUCGACUCUCUUAUCAAAUCAAACCUUGACGGAGGGCUCGGAUUCUCAGCUUUCCAAGCUCAAAUGUUGGUCCAUGCUUGGGUCCUCCAAGGCUGAGCCUAGGCUCAGGUCUCUUGAGGAUGGGCAUGAGCCCUCGGCAUUAAUGCCCAAGUCCUUGGUGAACGAGUUCGAGAUAUUGGUUCUCGCACCUGAGACUUAAUCCCUUAUGGUCUAGAAGUUAUUAGAUUAAAUCCCAAGAAAUAUCUUCUACAUAAGAUCGAGUUAUUUGAUUUCUACUUGGAGGGUACCGAAGAUUUUACUUGAAUAAUAGACAACUGUUGAUCCACAAUAACCGAUUGCUCUUCGAUAUUUGUAUUGGGAGUGCACAGCAGAAGUCGAAUACUUUCAUCUAGAGAGUUUGCCAGGAGGAAGCCUAAGUAUGAACUUGUUAACAUAUCUAGUUAGACUCACAUUCAUUCAAAAACUUAAACCAAUGAGUUCUGAGUUACCAAGGAUAUAUUGACUGUUUUACAUUGCACAAAUUCUUCAUAUGAGAUUUCUCUAGGUCUAUCUUAACAAUCUCUCACUCGCAUGUAAGCUCUAGUAUUAAGUUUGCUCCCCUUAAUUUAGUUAUCCUUAUGCAUGAACUUAUCUUAACUUGAAUCUCCAACACCAAACACUAUCUCCAGUCUCUUUCUUCAGACUAGACCAUUAAGUCUACCAUCGCACCCACGUUGUCACCCAACAAUGCUCGUUUGCCCGAAAAUUGAAUUGGUCACCAGAUUCUUUCCUUGAGAUAUUCACUAAACAUCAAUACACAUUAGGAGUGGGCGACAACAAUGCUUACUUGCCCAAAAACCGAAUUUUUCACUAGAUUCCUUCAUUGAGAUAUUCAUUGAAUACCGAUACACAUUAGGAGUGAGCGAUCAAUCGGCCAUUGGCAUUGAUACCAUUUGUUGGAAGUGCGCAAAAGAAAUCCAAUAUUUUCAUCCAGUGAGAUUGCCAAGAAGAAGCUCAAGUCCAAGCUUAUCCAGUUGGAUUUAUCUUCAAUUUUUUUUAAGAGUUCUUUAAAAAUGGGUACGCAAAAGUUUAAGCUAAUGAAUUAUGGACCAAUUAUGCUAUAUUAACUACUUUACAUCACACCGAUUACUCGAAAUGGGAUUUUUAUAACAUAACUUAGAUAUGACUCUUUACAAUUUGAUGAUGUGAGGGUAAGGCCACGUGAAACUAAUGAUUCGAUAAAAAAAUAAACUUAUGUUAUCAAACGGCUGAGGUUCUUUAGUAGAAUAAACGUGGUAUGAAUAACUUUUCUUUAUCUCAAUAAACCUUAGAUUAUCUUCAACAAUGGUUUUUGGGAUAUAAUUUUUUUUUCCUAUUUUCCUUAUGGAUUUUUAUUGAAUAAAAAACACGAAAAUCACAAAAAAAUCACAAAAAACUAUGCGUUUGAGUUCUAGGUUAUGGAUGCUCUGAUAUCACAUGUUUGACGCUAAAACAAACAAUCUCACGAUCUCCAUAACUAGAACAAGAACACAUAUUAUUGAGUAGAAAGAUUAACGCACUUGUUUUGAAAUUCCUCGUUCUUGAUGCGAAAGUAGAAAAAUGACGAUCCAAGCACAAGUCAUUCUCUUCUGUUGCCUUCUGUAUCAUUGGCUCAAUAAGACGGCCCCCUCACCUUUUAAUGCUAAGUAAACACUCCUUUGUGAGGACAAUUGUGAGAGUUAAAAUGAGAGAUUUGAGCAUUAUUUAUAGAGUUUCCAGCUAGGUUCUUUCAUUCUCACCUUAGACCAACCCCAUAAAUGGUAAAUUACAAUAUCAAUUAAUGCAGCUCACAUUAGGAAAACUCUUACAAAGUUGCCUUGGUGUUUUGAGUGUUGCUUUUCUUGGCUUUAUGCGUAUGAACUGUUGCUGAAACAAGUAAUCGAGCAAUCAUGACACUUUGAUAGAAUUAUGAUAAAAUAGAGCGAAAAGAGAAUUUCUAUAUAUUUCUAUGUGUAUAAUACUGAUGAUACAAGAGCCUAUUUAUAGGCUAUUCUAGACAACUAUCUAAAGUAAUAAAACAUUACAAUAUCAAAUAAAAUCAAUUAUAAUCAAUCAGGAAAGAUAAAUAUCUUUAAUAUCCCUUCUCAAACACAAGGUGCCAUAGAAGAGGUCAACUGGAAUUUGGAGAAAAGAUCUUUAAAACGCUCAGGUGGAUGUGCCUUAGUGAAAACAUUAGCCGUUUGAUCAAUUGAGGAGGUGGGAAUAAGACGAACAACACCACGAAGCACAUGAGAGCAUAUGAAAUGGUAGUUUAUUUCAAUAUGUUUGGUACGCUCAUGGAAAACAUCAUUAUGAGCUAUUUGGAUGGCACUUCGGUUAUCACAAUGAAUUACCAUUCCACCAUUAUGAUGAACUCCCAUGUUUUCUAAUAAUCACCACGAUCAUAAUAAUUUCGAAGUUGUAUCGGCAAAAGCACGAUAUUCCGCUUCUAUACUCAAUCGAGCAACAUUAGUUUGUUUCUUACUCCGCCAGGAAAUAAGGGACUUUCCUUAGAAGAAGCAGUAGCCUGUAGUAGAGUGAUGAUCAAGAGGAGGAUCACUAAACCAAUCAGCAUCAUAAUAAACUGUUAACUCUAUGGUUGAGUUAGUAGAAAAGUGAAGACCAUGAAAUAAGAUAUCCUUGAUGUAGCGAAGAAUUCAAAGAAUAGUGGUAAAAUGAGUCAUCCACGGCACAAUCAUAAAUUGACUCACAAUAUGAAUAGCAUAAGCGAUAUCAGGGUGGGUAACAAUGAGGUAUAUUUGACAGCCAACUAACUGUCGAUAAAGUGUAGGGUUUGGAAGAUGAGUGCCAUCUUUUUCAUCAAGUUUGGCAUUAUUCUCAAUGGGAGUGGUAGCAGUCUUCUUUUCAGUAAGUUUGGCUCAAGAAAGAAGAUUAGUGGCAUAUUUCGCUUAAGAAAGAUAAUAGCCAGAGGAAUUUGAAGCAACCUUCAAUCCUAGAAAUAACUUAGCCUCCCAAGAUCUUUCAUUUCAAACCGUUGACUUAAAUACAAUUGUAGUUUUGUAAUGCCAUAGUGAUCAUCACAAGUAAUAACUAUGUCAUCUACAUAUAACAAUAGUAGAAUACUCCCACGAGAUGCUCGUUGAACAAAUAGAGCAUUAUCAUAGGGACUGUACACAAAUCCAAGGCAUUCCAUGGUAGAACUAAACUUGGAAUACCAUGCACAAGGAGCUUGUUUUAGUCCGUAUAAUGCUCGGCAUAGAUGACACACUUUACCAAGAGUAUGAGUAUAUCUAGGAGGUGGCUCCAGAUACACUUCUUCAGUGAGAUCUCCAUUAAGGAAUGCAUUUUUGACAUCUAUUUGGAAUAGAGGCCAUCGCUUAAUAGCAAUGACAACAAGGAGGCUAUGAACAGAAAUAAGACGUGUAACUGGAGUAAACCUCUCGUCGUUCCAUUCUACCAUCUACCUUAGUUUUGAUUUUGUACACCAAUUUACAACCUAUAGCCAAUUUAUCAGGAGGCAAAUCAAUCAAAUCCCAAGUAUGAGAGUGUUCUAAUGCUUGCAACUCAUCUGCCAUUAUUUGCUGCCAAAGAGGAUUAGUACGAGCUUCUAAUAUGUGCAAGGCUCAUGAAAAGAGGCAAUUAUAGAAUAAUAGCGAAAAUCACAAAGCUAAGUAGAAGGUUGACUUACACAAGUGGAACGACGAAUAGGAGAAGAAGGAACUUCCAAGGGUGGUGAAUCUGUGGAUGGCACAAACAUAUUAGGAGUUGCCGAAGCGGGAUUUCCAAAGAUACCUGCAUCAAGAUUAGGAGAGGACGAUUCUAAAGAGGAAGAUGCAAGAGUGUCAUCUUCAGGCAACGGAUUGACGGAAGGAUUUGUCAAGAAGCGAACAAUUGGAAUAAUGGGAGAAGAUGCAAAAGAACAUAAAGAAGAAAACAUUUUAUGUUCUUAGAAGAUAACAUGACGAGACACACAAAGUCAAUUGGAGACAGGGUUUCAACUUCUACACCCUUUAUACCAAUGCCAUAUCCAAGGAAACAAUAGAGAUGAGCAUGAGGUUCUAACUUCGUACAUUCAUUUGGAAGAAGAUGCACAAAACAUGCACUACCAAAAACUCGAAGUAGAUUGUAACUAGGAACAUUGUUAUACAAGCGCUUAUAUGGAGAAAUGUCACAUAUAAUAGGUGAUGGAAUACGAUUAAUAGUGUAUACAGUAGUAUGAUAGGCCUCCCCCCAAAAUUGUUUUGGACAAGAUGCUGAGAUUGAAAAAGAGCGUACAAUAUCUAAGAUAUGCUUAUGUUUACGCUUUCCUCGACCAUUUUAUUGUGAAGUUCCUAGACAAGAACGAUGAAUAAUAAUACUAUUAUGAGAAAUUAUUUUAAGGAACCAUUUGUCCUUAUAUUCUAUGGCAUUAUCACUACGAAAAACCUUGGUAUCUCGAGAAAAUUGUGUUUUGAUCAUGGCAACAAAAUUACCAUAGAUAUGAGUAAGUUUAGAUCGAUUUUUCAUAAGAUAAAGUCAUGUAUAACGUGAAUAAUCAUCAAUGAAAAUCACAAAAUAAUGAGAACCUCCCGUAGUGGGAGUAGGAGAAAGUCCCAAAAUAUCUAAACGAAUUAGAUCAAAUGGAAGAUAAGAGAUAGAUUCAUUGAUAUUGAACGGUAAAGCAUGAUGUUUUCCUAACUUACAAGGUAGACAAUCAAAGGUUUUAUUGUCAACAGAACCUAGAUGGCCACUUGAAAGCAAAGAACUUAAUUGAUAAAAAAGAAAGAUGACCUAAACGAGAAUGCCAAGUUUCAAAUAAUACUGUGGCAGCACAACUAGUGAAGGAGUUGGGAAGCUUUAAUGAAACAAGUUCAAACAACUAUACCACUUUACCACUUGUCCCAAUUGUAUGUCCCGUCCAUGGAUCCUGCACAUGACAACCAUUCAAAGAGAAAUGAAUGUCAAAACCAAGGUCACAUAACUGACCCACAGAUAUCGAGUUUAAGGAGAAUUUGGGGACCAUAAAUGUAUCGGGUAAAGACAAGCUGGACAUUGAAACGUUCCUUGUAUGACUAAUUAUCAUAUGAGAAUUAUCAGUUGUGUGAAUAAUAUGUGUCUGCGAAGUGUAUGAUUUUGACUUGAAUAAAUGGGAAUUGGAGGUCAUGUGAUUACAACAUGCAGAAUCAAAGAACCAUGAAUCGGGAGUACCUGGAGUGACUGAUAGAAUAGAAGGGCUAGAAGUACCAGUUUCUUGAAGAAUGAAAUGAACUGUGGACCAAAGAUCAUCUAAUGAUUGUGUGAUAGACGAACUAUUAGAGGAAUCCUCUAUGGUAGAAGUAGUAGUGGAUGGGCGGCGUGCAGGUAGACCUCUAAAUUAGGAUCGGUUGUUUAUUCCUAUAGGUUACUUAGAUUGUAGCUGAUAAUAGUUAGAUGCAUGAUGACCAAAUCGGCGGCAGUGUGUACAAUAAAGUUGUGCCAUGAUGAUGAGCUAGAAGUGGCAAGCACUACAUCUGUAGGAGUGGAAACCAAUGGAGUAGUAUGUUGUACCUUUAAAGUCGCAGGUUGAGUUUCCUUAGUUAAUAGUUUCGAGAUAAUUGUCUCAAGAUGAGGUAAGGGAUCCUGAUGCAAAAGUGAGGCUUGCACAAGUUCAUACUCAUCAUUGAGAGCCAUUAGAAAUUGCACAACCCACAUAUGAUUAUGAUAUUCAACAAACUUACGAGCAUCGGUUGUUGAAUCCCAUGUUGGUUCAGAUAAAGCUAGUUGAUCCCAUAUAGCAUGCAUGAAAGAAAGAAAGUCAUUAAUAGACUAACCUGUCUCCCGAUGUAUGCAAUGUAAGUUCCCUAAUAGUUGAUAUUGAUGAGCAAUGUUUGAUGUAGAAUAACGACUAGCAAGAAGAUCCCAGGCUUCCUUUGAUGUAUCCGACAUGAAUCUCUUAACCUUACCGGUACUAGAGAUCAUUUUAUGGACCAUCUUUAGUAUUGUUUUGCUCAUCAAAUCUAUAAUAUAUUGGUAGGCUUCUCUUAGGCUAAGUGGGUUCGGAUUACAAGAGGAAUUUUUCUUAAACCAAUUGAAAAUGGGCUUAUAGAACGGGGAAAUGGGUUUUUGUUUUGGAUUUAUCCUUUGAGGCUCUAGUUUUGAUAGUUCAUUAGGCUCAUCAUCUGGUGAUGGUGAAGAGACCGGGCAUAAUACUAAAAUAAGAUUAGACAGUAUGCUGGAUAACCACAAAUUGGUACCUUCCACUAUCUCCACCAAAGAAGAUCUGUGGAAGAUUCUCCAUCUAAGUAUCCCUGGUAUAAAGGAUCUCGAGUCUUUUUCUUUUCCUCUUCUUGUUGUUUUAGAGAGGCUGUACAAAGUUCACACUAUUAGUCCACAUCCCGGUAAUAGUAUACUGUAACUGGGAUUUUGAAGUAGUACCUAGGAUUACCACUUCCAUCGAACAAAUGUACUAGAAGACUUGUUUGGAAUUUGUGGUCAGAUCUACCUUCUUCAUUUUGAUGGUUCUAGACAGGUUGGACCAUAAGAAGAGUGGAGAAAAUAAAGCUAGACGCUUCUAUUUUCUACUCCAUGCAAUCAAAUUUAAUAACCAUAUUAUCAUAACUCUUUUUGUAGGACUUUGGCUCAGUAGAUUGGACAAAUAUCCUUAUGGAUUUUUUUAGUUGGUUACUUAGGUUUCUAGUACAAGUUUAACCUAUUCAUCUCUGGAAAUUUGUUUGGAAACAUGGACACAAGAUAUUGUAUAGUUAUUAUCCGCAAAUGUCAUUAUGGCUUCUUCUAAUGUUGGGAGAGAAAGGUAUAUUGCAUUGUUUUGAACCCUAUACACCAUUUGAUAGUGUAAGGUAGCAACAACAAAAUCUGCCAUUUAGGAAGAUCUAGUAAAUUGGGGUUGGACUUUCAAGGCAGUAAAAAGUCGAGGGUCAGAAAGUGCCAUAUCGAAGUUGGGAAACAGGGUGACAAACAUCAUCUAGCAUUCUAGGUAGUCUUGAUUGUCCUAAUACAGGCAUAUUGGUAGUCAAGAAACUUUGUAUCUAGAAGAGCCAUACAGGCAACUACAGAAAGACCUUUUCGACCAUGGAAUGAUAAAGCAGGACAAAUUGCACCAUAAUAUAGAUAAGUGUAUCCUUGCCGAAGAGCAGUAAAUUGUUCUUGCUGGAUAGCAAGAAUAGGAUGUUGGUUGAAUCGGGUAGAUUAUAUAUUCCUUCGCCUCUUUUGGAGCGUGACAGAAUAACUUUCUAAUAAAGCGGAUGGGAGAAGAGGAAGAUGUAUGUUUAGCAAAAGCAGCAUAAAAAUUCACAAGGGGAAGAGAAGGUGGGUAGAUUUUCUCAGCUUCAUUGAGGUAAGUACCUCAUAAAACUAGUCGAUCUUGGAGGCUUCAUAUUUACCAAAUGAUUGGAAGGAGAUAAGGAAACUGGGACAUCUACAAAUGGAGUUGAAACUGUUUCGUUCUGUGUAUUUUCACUCAUGAUUAGGUGAUAACCCCCUUCAAACUCUGUGUUAUAAUGAAUUUUGGAAGGAUACUAAAACACAUAAACCAAGCUUAGGGGACACCUGAGCAAAUGCGAUUAGCAUUCAGCUGAAUCCUUAUUUUGAAUAAAAGGCCUUCUGGCCUCAAAUUCUGAUGCCCAAGAUCCUCAUAAGAAAUGUUAUCUCUUAAUUUUAGCAUCUCCAAAUCAUCUUGUGAUUUCAAUUGAUAUCUCCAAAUUUUUUUCCUAGUGCCUUUAAUGUCCACUUACAUUUUGUCACGCACAAGAGAAACAUCAAGGAAUUUGAUGUUACAUUGGAGUUUAAUUUGAAGCGAUGUAUACAUCCUCUUUUAUCUACGUCAAUGAUAUCAUGGAGAUCUGUUGUGUUUAAAGAAGGGGAGGAAAGAAUGUUCCGAGAAAAAAAUGGUGAAUGUUUGUGUCAGCUCCACAACGCCAUCGUUUUUUUUUUCUUUUCUUUUUCAUUUGCGCAUGAAAUUAAUAAACCUCCUGCACCUGAUCUGAAUACACCAGUUGAUCUUAAUAUUGUACCAUACCUAAUUAUUGUAUAUUCUCUCUAUUCGUCUCCUAGCUAUGAAAUAGCCCUUGAUUACGCGAAAGAUCAUGUGAACGAGCUCAUUAAAAAAUUAAUUACGCCAAUAUUUUGGAGAUUGACCGUUGAAAACGUUGCGACCCCUAGCUCAUUGGUCUAACAUGGUGGAACACAUGGGACAAGAUCUGCAGACUUGAUGUUAUUUUAAAGUUCCGAUUUGUUUCGAUUCUAACAUCAAAUGAACAUCGAUCUGUUAGUGAGUUGGAAUCGAACUGCGAAUGCUUUGGAAGAUAGAGAAUCCACGCGCGCCCCAAGUCCCACGCAGGUAAUUAUGUCUGGAAAAGUUCCAUUAAUUUAAACGUCGAGCAACAUGCUUUAGACCUUGAUUGGAGAGAGAGGAUCUUCGUAGAGUUUAAUUAAUUACGUUUAGUGGGGAAUGACAGCAUUUCAUGUGUCUGUGCUCCAAAGCUCCCGGCUUCUAAUUGCCCUUCCGAAACCCUAGGGUUUAUCCUGUUCUAAUCCAUCAGUCCACGUUGCCUUGGCAGGGAAGUACCUUAGUAAAGUCUUAAUCUAUUCCAAUUUUAAUUGUUGUGCUGCAGAUAUUCUGAAAUACCUGUUUCAUGUAGACAUACAGAACCUAGUCUUUUGAAUCAGAUGAGGUCCCUGCUGUCUGAGAAACUCUGCAAGCACGGUGGCAGAAACCCUAGUUUGAGCAACCCAUCGGAGUUUUGCGUAUCAUUAUAACAGAUUGGACUAAUUAAGUUUUGUCGGAAACAGAUUUCUGAAAAACGAACCAAUACUUGAACGAUCGAGUACUGAAAACAAACAUGGAAAACAUGCCUGGGAAGAACAUGUAACACCGAUUGAAAAAUAUAUCAUGGAUACGGACAUAACUUAUUUGCCAUAGAUUAAGUACUAUUGUAGUAUGGAAAGAAUGAAUUGAGGCCCUAGAAUUCUAUUCGUUAAGAGAGAAAACAUUGUUGUCCAGGAAAAGAGGGAAAUACGUUCUGUGUUUUUCACUUUCUAUUAAACAACAUUCUUCCUCUUUCUAUUUAUUUAUUUAUACAAUAGUAACUGCACUCUCUUAUGGGUCAUUCACUUACAAACCGGGUUUUGGCUCAACAUGGGCGGAUAAGCUUAAUUUAGCCCAUCAAAUAAAGAACCCAUCAAGUUUCAAAGCAAAAACAAGAUUAAUCUUGGACCUCUUGUUGAGAGAAAUACACUCCGACGUCACAUAUUAUGAUUGAGAUCUGGAUCCUUCCCUUAGUCCCAUUCUAAAGGCUUGCAGUCUGCUGUGACUUUGAGAUCUGGAUUUCGUUUCGUUUCGUUUUCACAUUAAACGAACAUCGAUCCGUACGCUGGGUGGGCAUUAGACUAAUUUCUUCAUUAAUCGAUCGAACUGCCGAUGCUUUGGAAGAUAGCGAAUUAACGUGGGACCAAAACCUCAUGCAGACUACUUAUGUCUGAAAAUACCUUGUCUGAUAACAAGUUUCGUUAGUUUAAUCGGCGGACCACGUGUUCUAUUCUAUAUUUGAAUUGGAAAGAGAGAACUUGUACCUCUUUUACUCAGCUUUUGUAUUGCGCAUGGUCCGCCGAUGUUCUGCGCAACAGCUCACGCUUUUGGAUUCUUAAACCGAUGGGUUAAUCCUCGUCCUUAUCUAUCGACCCACGUUGCCUUAGCAAGGAGAGAGGCUAACAAGUCUUAACUAAAUUCAAUCAAGUCCGAUUAUAUCUAUUUUAAAUAAAAAUUGUCUAGAUAUUUUGCAUUUUUGUUUUUUUUUUAGCUGAGUUUAUAUAAACUCACAUCCCUCUCGCUCCUCUUCCCAGCCACCUCUCCAACAAUGGCAACCCCUCCUUUCAUUCCCCUCUUCCUCUUCGGCUUCAUCUUUGCCUCUGCCAUCUCCUUGGCCACGGCCACGGCCAAACCCGCCCCACUCGUAUUCCCUGUCGAGAAAGAUAACUCCACAAACCGUUACUACGCCACCCUCCAGCUGGGGACUCCCCCUGCCGCCAUGAAUGCGGUCCUUGACCUCACGGGCCAGUUUACGUGGCUCGACUGCAGCGCCUACAAGUCCUCCUCCUUCCACCACAUUCCUUGUAACUCCUCUAGGUGUGAUGUCACCGGCGCCGGUGGCUGCGUCGACUGCUCCUAUGGCCCCGGUGGGACCACCUGCACCAACGGCACUUGCGGUGUCAUCUUGGUGAAAUUUUUCUCGGACAUGAUGACGUCCAUCGGACUUGGCGAGGACGUCCUGGUCUUGCACUCCCGGAAAAGGAACAAGUACACGUCCAAGAGUAAAUUCGUAAGUCGAAUAUCUUCUUUCGUUUACUUUGUCUUUUCGAGGUGUUGGCCAAACUCUAAACACAAUAGAUAAUUUUAUAUAAAAAUCUAUUGCAUUCAUACUUACUUUUUUGACAUUUUGACUGAUCUUGUUUCUGCAAAUGAGGGGGCAUGUCUAGUCGCCACUUAUAGCUCAAGUGUGUCUUGGUUAUAUCUUCUAAAUGAGAACAUCAAUAAGGUAUAUUAGCCUGGAUUCCCAAACAAAGGCAAAAAUUACAAAUCCACCCUGGAAUUUUCCCUCACUUACCCUUUGCAUCCUGUGAUGCCAAAAUUCUGACUUUUGCAUCCCAUGAUUCAAUAGAAACACAACCGCUUUUCACUUUGUGUCUAACACAAGAAAAAAGUUCAACACAAUACAGAAAUUAGAGGGCCCGAAAGUUGUUACUACUUGGUCCGAACCUCAUUGUGCCAAUAGAACUAAUAAUUUGUCCGGUGUGCGAUAAUAGCAUUUGCAAUUUGUAUAGAUUCGUGCUAACUAGAUUGAACUUAUAAUUACUAUUUAACAGUUGAAGUGAUUGAAUCAUCGUAUCGAGAUAAAAGGUGUUGAUUCAUAUAAACAAGCGGACUAUUUCAUGUCAUCGUGCAUUAACCGUAACACUUCAAAAAAUGAGAUAAUUGGGAGAAAUCUUGCCGAACGGAGAUAAUUAUCUUUUUACUAAUUCUCUCUCUCUCUCUCUCUCUCUCAAUUCCAGCAACAAUUUCCCUUCACUUGUGCGGAAUCGUACUGGGCGGAGAAUCUGCCGGAAUCAGCCAAAGGCAUGGUUGCGCUAGCGAGAAACCCGAGCUCGCUCGCCACCAAGCUCCCCAAGCAACUCAACCUGCCCCACAAAUUCGCUCUCUGCCUCCCUUCCUCCUCCAGAUCCGGCCACGGAAACCUUUACGUCGGUGGCGGCCCAUACGCGAAGCCUCCAAUUAAGCAAGACCUCGCGAAAUCACUCCUCCGCACUCAGCUCCUCAUCAGUCCGGGGACCAUCGCCCCCGUCUCCAGCGAAGGCGAUGGGUACACCAUUAAUGUAACCGCCGUCAAGGUUGACUCCGCUUCGCUCACCUUCAACUCCUCGGUCCUCAAGAUAGACAAGGACGGCUUUGGGGGGGCCACCAUCAAUCCUCUUAAUCCGUUCACGUCCCUCCACUCGGAGAUCUUCACGCCUCUUGUGAAGGAAUUCACGAAGAAGGCGAAGAGCAGGAAGAUCAAGCAGGUGAUGACGGUUGCGCCAUUUGGGGCUUGCUUUGACGCGAAGACAGUGAAGAGCGGGGUGGCCGGUCCGGACGUGCCGGCAAUUGUGCUGGUGCUCCACGGCGGUGCGCAGUGGAGGAUAGAAGGGGCGAAUUCGAUGGUGAGGGUGAGCAAGGAUGUAAUGUGCCUGGGGUUUUCGGACGGAGGAACAUAUGGGAUGGGCGCGAUGGCAAUCGGAGGUCACCAGAUGGAAGAUAAUCUGGUGGAGUUUGAUGUCGGGUCGUCCACGUUCGGGUUCAGUAACUCGCUUCUCCUCUUGAACUCCAGUUGCUCCCAUUCUUGAGCUGCUUUCCCCCGUCUUUGCCGAUCUGACAAAGAUGAUAAGUCCCCUUGGUGUUUUGAGCGUUGCGUUUUUGGCUUUAUGCGUAUGAAUAACAAUCUAUAUCUUUUAUUUUGAGCAAGAAUAUUUAAUUUGUGAUAUCGAAUUGAGUAAUGUGAAAGUGUGGGCGCAAGAUCUGUUGAAGUGUGACUCAUUUCUCAAUUCAUUAUAGACACUUUGUUUUAAUAAAAAAACAUGUCCUAUUUAUGUCCAAUAUAUGUGUUCCGCUUCCAACAAUGAAAGAUAUAAGUCCUUCUUCAGCUUUUAAUGAGAGGCAAUAGGUUUUAUGGUGACUUGGGACAGAAAAUAUCCCGUCAGAAAACUUUUACUUGGAAAUUCAAACUGAAAUAAAUUGUGCUAGAAUUUAAUUGACGACAAAACUUAAAAGUAGGGAGAAGUACAGCCCAAGUGCCAAAAUUUGGCAUUGAUGAAUACUUAAGUGUCAAAAGUUAGGAAAGUGACACUUAAGUACUAAAUCGGAACAAAAUGAAUCACUGCCAAUUUGGCCAAAAUGCUAACGUGAUGAUUUUUCGACGAAAUAAGUGCAAAAUGGCGUCGUUUUACUCGCUGACGUGAUUAGAAAAUGCAAAAACAACGCCAUUUUAGUGCUAACGUAGUAAAAAAAUUAAUAUAAAAAUUAAAUUUAAAACUAAAUUUAUUUAAAACAUUUAAAAUAAAAAUACAAAUAUUAAAAAAAAAGGAGGGGGAAAGGGAGGCAGCUGAGGGCUGAGACCUCGCCGCCAACAGGAAGGGCCGCAACAGAGGGGGGAGGGUCGGUUGGGGUCGCCGGCCCCUAACUAACCAUUGGUAAGGGCCCACGAGCCCUUGCCAAAUUUGGGCGAGGGCUCGCGGACCCUCACCGCCGGUCAGCCGGGGUCGCCGGCCCUUGGCCAGGGCCCAACGACCCUGGUCGACGCUCCCCUCACCAUUGCUGGCCCUUCAAAAAGACUGGAAGGGAGCCGCGCAAAAGCCUCAAGAGGCAAGGACAGAAAGAGCGCAAACAACAAACACAACGCGACCACCAGAUUCAGCCCCCAGACCUCCAUGGACGCCUGGGAAUCCGAGAGCCAGAACAUCCGCACCGGGGGCGACCGACCAGAUCAAAUGAUAAAAACCCAAAGGGUUAUGUGAAGAUAUAGGGUCGAGAUCCCACCCCUCUGAAGACGCCGAUUUCUAGGAUUGUCAUGGGACAUCCUUGGUAGGUAAUUGCUUUAUCUUUAACCAUCUUUUAUCAAUGNNNNNNNNNNNNNNNNNNNNNNNNNNNNNNNNNNNNNNNNNNNNNNNNNNNNNNNNNNNNNNNNNNNNNNNNNNNNNNNNNNNNNNNNNNNNNNNNNNNNUAAAAGUAGGUACGAUAAAAUCAUGUUGACUUACAAAACCCAGAAGACAACACCCCCACCCCCAAAGGUUUCCCAUAUCUUGUUCUCCUUCUCACGAUUAUGGGUCUCAGUAGUUCUUGGCUACUCGGCGAGGAAAUGAAAAAAUACUCAUACAAGUUCUUUGGUAAUAGGAAAAUGGAUAGAAAAGAUCAACAAACUCAGAUAAUUGAUGAGUUGGAUAACAAUAAAAAGCAAAGAGCGGCAAUGUUCACUCAGUCCACAGCCGCCUCCCUCCCCUCCCCCCAUUUUUUAAAAUAAUUUUUUAAUUUUUAAUUUUUUAAAAUUUUAAAAUGUUUUAAAUAAAUUUAAUUUUAAAUUUAAUUUAAUUAAUUUUUAUAUUAAUUAUUUACCACGUCAAAGACAAAACGACGUCAUUUUUGUAUUUUCUAGCCACAUUAACGUGCAAAACAACGUCUUUACCAAAAAAAAAAAAAAACGUACAAAACAAGGCCAUUUUGCAGUUAUUUCGUCAAAAAAUCACUGCGUUAGCAUUUUGGCCAGUUUUUUUUGCCGAAUUGGCACUCAAGUAAUCCAUUUUCUUCCGGUUUUGGCAUUUAAGUGUCACUUUCCUAACUUUUGGCACUUAAAUGUUCAUCCGUGCCAAGUUUUGACACUUCAGGUGUCCGGCACUCCUUAGAAGUACAACCACUUUUAUAGCAACACACAUGCAUAAAUAGUGCCGGAAUUUAAUUGACAACAAAGCUUGAGGACGUGCAAAAAUGUAACGCUGGAAUUUAAUUGACAAUGCAACACCUAGGAUAGAGAUACAUGCCAAGACGAAAAUUGGAAAGUUACAGCUAAGGAAAAAUAAAGUGUUGUACAAGAAAAUAAACAUAAUUGAAAGAGAACAUUUUGAUUGAUUUGUUAGGAGUCUUCAAAGACUACGAUGUGUCAUCUAGAUUUUUCAACUUGUUUUCUACUGAAUUAAUUGGGCAUUUUGUUGAUGUGUUUAUAAGACUAUUCUCAGAGUUGAUCACUCUUGAGAUAACUAGACUAUCCGGGCAAGUAAUUAAGAAAUUUUAAGGCAAUAAACUUGAGAAUUCGACCAGGAAUUGGCUUCUCGACCGUGCUCAUCUUUAGAGGCCAUUGUGACACAGUUAAAAAUCGAUUUGAGAUUAGAGAUAAGUCUGUUCGAUUGAAAUUUUUGGCCAAUCGUGGGUGACUCCACUAAAUUGGAAAAUUCUCAUCGGUCAACACUAAUAUGAUUUUACUGUUGUUUUGGUACCUUGUGUCUGUAAUUGAAUCAUCGAUAUUUUCACGACAAUUGAGAGUCGCCAUUGAGUCUAGUGGGUUCAUAGUGGUUCGAAGAAAAUCACCCACAGGUCAUUUGCCUUAAAAAGUUCUGAAAACUACAUAAUAGUUUAGGUCACGCUAAAAACACGCCAAAUGGAAAUUAACCCCGAUUCAAAUCCGAUUUCAAAAAUUGAAGGUUCUGUUAUGUUACAAUAAAUUCUAAGAUCCACGACUCAGUCUCAAAAUAUUUUUCUAACAAUUGAGACUUUUUGGGAAAAAGUCAGUUUAGGGCCGUUUUCGUUCAGUUAAAGCCAAAGAUUAAUUUUGAGUGUGAAGCUGAGAAGCAUGAGGGAUUCUUGGAUGAGGAAAAUAAUCAAUUUGAUAUUUGAGACAUCAAUUGAUUUCUGGGAGAGUUAAUUGAGAGAAAAUCAAGAGGGAAAUUGGAUGUAGAAUCGCAAUUGAGGACCAAGUACUCUAAAUUGAAAUUUCUCUGGAAAUCAUAGAGCUUAUUCGAAAGAAAAUAGGAUGAAAAUUUUCUAUUUUAGGAAAUUCUUUUAGUUUCCUUCCCAUUUCCUUUUUUCUUUUUCCAUUUUUGGCUAAACACCAUUUUUCCUUUUUUUCUUUUUUUUUUCUUUUUCCCCUACCUCACUUGGCCGACUCUCUCUCUCUCUCUCUCUCUCUCUCUCUCUCUCUCUCUCUCCUUCUCUUUGUUUCCCUCGUGCGGAAUCCCCCACCGACUCCCCUCUGCCGGUUCCAACUUUGCUUCUCAUUUUUCUCUUUUUACUUUUGACUUUUCAACUUACCUUUUCUCUCUUAUCUCUUCUUCUUCUUCUUCUUCUUCUUCUUCUUCUUCUUCUUCUUCUCUCUCUCUCUCCCUCUCUCUCUCUCUCUCUCUCUCCCCCUCUUGUUCGAACGAAACCGAAGUAGAAGCAGAGACGGCAGCAUCGAGAGAAGAAAAUCGGAUCAGCUCGCCAUCGCCGCCCGCGCUCCGCCACCCGCACGUCGCCCGUGCGCCCCGCCGCUCACCGUUCGCCCUUCGCCUCUCCCUCACCCUCCUCAGCUGCUGCCGACACAUUCUUUCUCCCCCUCGGCCUACUGCCCGAUGUCCCAUCAGAUCUUGGAGGACGCCGGAGCAAAAGUAGCAGCCGAUGCCGCUUGGAGCCGAAGCUGCCGUCGUCGUCGAUCGCCCUUCCCCUCAUGCGCACGCGUGUAGCCGUGCUUGGCCGCACCUCUCACCACCCCACCGUGCGUCCCCAGCCUUCAUUCGCCUCCGCCCAGCUCUGUUCAGCCACCUCAGGCCGCUACCCGACCCCCUCCGACCACUGUUUGGCCUCAUCGAAGCUCCCUUCGCCCUCCACUGACCUUGCCUCACCUCUCAGCCACCGGACCAGCCCCAACCAGCCAAGAUCAACAACCCACCGAGUGGUUUUCCAGCAGGUUCGUGGGCUGUUCUGGGUUGUUUCCGGGCCCCAGACUUGCUUUGGAAGAAUCGAUCCUCGUGUCAUCCAGUCGGAUUGAUACGUUUUGCGCUAAAUUUCGGUGAGUAAUAUCACUAAUCCCUGCUUAGUUUGAUAAUUAUUCUUAGGGGUUGAUUAUAUUUAAUUAAGAGCAAUUAGGUAGUUAGAUUAGAAUGGAUUAGUGAUUAUUAGUCAAUUGCAUUGCAUAUUAGAUAGGUGAUUAGCGUACUUAGCUAGAGAAUUGCCUAUACUAUUUAUUGAAUGCAUUUCGGGAUUUUUCCCAACCAUAAUCGGGCUUCAAUUAGGCAAUACGAGCCUAAAUUGGAUUUUUAGUAUUUAAUUAUUAAUUUUCGAAAUUAAUUAAUUAACUAUUUAUUUUUUCUAGAAAUUCAACCGGGAUGGCCGGUGACCGAGAAUUUCAUGCUGAUCGUCGUGGUGCAAUCCGUUUAUUUAAUUGAGCUUCAAAUUAUGCCGAAUUGAUUUAAUUAUGAAAUUUUAGGAUAUAUUGAUUUUGAUUAUUCGGUUGAGGAAUUUAAUUAUGAAGUGCAAUAUCAUUGGUUGUGAUUAAAUGGUCGAGUGGGACCAUAAAGCCAUUAAAUAUUGAAAGCGGUCGAGUGGGACUGUAAAGCCAUUAAAUAUUGAAAGCGGUCAAGUGGGACCGUAAAGCUAUUAAAUAUUAAAAGUGGACGAGUGGGACCGUAAAGCCACUAUAUUGAAAGUGUCGAGUGGGAUCGUAAAGCCACUAAAUAUUGAAAGUUGCCGAGUGGGACUGUGUUUUCCACCUAUACUUAAGUUGUGUCCUAAAGACCGUGAUUCGUAAUUGGGAAUUGAGAUGAAAUAAUUGAAAUGACUGAUGAAUGGUCCGAUUGACAUGAAAUUGACUAGGUCGAUUGAUCGAUGUAUCGAUCUGUGAUGUGAUUGCUUGGGUGCCUAUUAUGGAUUGUACUGACUUGCAAGUGGGAUCCGAGGCCAAGGUAAGUCCUCUGACCUGUACGUGUUUAGGCAGCCCAUAGUGUAUUAGUUUACUAAUCGGGUCUUAGUGGGGUAGAAUUUGCUGAGACGUAGUCUCAUCCCGGUUGUGGGACAACAUUUCAGGCCUGUAGAUGAGCCUAUGGAAGAGGAAUUAAAAGAUGAUGAUGAGCUAGAAAAAGAUGAAGAGCUCGAAGGAAAUGAGCUUAGAGAAGAAGAGUCAAAAGAGGAUCAGGAUGAUCCUGAGUAUGACCUGAAUGAGGACCAAGAUCCAUCCUCUUUUGUGAAUCCUGUUUUGAUGUGAAUAGAGUGAAAUUAGAAAGUCGUGAACAGUUUGUGAAAUACUUUGAGUUAUGCUCUGUAUAAAAGUAUGGUUAUGAAUUUCAAUAUAAAAAAAUAUGGCCUUACUUUUCUAUCCCAUCAUUUUAUUAUCUAUGGAUUUAUAACUGCUUCCACAUGCACUAAUAAAAAUGAAAGGGUCGGCAAUACUUAGUCCUGGGAUAUCGCAUUAGAAAAUCAACCAAGUAGAAUGAUGUGUGUGUGCCCGAGGAUCGGGGCGUGACAUACGAUGUGGCCAUUUAAAACUUACAAUCAAUAGUUAUCAACGGAAGUUACAAAUGGUUACUACGAAGAAAUAACUUCCUAGUGGUCUCAAGAAGUUACAAAGAGAGGUUACAAAAGGUCGUUAAAUAAAGAUUACAAGCAAUUACUACAAAGAAAUAACUUCCUAGUGGUGACAAGAAGUUACAAAGAGAAGUUACAAAAGGAGGUUACAAAUAGAGUUUACGAACGGUUAUCAAUAGUUGCGUGAACUUCACUACGUUGAUGGUUUUGUGUACUUCAUUAUCUUGACGAUUGCAUCCGAGAUUGUUGACUUCACUUUUGAAACGAAGGAUCUUUACAAGUAUCUUUUUAUAAUGCUGUAUAAAAGAUAUCGCUUGCCACGGAUGGUUUCUAGGACUUCAUUAUCUUGACAAAGAGCAAACACAUCAUUAAAUUACCAUAAGACAAAUUAUAGACCAAUAGGGCUCAAUAGUAUGAUAAGACGUAUAUAUCUCAAGCCUUCUAAAAUGAAAAAUUAUUACAUGGUGUACAAAUCAUAUGAACCGAUAUCAUCUCGAUUAUUAAUUAUAUAAGACUUAUUAUGGAGUUCACAUGAUAAUGAUUUGGAUAGAUUUGAUUUAUAUAGUUUAUAGGUCAUACAAUAAUGUUUUUUUUUUUCAAACGAGAUUUAUAUUAGUCUUUUACCAGUGACUAAGGAUAACAUUAAUGUCUACCACAAUUUUGGUGUAACUUCUUAUAAUAAGUUGUGAAGUUUCACUUUGAAAAAAAUUAAUUUCACUGCCCCUAUUGUCAAACAAAACAUUACUGGACAACUUUUUAUACUACCUCAUGAUCUAUGCUCCAUGCAUCCUCCAUUGCAUAGAUAUAUGCAAAAGGAUUACGAAUAUUGACUUUCUUGUAACUUAGCCUUCUGUCUCACUUCUAAUAAGACAUAUGCUAAUGUUUUUAAUUUCCUUUUUGGAAGGCAAUGAUAGCCGGAGGUAGCAAUACAACCGUGGCCACCCUUACAUGGUCAAUCUCUCUGUUGCUGAACAACCUCACCAUCCUAAAAAGAGUUCAAGAAGAACUUGAUAAUCACAUUGACAAGCAAAGACAUCUUAUUGAAUUGGAUAUCGCCAACUUAGCCUUCCACCAAGCUAUAAUAAAAAAUACCCUCCGCCUAUACCUAGCAUCACCCCUCUUUGGAUGCCAAUUCACUGAGGAUUGCAUCAUUGGUGAGUAGGGAAAAUUGUCCAAAAAGUCAUAAAUUUAUUGCACUUUUUCUAAUUCAGUCAUAAACCUUUCAACUUUGUCAAUUAAGUCUUAAAUAUUUCAACAUUUUGCUAAUUGAAUCCAUCCAACCAAUUUUAAGCAGAAUUCGCUGACGUGGAUGCCGACUAUCUUACGUGGCAUGGCUGGCGUUGACAUGGAUAAAAUUUACUGUUUUUUUUAUUUUUCGAAUUUUUAAAUUUUUUUUAAAUUUUUUUUCCUUUUCUUCCUUUGGCUAGUCACCUGGUCUCCGGCAAUUGGCCAGAGCCCAUGAUCGGUGAGGUUGCCCUUGCAGAGAUCUGGCGAGCGGUACCUUGCUGUCCUUGGGUGAGGCUUGCCCUUGCUAGAGGCCAACCUUACUGGCCUCACAAGCCUCAAGUGAGGUCACCCUCGCCCGCCUUGGGCAAUGCUCGCUCUCGGCGGAUGAGGGCAACCUCGAUUGAGGCCCGCAAAGCCGACCUUCGUUGGCCUAUGAUGAGGUUCGACCUCAUCGAACUUGGCGAGGUUGAGCCUCACCCAAGGCCGACGAGGUCCCUCCUCACAAGAUCAUGGCAAGGGUGACCUCGCCUGAGGCUGGCAAGGCUAACCCUUGCUGGUUGUGGCCUCUAGCCAGUUGCUGAAGGCUAGGUGACUAGCCAGAAGAAAAAAAGGAACGGAAUUAAAAAAAAGAAAAAAAAAAGAAAAACACAGAAAACUAAUUUAAAAAUUGAAAAAAUAUUUAAAAUUUAAUAAACUUUUUCCACAUCAACACCGGUGUCCACAUUAGCAAAUUCCAGCCACAAUUGGCCGGAUGAACUUAAUUGGCAAAAAUUGAAAAAAGUUUAUGACUCGAUUGGCAAAGUUGCAAGAUUUAAGAUUGAAUUGACAAAAGUGCAAUAAGUUUAGGACUUUUUGGACAAUUUCCCCUUGGUGAGUAUCAUGUGCCCAAAGGCACAAGGAUGAUGUUCAACCUAUGGAAAAUUCAAACUGAUCCACAUUGUGAUCUGAGCCCUUGAAGUUUCAGCCAGAGAGGUUUUUGAGUAGCCAUAAAGAUCUCGACGCGAAGGACCAUAAUCUUGAGCUCUUACCAUUCGGAAAUGGUAGAAUAAUGUGUGCUGGAAUGUCCUUCACACUCCGGUCACUGCAUUUUAUCUUGGCUAGGUUCUUGCAUGCAUUCGAAGUAUCAACUCCUGUCAAUUCUUCAGUAGACAUAUCCGAGGAUUUUGGAGCAACCAUAAAGAAGGCAAGGCCACUUGAAGUUAUGCUCGCACCAAGAUUACCUCGUGAGUUGUACGAAUCGGUCUAGAGCGUCAAACGAUGAAGAGGCUCUUAGAAGAAGCUACUUACAACAACAGCUAAACGAACGUGCAUGGGCUUUUCCUAUUUAGCUAAGAAAGUCAUCCAUAUUCAGACAUUGGGGACAACAGUGACUUUGAUCUUAUAUGCUUUUCUUACGUCAAUGAAAUAGUGGAAGUCCUUCACGUAAGUCUUAAGGUUUAUCUCAUUACUAUGUUAAGUGUUGAAAAUUGGGAUAUGCAUUAUCAACGUCAUCUCACUUAUAUCGUGAUACUUAAUAACUAGUGGCUGAUGUGAUAACCAAGUCAAAACCAAUGAUUCAAAAUCCAAAUUGGACUGAUUGGUUCGAUUGGCUAUCGGCGUUUGGUUUAGUUUGGUUCAUAUAUACAAAUUUAUAACUAGGAGUUUGACCGAAGACUAGCAUUAAGAAAAUUAAGUACUAGGAGUGAUGAGUCAGAGUUUCGAUCUCCAGAUCCUGUAGGAACACCUUUAAAUGCUAGCUGGAUUGUUGACAUAAAUGUACCUUCCAAGGGUUGGAUUGGUAAAAAAUAACCUAAUUUUGAACUAGCACCAGGUUAGAGCGGAUCUUCACAUUUUAUGCCUAAGGGGUGAAGUGUUGUGUGGAUUUAGCCCAAAACAAACAGAGACAACUUUAAGAUGAUUAACAAAAUUGGAAUGGACUAAUUUAUUUAAAUCUAGACUAACAAUCUAGUCAAAGGUGUUGAGAAAGCUCCUUGAGUAUUUUGAAGGCAGGAAUUGAUAUGAGCAUUUGAGUGUGUAGACACAAUGUUCACUCGAUAUACAAGUUCGUAUGCAAAUGAUGUUUACAUUAGGAUGUUUGUGCUAGUGGAAAGCUUUGUUUGUCCAUAAAUGAAGAAAGGAAUAUUGAGUAGAAAGUGCUAGGGUUGGAAAGACAUUUGGAUUUUGGUAAAUAAGUGAGAAACAUGCAAUUGUUGGGGUGCUUGGAUAGACCAAAUAGAAGAAUAACACCUUGGAUAUUAUAUUAGUUUAAUGUGCUUGGGAGGACCUUAAUGCAGAGAGUGAACCGAUUGAUAUUCGGUGAAAUUGCAAGUCUAGAUGAACCUCAUUAUAUAGGAAGUUCAUGCUACAAAUUGAGUGAACAAUACUUCAUGUACUGGAAACAAUGAACCAGCUCUAAAUCAAUUCGAUUCAAAUUCAAAUUUGUGCGUUGGAGCCAAUUUCAUUACUUCAAAUCAAUUAAAAAAAAAUGGUUCUAGAGAAGGUAGAAGGGAUUUGCCAUUUUGGCUUUACAGAGAUAGUUUGGUCUAUUUUGGGCAAGAUUUUGAGCCAAGAACAACAUUUGUAAUGGCUACUUAGAACUAUCUGAAGUCUCCAACUUGUCAAGGAAGCUUGGAGGGCUAUACAUGUACAAGAGAGUGAGCGUUGAAGGUGACUAUAGGGAUAAAAUUGCUCUUAAAAUGAUUCCUCUUGUGCCUACUCUCUUGAGAAUAAGCGAGUAAGUAUUAUGACUUAAAUUUCAUCUGAACAAUUGAAUCAGAAUUAACAAAAAUUUAUAUAAAUAAUCUUGUAAAUUUUGAUAUUUGAGAUAUGAAUCUCUUAAGAAUGAUCGUAUAUCACUAAUUUAUCGUUAUCCAUCCUAUACUAGACAAAAGUGCACAGUGAGAUUUAAGCCAAUGCUGAAAAUGCGGCUUCUAUCGAUUCAUGAAUAUCCGCGCCUAGAAUCAUUUCAUAAAACGAAAAAAGAUACCAAAUAAAUGGAGAGGAACAGACAAAUCCAAAAGUCUUCGCAUACGUACUUGUGGAAUCCUCAAGAUGAGCCCAUCAAAAGUCACGCAACGUGGAUCCCCACUGGACCCCACCCAUCCGCUCGCCGGCAACUUCAUCCGUAAGACAAGACAUCUCGAGCCUGACGUGAAGUCGCCCAAAACUUUCUCGUCCGAGUGAUUCGUUCGUUUGGACCGGAGGAAAUUCAGGACCAAGUGUGGGCCCACCGGUGAAAUUCUAAUGAAAAUGAAUGGAUGGGAAUUUUAAUAUAUUAUAAAAUAAUAAUUUAUUCUAAUUCACAAAACAUCAAAUAAUGGAUAAUUAAAAAUUAAUGUGAAGUUCUAUCUUUCAAAAAGUCGUGACUCACAAUAAAUAAUUAUUUCUCAAUAGUAUAAAUAUAAUUAUGUUAACAAAAUCCACAUAGCUACUCAUAGUUAAAAAUUCAACCGUGAACCCAAAAAUAUAAACAAGGUAUGUCUGCCGUCCUUCAACCAAUUCCUCCACCUCCCUUUGACUUUUUCUCUUUGACGUUGUACAAAUCAAUAAGCAAUGCAAACAAAUGAAUCUUUUAUUUUAUCAUUAUCAAUUAUACUGAAUCUGAAUCUAAGAAUAUGGUAUAAAACUCAUUAAGAGUAUAUUCAAAUUAUGUGUACACCCAGUUGGAAGCAUGCAUAAUUAUGUCAUGUUGACAUCAGCAAACAUGUUGAGAUACUCAAUUAAACAAUUAAACAAGUCUCAUAUCAAUAGAGUAUUCGAGCUUUCUUACGUAUCACAUUUAUAUCCUUCAAAUGUGGUCCAUAGACACUAAAUAAUUAUACGAGACACAUGGGGUUUUGUACUCUUGGAGAUCGUCUAAAAAAAUGCAUAAAUAUAGUAAUUCAGAUUUAAUACAUAAUAUUACCCCCAAACGAUAAUAUAAUCAAAGUCGAUAGGAACAUGCAUAGAUUUGUACAUAAAAUCUUUAGUCCUAGAUUUCCACUUCCCAAAAAAGAGAGGAGCAAAAACAAUGUACCCAGCCAUGAAUGUUCAAUGCCUUUUCCGUCUUUUGCACUAGGUUUGGAGCUUGAAACCCUCAAGUGCUUCACAACCUUUUCCUUGGUGCUUCUGCACGUUACACGCAGCAAAAAUGGACUCUCAGCUUCAAGACCUACUCCGCUUGUCCGGAAUAAUCUUAGCCAUCCUCGUCCUAUCAAUCUUUGUAUUAUUCAAAUCAACAUCAUCAAGCAAGCUCAAAACACCACCAGAAGCCCCGAGGGCAUGGCCCGUCAUAGGUCACUUGCCCAUUCUAGCGAAAUCCAAGCUUCCCCACAAGACCUUAGCGUCCAUGGCCGACCAGUGUGGACCCAUCUUCACCGUCCGGGUCGGGACGUUCCAGGCUCUAGUGGUGAGUGGUUCCGAGAUGGUCAAGGAGUGUUUCACCAAGAAUGACAUCGCGCUGUCCACUCGACCACGGCACGUGGCCCAGAAGAUCCUGGGGUACUCCUACGCCAUGUUCCCGUUUGCGCCUUACGGCCCAUACUGGCGCGAGGUGAGGAAGAUGGUCACCUUGGAGCUGCUCUCGAGCCGGAGGGUCAAAUCAUUUCUCAACCCUAUACAGGCCUCCGAAGCGGACGUGGCUAUUCAAGAGUUGCACGAGCUUUGGAUUGAGAACAAGGACGAUUCAGGUAUUCUUCUGAUGCUGAUGGUCAUUCUAUAUGUCGUUCUGACAGAUCUUGAUGAUAGGCCAUUCCCUGGUUGUAUUAAUUAUUUUUCUUUUUUCUGUGAACGCUGGUCGUUUUCAUAGUAUAAGGUCACGAAAAUGAUCAAAUUUAGAAUUUUCGGUUGCAGUACUCUCUCUAGAUUAAGAGCGAGUCAGGACUUGCACUUUUAUGGCGUCCUUACCGGCUGACAAAGAAAAUAUGAUGCUUGUCCUAUGUUAGUCAAAGAGGGUUUUUUGGAAAGGAGCAACCUAAAUGAAGUGCUGAGUUUUGUGAGGCAUUCAACUAAGCCCAUGUCCUACUAAUUUGUUGGAUUCGUGGACGGCUUCGGAAUGACUCCUGUGCAUUUGACGCACGAAAUACAUAUUCGAUUCUUCUAUCACUCAACGCAACUACAAACAGUGCCAUACUUAGGUCACCCUUCUCGGUCAUAUUUCUUGCUCGAUCACCUAGCCAUGGGCUUUUCUGCCAGUAAAAAAAAAAGCAUGGAUAAUUGCCAACAAAUUCAUAAACUUAGUAUGAGGAUGUCAAUUCAAUUUUAAUCAUUUAAGUUUGGUCAAUUUAGCUGUAAAUUUUUUUUUAUGGUUUGCCAACGUAGUCAUUCCAGCAAAUUUUGAUCGGAAAUCAGUAACGUGGAUAUCGGUCGUCUUACGUGGCAUAGUUGGCUUUGACAUAGAUAAUUUUUUUUAAAAUUUUUUUAUGAAUUAUAUAUUUAAUUAUGUCCUCUCUUUUUUUUUUUCUACUGUGACCCAUGAGGGCCUUCGGGGCUCGUUGACCACUAGAAGAGGGUCGCAAAGCCCUUGGUGGCUGUGGGUGAGGCUGCCUUACCCAAAUUUGAGCGACGCCUUCGUGGCCCUCGCCCAUAGUCGACUCUAGCGACCCUUGCUAGCCAUAGUGAAAACAAAGGAACAAAAAAAAGAGAGAGAAAGAAAUAAAAAAAUAAUAUAAAAUUCAGAUUUAAUUUUUAAAAAAUUGCUACUGUGCCACGUAGGAUAAAUUGCGAUCAUGUUAGUGAUUUUUAGCCAAAAUUGGCCGGAAUAAGUACAUUAACAAAUCUUCAAAAGGUUCAAGGCUAAAUUGGAAAAUUGAAAGGAUUGGGAUUGAAUUGGCAAACACACAAUACGUUUAAGAUUUUUUUAGUAAUAUUUUCGAAGAAACUAAAUAGAAUGACACACGACAUCAAUGAAGUACUGUUCAAGAUUGAAUUUGUUUCAUCAAUUCUUUUAGUUCACGAGAGUAUUCGAAACUUCAUUUUAGCAUAACAUCUACUUCAUUCUGAUUUAUUAGGCCACGUCAUAGUCGACUUGAAGCAGUGGUUUGCAAAGUUGACUCUGAACGUGAUCCUGAGAAUCGUGGCCGGAAAGCGCUACCGUGCAGCGGAUGAGGAAAAGAAGCAGCAGUGCCAAAAGGCGUUACGAGAGUUCUUCCACUUCUUUGGGUUGGUUUUACCAGCAGACGUUUUUCCUUUCUUGAGGUGGUUCGACUUGGGUGGACAUGAGAAGGCCAUGAAGAGGACUGCAGAAGAACUAGACGAAAUUAUGGGUGGUUGGUUGGAGGAUCACAAGAGGGAUAAUAAGGAUUUGGGUGAGACCAAUAGCAGUGGAGAUUUUAUGGACGUCAUGCUUUCGGUCCUUAACGAUGAUGAAGUUGGAGGUUAUGAUGCUGAUACGGUUAUAAAAGCUACAUGCUUGGUAAGCUUUUGUUCGCUUCCCGUUAGAGCAGUCUUUUCUUCUUCAUAAUGCUAGUUGCCCACAUAUCAAGUGGUCAGGGGUGAUUGUCUAUAGGUUUAAUUGAUUUCAACUAGGGGUGAGAAUGGUCCGAUCGGUCCAAUUCUAGAGUUGGAACCAUAUAAAUCUAAUAGGGAGGGACACGUUCUAGAAAACAUGAAGUUAAGAAUUGGGCUGAUUUACCGCAGAACAAAACCUGGAAUUGAACUGGCUCUAACGGGUUCUAGGUAGAAUUGCUAGCUAGUCUACUUCUACAAUUUUUGUUAUUUCAGUAUAUCAAAAAAUAAGUAACCAAUUUUCUCUUUUUAAGUAAAAACUUUCUCCCAUUUGUGUUAUGAUAUGGAAAAUAUGCACAUUGAACAAUUACAUUGGAAUAAUUAAGUUUGAUAAUUAAAAUGUACUUAUAUUGGAAAUCAAGUUAGAGAACCUAAUUUGCACUAUGAAAUAAGGCUCGAGCACUCAAUUUGGAAAGCUGCUCAAAUUAGAGGGAAGAAAGUUGGACUAAAGUUUAUUAUUGUGGGCUUAUUUAAAUUUUCAUAUUAAUGCCAGCGUCCCUUUUGAACAUCCUGCAAUCUCGGGCAGAAGGAGUGGGAGUAAAUUUGGACUCAAUUACAAAUUAUGCAUCUUCUUUUUCGUUAUCGGACCACAUUUUUCUAAACCAUAUGAAGUGGAAGAAAUAUGAAUUCCGGUUGCGAAUAAUGUGCGGUUAAUCAUCACAACUGAGUUCUAACGAGGAAAACAUGUUUGUUGUGUAUAAAGGCGAUGAUUGCAGGAGGCAGUGAUACCGCGAUGGUUACCUUGACGUGGGCAAUCUCGCAGUUGCUCAACAACCUUCACAUCCUGAAGAAAGCUCAAAAAGAGCUCGAUGCUCAGAUCGGCAAGCAUAGGCAAGUGAAAGAAGGGGACAUUGCUAGCCUAACUUAUCUUCAAGCCAUAGUGAAGGAGACCCUCCGGUUACACCCGGCAGCCCCACUCUCGGGGCCACGCCUAUUCACAGAGGAUUGCACGGUCGGUGAGUACCACGUCUCUAAGGGCACAUGGUUGAUCUUGAACAUCUGGAAAGUCCAAACUGACCCUAGGACAUGGCCCGAUCCAUUGGAGUUUAGGCCUGAGAGGUUCUUGAGCAGCCACAAGGACAUUGAUGUGAAGGACUCCAACUUUGCGCUCCUACCAUUUGGAGGCGGCAGGCGAAUCUGUCCAGGAAUAUCUUUCGGACUAGAGAUGGUGCAUUUUCUUCUAGCUAGGUUCUUACAUGCAUUCGAGAUAUCAACUGUGGACGACUCACCAGUGGAUAUGUCUGAGAUCUUCGGACCGACUAUUUUGAAAGCGACCCCGCUGGAAAUUAUGCUCAAGCCGAGAUUAACUCAAGAGCUCUACUAAUUGAGGUAAGGGACAGUUCAUAUAUCAAAUGAAAACUCUUUGGAAUGUACAAAUAAGUUAAUGUGUAUGCACUCUCUCCACGCGAGGCUCUUAAAAGACAUAAUCACAUAUCUAGACUCUACGGGGUGAAGUUGUUGGCACUGGAACAUCACUUGCAUGAAAGGGCUUACGAGCUUACGAGUUCGUGAUUACAUUAGGAUGUCGAAUGUCAUGUACUAUCGUUUACCACUUGCAUGUAUACCGUGUGACCAAUUAUCUAUGGAAUUCUUCAUGCUAUCCUUGCCCAAAUGCCAAUCCUACAGGUUUAGUUGCCAUCAAUAAGAUCUGGCCGUUAAAUCUCUUGUAGCCAUAAACAUCAUUAUCAUCCAUUGGAUGAUUGCAAUGUAUCUCUUUCCCCUUUGGCCAGCAUGUAUUUUGAACUUUUGACUCUGAAGAAUCUCAAGAAGAUGCGUAAAACGCCACAUCUACGUGCAUUAGUUGAGGAUCCACUCAUGACGAGACAUGCAUGGUGGCAAAAAGUGACCACUCAACCUCUUUCUUUAAGGACUGAUUUUUCAACCGUUUGGACUGAGCAAUAACGGAAGGAAGGAAUAUUUCAAUUUAUAUCUACACAUGCGCGCACUGAUACAUGAGAGAGAAGUUGGGGCGGGGGGAUAUGGUAGUAGAUAGUGAGGUAAGUAGGUAGAAAAGACUGCAAUAAAAUGCAAACACUACAUUGAUUUACCACAUUUCGUAUGAUCUGUCUAUUUAAUAUCAUCACAUCACUUACAUUAACCUUUGGCCCAUGUAACUAAAGCAACAAACAAGCUGCACAAGGUAAUAAUUCUUUUUUGAGAAAAUAUUAGAAGGCAUCUCAACUUUUCAUCCUCAUAUCAAUUAACAUCUUCAAUUUUUGGUAGUUAUGAUCUGCUUCUUCUGACAAAUUUUAAAGCUGAAAGACCAAUCUACCCCGUCAAACACAUCCAUACCCUAAACCCUCUCUCUCCUCCCUCAACCCCCCUCCCCCUUCUCUCUCCUCCAUGGUUGGGCUAGACUGCAGGUUGAGCUUGACCUAGAUCUAUUCAAGCUCAAGCUCAACGCCGGGGUAAGAAUGUGGGGCAUCAAGCUCAAACAGGUCUGACGUCAAGCCGUUUGUUGACGUCGAGGCAGAGAAGUGUGUGCGCGUGUGAAGUCGCGGCAGAGAGAGAUGGAAUCGAAUGAAGCUUGUGCUGCUCCAAAUAGAUGGAGAGGAACUGACAAAUCCAAGUCUUUUCAUAGGUACUUGGGGAAUGCUCAAAGUGAGCACAUGGAAAGUCAUGCAACGUGGAUCCCCACAGGACCCCACCAUCCUCUCGCUGGCAACUUCUUCCGUAAGACAAAAGACAUCUAGAGCCGGACGUGAAGGGUCUGUUUGGUAAAAAUUGUUUAUGUUAUGCGGAACAAAAAUUUAUGUUCUUUUGUUCCAGGAAAUAAAAAAAGAACAGAAAUGUGUUUGGUAAAAUUUUUAUUUCGGAAACAAAAAAUCUAUUUUUCUGUUCUCGAUAACAGAUUUGGAACAUAAAUAAAAAGUAAAUAAAAACAACUUAUUGUUCCCAGAAACAAUUCCUACAAUCAAUUUUUCUCUCUUCUUCUCUUUUCUUUCCUUCUUCUUCCUUUUGGCCGGUCACCGGUCUUGGUUGAUGACCGACUAACGAGGGCUGACGACCUCACCGGAGCGUCGCCGGUGAUGCCGAGCCAUGGCGAGGCUCAUUGGCCUAAGUCUCGCCGGUGGCUGGGCGAGCUCGACCUCGCCAGAUUUGGGCGAGCUCAAGCCUCACUGGGCCACUGCCAGGUCGGUGUCGCCCAGUGGUGGCUCAGCGAGAGGCUCGGCCUCGGCUGACCUGGCGGUGACCUAGCGAGGCUUCGGUGAGCUCGCCGGACCUCACCCAGCUGGUUGUCGGCCGCCGCCGUGGUUGGCAACCGGCCACAAAGGAGAAAGAAGGAAAAAAAAAAAGAAAAAAAAAAGAAAAAUAAUAAAAAUAUUAAAAGAAAUAACAAAAUUAUACAAGUUUACCAAAUGCAUUUCUAUUCCAGGAAUAAAUCUUUUUUUUUUGUAGUUACCAAAUGCAUUCUUAUUCUCAUAAAUUGUUCUCAAGAACAGAAAAAAAAAAAAAAAAACCAUUUCUAAUCAAAAACUGUUCCCCGAAACAGAAUCAUUACCAAACAUAUCUGAAAUUGCCCAAAACUUCAUUUCUUGUCCGAGGGAUUCGUUCAUUCGGACCGGCAAAAAUUCAGGACCACGUGUGGGCCCACCGAUGAAUUCUAAUGAGAAAUGAAUAGGAGAGAGAACCACAAAAUAUCAAAUAAUAAAUAAUUAAAAAUUAUUAUUGAGUUUCCUUUUAAAAAAAUUUAUGACUUACAAUAAGUUACGCUAGCGAAGUCUGUAGAGCCACUCAUGAUUGAAUUUUCAAUUAGGAACUCGAAAAAAAAAUGUAUCUAGCUUCCUUUAGCCAAUUCCUCCACCUCCCUUUCACUUUUUCUCUGAGGUAGUACAAAUCAGUAAGCAACGCAAAAUAUAUUUGACCAUUAUCAAUUAUGCCGAAUUCGAAUAUGAGAACAAGAUACAAACUCAUUAAAGCUGUGUGUAUGUGUACAUUAAAGUUGUGUGUAUGUAUAUAUGUACACUACCGAGUUGAAAACAUGCAUAAAAUAUGUCAUGUUGACAAUAGCAAACACAUUGAGAUGCUCAAUUGAACAAGGCUCAUAUUUUAUCAAUAGAGUAUUUGAGAUUUAUUAAGUAUCCUAUUUAUAUCGGAGAUCGUCUCAAGAAAAUCAUAAAUAUGAUAAUUCAGAUUUAAUAUUUUAAGUUAAAAGGACAAACACGCUUAUUACUUGAACAAUAAUAUUACCCCAAAGGAUAAUGUAAUUAAAGUCGAUAGGGACAUGUAUAUAUUUGUACAUAAAAUCUUUUGUCAUAGAUUUUCACAACCGAACAAAGAGAGAAGCGAAAACAAUGUACCCAGCCACGAAUUUUCGAUGCUUUUUCUGCCUUUUGCAAUAGGUUUGGAGCUUGAAACCCUCAAGUGCUUCACAACCUUUUUCCUCGGUGCUUCUGCACGUUACACGCAGCAAAAAUGGACUCUCAGCUUCAAGACCUACCCCGCUUGUGCGGAAUAAUCCUAGCCAUCGUCGUCCUAUCAAUCUUGGUAUUAUUCAAAUCGACAAAAUCAAGCAAGCUCAAAACACCACCAGAAGCCUCGAGGGCAUGGCCCGUCAUAGGUCACUUGCCCAUUCUAGCGAGAUCCAAGCUUCCCGACAAGACCUUAGCGUCCAUGACCGACCAGUAUGGACUCAUCUUCACCAUCCGGCUCAGGACGUUCCAGGCCCUAGUGGUGAGUGGCACUGAGAUGGCCAAGGAGUGUUUCACCAAGAAUGACGUCACGCUGUCCACUCGGCCACGGCACUUGGCCCAGAAGAUCUUGGGCUACUCCUACGCCAUGUUCCCGCUCGCACCUUACGGCCCAUACUGGCACGAGGUGAGGAAGAUGGUCACCUUGGAGCUGCUCUCGAGCCGGAGGGUCAACUCGUUUCUCAACCCCAUACAGGCCUCCGAAGCGGACUUGGCCAUUCAAGAGCUGCACGAGCUUGGAUUGAGAAAGGACGAUUCAGGUAUUCUUCUGAUGCUGAUGGUCAUUCUAUAUGUCAUUCUGGCGGAUCUUGUUGAUAGGCCUUUCCCUGGUUGUAUUACUUAUUUUUCUUUUUUUGGUGAACACUUUGGUGAACACCGGUCGUUUUCAUAGUAUAAGGUCACGAAAAUGAUCAAAUUUAGAAUUUUAGGUUGCAGUACUCUCUCUAGAUUAAGAGCGAGUCAAGACUUGCACUUUUAUGGCGUCCAUACCAGCAAAAAAAAAACAAAACAAAACAAAACAAAACAAAACAAACAUACAUGAUGCUUGUCUAAUCUUAGUCAUACAUACAUGAUGCUUGUCUAAUCUUAGUCAAAGAGGUUUUUUUUGGAAAGGAGCAACCUAAAUGAAGUGCUGAGUUUUGUGAGUCACUCGACGAAGCCCAUGUCCUACUAAUUUGUUGGAUUUGUGGAUGGCUUAAGAAUUAGUCCUGUGUUUUUGACACACGAAAUACAGAUUCGAUUCCUCUAUCACUCGAUGCAACUACAAACAAUGCCAUACUUAGGUCACCCUUCUGGGUCUCGAUUAGCACGUUUCUUGCUCGAUCACUUAGCCAUGGGCUUUUCUGCCAUAAGAAAGAAUCCUGGAUAAUUAUAAAAAAGAUUUCUAAACUUAUUGUGCGAAUUAGGGGUGUGCAACCGGACCGGGUCAACCCGGUUCCCGGAUUGGCCCACCCGGAAAACAGGGUUGGGAACCGGUUUCGGUUGAAACCAGUCUGGGAACCGGUUCCCAAAACUCAGACCUUGUUUGAACCAGCCCGAGAAUCGGUUCCGAGGUAUUACCCACCCGGGAACUGGAUCGACUGAAUUGGUUUGGGAACUGGUUGGAGAAUCGGUUUGUAAGCCACCCCCAAAAAGACCAAAACGCAAAACUCUAAUCUGUUUCUACUUUCUAUCUUUACCUCUCAGGGUUAGGCUCUCACACUCGCAGACGGCAGACUUCCUCGAGCUCGCGACCUCCGCUCGUUCGUCGAUCCUGGUUCCGCUCGCCCACCGUCGCCUUCCUCCCGCGACACCCGUAGCCCGUGAGAUCCCGGCGUCACCCCCCGAAAUCGUGUCGCCGCCUUUGUCAACUCGGUUCCUGGCUACUUGCCAGCCUUGCUCCAAGCUUCCCUCCCGAAAUCGCGAAGUUGACGCCGCCUUUGUUGCUCUUGUCGCACCCCUCGUGCUCGCACCACCACCGCCAUUCCGCCGGUCAUUUGAAGCUCCGCUCCACUGGUUCUGCCCGUGAAGCCGCUGACCCCCGCCGAGCUUGCACCCGAGCGCCGACGCAGCCUCUGUUCGAUCUCGCCAUUCCACCUGCUACUGUUGCCUCGUCGACGCCCCUGACCCGCAGAUCUCACGUUCGUAAGCCCGCCUUGUCGCAUCUUCGAGCAACCCACAGUAGCCCUUUGUCGAUCCUGUUCUCACCCUCGCUAUUUCCUGAGCUCCCCUGCUACCGGUCUACUGCCGCCCGAACGACGCCCCCUGCUCUGCUCGUGAUCUGGCCUAGCCCCCUCGUUGACGCCUGCUGAAGCCGCGUUGAUCCUUACCGCCCUCACUAGCCGCAAUACCAGCAGCUUGUCGAAGCCACUACUGUGUUGAUCCGUGUCGACCCAAUGUUGUUACGUCCCGCCGAGCCCCCUGCUGCAACGCCUCGCUUGCGUUGCCCUCCCCUACGAAGCCGCUGCUGCCCCUGCUGUUGGGUCCUCCUCUGCUCGACGCUCAACAGAUCUGCUCCGACGAUCAACAAAUAUACUCUGAGCCUACUCCCGAGCGACGCCCCUGCUGCCGACAGCCCAGCUCUGCCGUUGUCCCUAUCCUCACCGCGCGACAACCCUGACGCUACUUCUGGUCCGCUCGCUGCCGGUCAGUGAUGUUUGGUAAUUAGAAAUUAUUAGCUUCAUUGAUUAGUUAUACAAAUGAGCGAUAAUAGUCGCUCUCUCAUUCUUAAAUAUUUUACUUUUCCGGUUUCACCAAUGGAUUCCAGUUUUAAAAUGGUUGCAUUGCCUUUCACGUUUCACCAAUUGAUUUUGUAUUGAUUAUGAAAUUGUUAUGGUGUGUAAAUCAUUUACCUUUCGAGUUUCAUCGAUAGAUUAUACAACAAUUAUUAAGCUGGUUUUGCGAACUUGUUGCUAUCACAGUAUUCGUUAAUCCUACAUGAUAAGGAAGGAAUUUCAUUUUCAUGGUUCGGCAACUAGAGGUACCAAAGUUGAGUAAUGGGAAGUGGGCCACGAGGGAAAAAAAAAAAAUCCAGAUGUAUCAUCAUUUUGGAAUGGCUCACAAUGCCGGCAAUUCUUUUUCAUUUAUACUCUUGUAAUUUAUUGUAGGUGAGGUACCUUUCAUUUACUUCUCGUUCUCCUUUUUUCAAAUCCACUUUCUUUUGAGUGGGGUUCGAGGGGCACACAGCAGAGGGCUGCAUGCUUGUAUAAUAAAUCAUGUGCAGAUAUUGGUCGGGCAUUUGGAGAAAGAAAGAGUCAAUGCGAUUUCAAACAUCAGGUCCUCAUGUUUAUACCAAUGACAUAGGCCAUGUUUACAGGAGCUGGUGAAGAUCAUGUGUUACCUGUUUUCGGAUUCUUGAAGAUGAAGGAUGAAGUUGAUGUUUAUAAAGAUACAACAAUUUUUAUGCAAAACGGGUUCUAAUAUAAAUAGGGUUAACCUUGUUUCUGGACCGGAAAAACAGGGUGAGUCGGGAACAAGGUCUAAUGCAAAUAGGGUUGGAUACAGGGUCCAAAAAAAGAAAACCGGUUAUAACAGGGUCGGGUAUAGGGUCCAGGUUUAGACCCUACCCACCCUGGACCCGAUCACCCCUAGUGCAAAUGUCCAUUCAAUUUUAAACAUUUUAGUUUGAUCAAUUUAAUCCUAAACUUUUUUAUGGUUUGCCAAUGUAGUCCUUCUGGCUAAUUUUGAUUAGAAAUCAGUAAUGUGGAUAAUGGUCAUCUUAUGUGGCACAAUUGGCCUCAACGUGGAUAAUUUUUUUGAUUUUUAAAUUUUAUGAAUUAUAUAUUUAUUUGUUUAUUUAUGUCCUUUUUCGUUUUCAUUUUUUCCACUAUGACCCAUGAGGGUUUUCGGGGCUCAUUGGCUAUUGGGCGAGGGUCACAAAGCCCUCGGAGGCUACAAGCAAGGCUACCUUACCCAAAUUUGAGCAAGGCAUUCAUGGCCCUCACCCCUAGUCGGUGAGCUCUAGCGGUCCUCACUAGCCACAAUGAAAACAAAGGAAAAAAAAAAAAGGAAAAAGAAGAGAAAUAAAUAAAUAAAUAAACUAAUAUAAAAUUUAGAAUUAAUUUUAGAAAAUUGUCUAUGUUAAAACCGGCCAUGCCACGUAGGAUGGUAUAUGUUUAUGUUAGUGAUUUUGAAUGAAAAUUGGCUGGAAUAACUAUAUUGACAAAUUGUAAAAGUUUUAGAACUAAAUUGGCAAAAUUAAAAGAUUUGGGAUUGAAUUGGCAAAUACACAAUAGGUUUAAGACUUUUUUGGUAAUAUUUUUGGAAAAACUAGAUAGAAUGACACACGACAUCAAUGAAGUAUUAUUCAAAAUUGAAUAUGUUUCAUCAAUUCUUUUAGUUCAUGAGAGUAUUCAAAACUUCAAUUUAGCAUGACAUCUACUUCAUUCUAAUUCGUUAGGCCACAUCAUAGUAGACUUGAAGCAGUGGUUUGCGAAGUUGACUCUGAACGUGACCCUGAGAAUCGUGGCCGGAAAGCGCUACCGUGCAGCGGACGAGCAAGAGAAGCAGCAGUGCCAAAAGGCGUUACGAGAGUUCGUCGACUUCUUUGGGUUGUUUUUAUCGGCAGACGCUUUACCUUUCCUGAGGUGGCUCGACUUAGGUGGACAUGAGAAGGCCAUGAAGAGGACUGCAGAAGAACUAGACGAAAUUAUAGGUGGUUGGUUGGAGGAUCACAAGAGGGAUAAUAAGGAUUUGGGUAAGACCAGUAGCAGUAUUUCAUGAACGUCAUGCUUUCGCUCCUUAACGAUGAUGAAGUUGGAGGUUACGACGCUGAUACGGUUAUAAAAGCUACAUACUUGGUAAGUUGUUAUUUGCUUCCCAUUAAAGUAGUCUUUUCUUCAUAGUGCUAGUUGCCCACAUAUUAAGUAGCCAGGGGUGAUUGUCUAUAGGUUUAGUUGAUUUCAACUAGGGUGAGAAUGGUCCGAUCGGUCCAAUUCUAGAGUUGGAACCAUCUAAAUCUAAUAGGGAGGGGCAUGUUCUAGAAAAGCUAAAGUUGAGAACCGGACCGAUUUAUCAUAGAACGAAUUCUGGAACUAAACCGGCUCUAGCUGGUUCUAGGUAGAAUUGAGUGCUAGUCUACUCCUACAAUUUUUGUUAUUUCCAAUAUAUUAAAAAAUAAGUUACCAAUUUUCUUUUUUUAAGUAAAGACUUUGUGUUAUGAUAUGGACAAUGUGCACAUUGAACAAUUACAUUGAAAUAAUUAAGUUUGAUAAUUAAAAAGUACUUAGAUUGGAAAUCAAGUUAGAGAACCUAGUUUGCACAAUAAUAUAAGGCUGGAGCACUCAAUUUGGAAAACUGCUCAAAUUAGAGGGGCGAAAGUUGGACUAAAGUUUAUUCUUCUAUAAUAUUGUGGGCUUAUUUAAAUUUUCAUAUUAAUGAACAUCCUGCAAUCUCGGGCGGCAGGAGUGGGACUAAAUUUGGACUCAAUUACAAAUUAUGCAUCUUCUUUUUCGUUCUCGGACCCAUUUUUCUGAACCAUAUGAAGUGGAAGGGCACAUGAAUUUAGAUUGCGAAUGAUGUUGCAGUUAAUCAUCUUAACUGAGUUCUAACGAGGAAAACAUUUGUUGUAUAUAAAGGCGAUGAUUGCAGGCGGCAGUGAUACCGCGAUGGUUACCCUAACGUGGGCAAUUUCACAGUUGCUCAACAACCUUCACAACCUGAAGAAAGCUCAAAAAGAGCUCGACGCUCAGAUCGGCAAGUAGAGGCAUGUGAAAGAAAGGGGCAUUGCUAGCCUAACUUAUCUUCAAGCCAUAGUGAAGGAGACCCUCCAGUUACACCCGGCGGCCCCACUCUCAAGGCUAGGCCUAUUCACCAAGGAUUGCACUGUCGGCGACUACCACGUGCCAAAGGGCACAUGGUUGAUCUUGAACAUCUAGAAAAUCCAAACCGACCCUAGGAAAUGGCCCAAUCCAUUGGAGUGUAGGCCCGAGAGGUUCUUGAGCAGCCAUAAGAAUGUCAAUGUGAAGGACUCUAACUUUGCGCUCCUACCAUUUGGAGGCGGUAGGCGAAUCUAUCCCGGAAUAUCUUUUGGAUUGGAGAUGGUGCAUUUUCUUCUAGCUAGGUUCUUACAUGCUUUCAAGAUAUCAACUGUGGACAAUUCACCGGUGGAUGUGUUUGAGAUCUUCGGACCGAUUAUUUUAAAAGCGACCCCACUGGAGGUUAUGCUCAAACCGAGAUUAACUCAGGAGCUCUAGCUGUUGAGGUAAUGGAGAGUUCAUAUAUCAAAGGAAAGCUCUUUCGAAUGUACAAAUAAGUGAAUGUGUAUGCACUCUCUCCAUGUGAGGCUCUUAAAAGACAAAAUCACAUAUCUAGACUCUACAGGGUGAAGUUGCUGCCCUGGAAAAUCACUUGCAUGAAAGGGCUUACAAGUUCUUGAUCGCAUCAGGAUGUCGAAUGUCAUUUACCAUCGUUUACCACUUGCAUGCACAUUGUAUAACCAGUCAUGUAUGGAAUUCUUCAUGCUUUCAUUGCCCAAAUGCCAAUCCUACAGGUUUAGUCACCAUCAAUAAGAUUUGGCCGUUCAAUCUCAUAUAGCCAUAAACAUCAUUAUCAUCCAUUGGAUGAUUGCAGAGUAUCUCUUUCCCCUCUGCCCAACACGAAUUUCGAACUUUUGGCUCGAAGAAUCUCAAGAACAUGUGUAAAUCGCCGCAUCUACAUGAAUUAGGUUAGGAUCCACUCAUGACGAGACAUGAAUGGUUCUCAAGAUUACUUUCGAUAAGUGAUAAUGUAACCUCUUUCUUUAAGGACUGAUUUUUCAACUGUUUGGACUGAGCAGUAACGGAGGGGAUAUGGUAGUAGAUAGUGAGGUAAGUAGGGAGAAAAGACUAUAAUAAAAUGCAAACACUUCAUUGAUUUACCACAUUUCAUAUGAUCUGUCUAUUUAAUUUCAUCACAUCACUUAUAUAACCUCUGGCCCUUGUAACUAAAGCGACAAACAAGCUACAUAAGCUAAUAAUUCUCUUUGAGAAUAUAUUCGAAAGCAUGUUGACUUUUCAUCCUUAUAUCAAUUAACAUAUUCAACUUUGAGUACUUAUGAUUUGCGUCUUCUGAUAAAUUCCAAAGCUAAAAGACCAAUCUACCCCAUCAAAUACAUCCAUACCCGGAGAGGACUGAUUUUUCAACUGUUUGGACUGAGCAGUAAUAGAGGGGAUGUGGUAGUGGUUACUAAAAUUUGAUGACGUAGGAAAUGAAGGAGGUGAAACAAUCAAUUUCAAGGUCCUAUGUCAAACAGGUUAAAGAGUUGCAAAAUAUGGUUGACACAACACCGAAGGAACUUCUGGAACUGCACAAGUCAUCAGCUGAACAAAAAUAUGUGAUUGUAGAUCCUAAUGAAAGGCUGAAUGCUUCUCUGCAGUCUUGUGCUGAAGCAAAUGAGAUUAUGGAUAGGUAAGUCACAAAUGCACAAAUUUCUUUUCCUUCACUAACUUACCAGAAUUAUUAUCCUAUAAUAACCUGAUUUACUUUUCCAUAGAUGCUUUUCACUGGAAUAGAUGUGGUAAGAGGAUUACGUGUAAACUUUGGCUUCAUAGCUGUCCAAUCGGUGGGAAUUGCAUUUUGAUUUAUGUCUUUCCUUCUUUGUAUGCUCGUGUUUGGCAGUGUUCCAUGGUUUAGUUUCUGAUUUCUUUCUUUCCGGUACUCCUCUUCUAAGCCUUUUGAAAGGGGUUCCAUUACUCCCUUGAUAUGGGCGGCAUGGGUGGCUUUACUUAUGGCCUAACUUCUGCAAAGUAACCAUGUGCAAUUUUUUCUGUGUGAUAUGGCAUGGACUUGUUUUUGUUGUUUGAUCUGCGUACGAUGGGCUCAGUAGACCUAGAGAAGGUGACAGUGGCUUGAAUACUUGCUUUCAGUCAAAAGGCAUCCAUAGCUAUGCUUAAAGAACAGUUGGUGAAAGAGCGAGAUCAAAGAAGAGAAGAACGUGAAAGGGCAGCAGCAGAUUUAACAGCUGCUGUGCAAAGAGUUCAUGCAGAGGCUCAGGAGAUGCUGCCUCAAAACGAGAGCAAGAGCAGCAAGAAUUAAUAAAUAAGUUCCAGGUUCGAAGGACUAAAUUAUGAACUUCAAGUUUGCGAUGGUUAUCUGGGAAGAAUAUGAGAUAUACUAUUUGGGCAUCUGAUUGAAGUUAUGGUACUGGAUCCUCAGGAUACAGAGAGGGAAAGGUGCCCACUGGAUACUUUGAGGAUCGAAUUAUACUUCUGCAUUAGCUUUUUCUUAGGUACACUUGAUUCAUUUUUUUUUUUCAGUGUUGGGUGGGAAUUAAGAUGAUUGAUCAGAAGAUUUGGCACAGGAGGAUACGAGGCAAAACUUCGUCAUCUCUGACAAUAAAGUACGGCAGUUAGAAGCUCAACUUUGUGAAGAACAGGAAGCCUGUCUAGAUAAAAGAAAAGUCAGAUGUUUCAGCAUAUACCACAGGUGACCUUCCACUUCUAAUUUGUUGGUGCACACUUACGCAAGUUCCGACACAUCUAAUCUGUCUUCUUUUAAAUUUUUGAUACUUUUAUUAUAUUUUUCUUUUUUCUCUCUCUCUCUCUCUCUUUUUUUUUCUUUUUCCUUCCCUCUUCUUCUUCUCUAGCCGGUUGCCAACCAUGGCAAUGGGCGGUGACCGGCUGAGCAAGGUCAAGCGACCUUGCGUAGCCACCGGCAAGAUAGCAUGAGGCUAGCCUCGCCCUAGCCUGGUGAGGUCAAGCCUCAUUGAUGGUGAGGCGAGACUCUCACCUAGAUUUGGUGAUGCAAGCCUCGUUAGGCUAGGUUGAAGCCAACCUCGCGCCAAUUGGGCAAGGUCAAGGCUCGUCGAUCUGGACCUCACCCAAUUGAUCACCAAACAUGACGAAGCUCCAGUGAGGUUGCCGGACCUUGCCCAACCAGUCGUCGGCCAUCGCCGUGGCCAGCAAUCGGCAAUGAGGAAGAAGAGGAGAAGAGAAAAGGAAAGGAAAGAAAAUGAAAAGAGAAAAAAAAAAUGAGGAAAAAAAAAGAAAAUGAUUUGCCUUUAUUCAAGAGUUGUUCUUGGAAACAAAAAAAGCAACUUUUUUCUUUUUUUUUUAAUUCUAUUUCAAAUCUAUUCUCAAAAAUAAUUCUUUUUUCGGGAACAAAAAAUUUACCACAUGGAUUUUGUUCUUUUUUUGUUUCGGAAAACAAAAGAAUAGAAUCAGGCAUUACUUAACAUGUUUUCAAACAUGCGCUUAAGCUAAUGAAUUCGAUAUAGAACACCAAAAUAACUAUAUUUAAUUUUUUUAAAAAGGUUUAGGACUUUGUUCAUAAAAUUGGAAAAUUUAGAACUUAUGUGGCAUAUGUACAAUAGGUUUAGAAUUGUUUAGUAAUUGUCCCUGAAGGUGGCCAUAUGGAUAAAAAGAAAAAAAGAGAGUUUUAAGACGAUUCUUACUUCUUCUACUUAUUCUGAAGAGAACGAGUAAGUGUUAUGGUUGGAAUCUCGUUCUCCAAUGAUUAAGCGAGACUUGAGAGAUUGUUUAAGCAAUCUUGUAUUAAAGUAAAUUAGUUUGAUUUUAGUGUCUGGGGCAUGGGUCCCCCCUUGAACGAUUAUUUAUCACGAAUUUUUGUUAUUGAUGAUAAUCUCCGGCCCCUCUGCUCUAUAUGGCCCUACUCGCCUCACUAUCUCCGUCCUCAGUAGCACUUAGCCAUCUUUGAACUGUACUUGAUGAUCUCAAAAUCACUGAAUAACUGGAAUCAGUUGUUGUCAGUGUCCCACGGAAACUCCUGUAGCAGAUCUAGGUAAGAGUUGCUACUCCUUCGCAAUCACCUAAUCCUGCCUCUAAGCGACCUCAUCUUUGGUUCAUUUUACCCAUAUAUCUUAUCUUCGUUGGACUCAAAUAUACCUAGAUCUUGUCAAAAUCGGUACUAAGUGUGAAAGCUAGUACGAGCACCUAGAUGGAGUGAAUAGGUGCAAAAACAAAUUUUCCAGAGAGAAAUGUGCAAUUCUAAUCAACAAUAGGUUAUGAAAAGGAAAUUAGACUCUUGUAAACAAAUUGAGUUACGAUCAAAGUAAAAGAGCGUAGGGAAGAGAAUAUGAACACAUGGUCUAUAGUGGUUCGGCUUAAUCCAAGCCUACGUCCACUCUUCUGCACUGACAGUCCACCGGCUGGAUUUCACUAUGAAUCAAAAUAGUUGUUACAGUAAAGCUCUUCCUUGAUUCCACAGUGUAGAGACUCUGCUACACUUCCUCAAGGUCUCACAAAAAUAUUAACUCUCUUUUGAGUACAAGAUUUCGCUCAACAAAUGAAUUGACUAAAAACAAGGAGCUUCAGACUUUGGAAUUCUUCUAUUGUGCACACACUCGAACAACUGGAUCGUCUUCCUUAUAUACUCCUCCAUGCCAUCACACUCGUUGGUACUUACCAAAGGAGUUAUUCUAAUCUACCCGUUGGACAGAAUCAAUUAAAGAGAUUUCGAGUUGUUUAAGGAAUAUGAUGAUAGCCCACCAAUCUUGCUCGCCCAUACAAUCAGGAUCUAGGUUUCCAUAAGUAGAACCUUCCAAGUAUACUAUGCCAAUCAACGGAUCUAAAAUCCCUGAAUCAAUCUCAAUUUGAAUAAUGGAUUCCGACAUGCUAGAUCCAUCCAAGAGAUGUUUUUCAGUCGAUAGAAUCAAAUCCUUAACAAAAUACUCAGUUCUGGAUAAGCCUUCUUCGACGGUCUAGAAACUGUCAAUGAGAAUAGACUUUGAGUCUUGAGUCUGGCAGUCCGGAGGUCUUCAGACUUUGAUGGAAGAGUCUGCAAGUCUUUAGACUAGACUGAUGGAAACGUUUUGUUAACUUCAAAACACUCAAGGAAGUUUUCUCCAACAAUUUCCCAUUUUUUUUAUGGUGACAAAACUUUCUCGCAGAUUUGGAUAACUUUGAUCUACAAGACAAUACUCAAGCAAACAUGGAUAUCUUACAAAAGAUAAUUGGCUUAGUAAAGAUAACAUUAAAAUCUGCAUCCACAGAAAGUAGGUUAGUCCUGUAAAUGAGCAACUAUCUUUGCCAUGAAAUACCAAUAGUGCUUAAGAUAAACAAUCAAACAAUCCAAAUCCAAAUCCAGUCACGGCCAAACAACCAAACACAAAAGUAAAGUCAAUCAAACACAAAAGUCAAGAGUUUAAAUCUCAAAAGUUUAAAUCUCAAAUCUACACCAUAUCUCUCCCCCUUUCUAUCAGCAUUAAAAAGGUAGAGAUGAAAAGAGAAUGGAAUUAGGAUUGCUUUGGAAUACGAACAAGCUAGAAAUCUCCCAUUGACUGGACAAUCCUUUCCAGCUUUUUCAAAUCCUCCUUCAGUUGAGCCACAUCUUCUCCCUUGGCAUUUGCUUUAACUUGAUGAGCAAGGGCAUUGAUUUGAUCAUGCAACGAAACUGAAGAGGCUUGACCUGCAUUUUGCAAGUUCUUAACUUCGCAUCCCAGAGCAUAAAUUUGGCCUCGCAUCUCCAAGAGAACAUCAAACACUCUGCGAAAUUAUGCUGAAUUAUUAGUCUGAGUACUAGCUUCUGCACGAUCAGAUGGUGUAUUGGCAGAUGAUGGCAAGUUAGCACGAUCAUGCGGAUUGGGCGAUGAAACCUCAUGGCCUUCCUCGGGAAAUUAAAAGACAUAGAUGUCUUCUGGAUCUGCUGGUAAACGACUUACUCCUUCACUAGUGGCAGCAACUGAAGACGUACCUCUUUUCUCAGCAUCUCCCCCCGUUUCAAUGCCUUCAAGCAAUGAGAAGUACUCUUCAUGCUCUGCUUCUUCUUGUUCACCUCUGCCCUCUUCUUCUUCUUCCUCAAUCCUUUCCUCCUCUACUUCUUUCUCCAUGGAUUCUCUCUCUCUCUAGUCCUCUGUUCGAUCUCCUCCUUGUCUUGUUCUUGUCUCUCCUCCGCCUCUGGAACACAACGACUUAAGUUCUUCAAUGCAAGAGCAGAAAUUGUGAUAUCAUCCUCAUCCUCUUCAUCCUCCAAGAUGAGUGCUCUUCUUUUCUUGGAUGGAGCAACCAUGGGCUCCUUCCCUUUCCGUUUUGCAGUCGAAGAGACUUAGUGAGUCUUGACUGGGGUUUUAACCUUGAAUUGCUCCAAAGUCUUGUUAAGUUCCUUUAGACGCAUUUUAGAGACCAUUUUCAGUCCCACUACCAUUUGAUCGCAUGUUCGAACACAAAGAAUCCUGGGAGGCUGAAUGUUCAAGUGUCUGAAUAACUUAGUGACAAGUGUUGAGUAAGGAAGUUGGCAUUUGUCCUUCACCAUCGUUCUGUACAUGUGGAACAUAAUAGUGUGUGGAAGAGAGAACUUCUUGCCAGCAUUAAUGGUAUACAUCAGCUUUGCCUUUGAGUUUGAAACAUCGGUCUUCGAAGUUGAUUUGGGUCUGAGGCAGUUGAGCACUAUCUUGUGAAGCAAAAUAUUUAAGGCAUCCAUCCUCAAAUAUGAAAUCUUUCAUUCCGUCGUUCUAUCCCGAACAAGCUCUAUCGUCGCACGACCAAUAGACACACUGAUAGGUUGAUAUUUCCCUCUUUCAACCCCAAUUACAUCAGCCAAUGUAUCCAUGUCAACCACAUAGUCCUGAUCUCGACUACUGAAAGAGAAUAUACUCACAUCCAAGAAAUUGAGAUUCGAAUAGAAGUAAGCAGUGAGUUCAGCAUGAGCCUUUGUCGUUUCAGAACAAAACCGUUUGAGUUAAAGAAGAUUGAAUUUCUCUUGCAGAUUAACAUUCAGAGAAUCGAGAAAAUUAAAGUCCACACUUCUAGGGUUAAUCACUCCACGCUUUAGCAACUUAGAGUACAGUUACUUGUGUUCCUCCGAGUGAAACAAAUCUGUCCUUUUGCUUCGGAUUUUCGCCGCAACACCCAUUCUAGGUUUAAACUGACUGUACAUCCUAUCAUCUUCAUUCCCAUUAGGUUGACUCAGCCCUCCAACACGUGGACCGCUUGGGAUAUUUGCCAAUGUUUCUUCCGCUGACCCCGCAGGGGCAAUUCCCAAUCGUUCCGUUGUGCGUAAAAAGUAGGUUUCAUUUCGAUACCCUUUGUUUUUCAAAAAUUCAUCGAUAUAGUUCAAAGGAGUACCACCCCUCUUCAAAGCACGGUAAAGCUUAAAAGUAAAAGCGGGCUUUUGAGUUCUUAUGGAUUCUGCAUCUUCGAUGAUUUCUUCCUCUUCUCAAUGUUCAAUAUUCUGAGGUCUAGAUGGAGGAGAUGGACGCUGCUAAGAAUGUUGUGGGCUCUAUUACUGUCUAGGAGAUUCUUCUUCCUCGAUGAGAUCAAAAUGCGUAGGUCUCUCACGCAUUUGCUGUGGUCCCCUAUUCGCGAUCCUCGAAGACUUUCUUUGAGACGACAUCUUUCAUAGUCCUUGAGAGAUUCCAAGCUUGUUUCGCAAGAAAUGUGAAAACUUUCCGAGGAUUAAACAAGAGAAGAAAACAGAAGUGGUAGAUCUGUGUUCUCUUAGGGUUUUUGUGAGUAAAACGAAGAAGAACCAACAGUAUAUAAGGCAGUCAAAGCGAGGCAUACGGAACGUCAUAAAAGGAAAUAUAAAAAUGCAUUUAAAAAAAAAAAUAACUGCCUUUUCAAAAAUUGGAUAAUUGUUAUUUCAAAAAUAACUUCUUUUUCGAAAAGGAAAGAUUGCAAUAAUCAUAAAAACUGGGAAAUAACAUCAAUCAAUUACAGAUAGAUGAUCGUACAUUUUCGAGAUUUGAUCCGAGAGAUAAAUUUCUAAAAUAGAAAUAACUUACAGUCAUGAAUCUUGAUCGUCUGAGUCUGAGUGUCUUUAGACUUUCAGCCUUGAGUCUGAACUUUCUCAGACUUUAAGAUAUUGAGUCUAGAAGGAAUAACUUCAAAUUGAUUUUUCUCCAAAGGCUUUGUAAAUAUAUCCGCCAGUUGACUCUUUGAAUCAAUAAAUUGAAUCGAAACUUCUCCAUUUUGAACAUGAUCUCUAAUAAAAUGAUGUCGAAUCUCUAUAUGUUUUGCUCUUGAGUGAAGAAUCGGAUUCUUGGUGAGAUUGAUUGAGCUGGUGUUGUCACAUUUGAUCUCAGUGUAUGAAUCUUCAAUUCCAAAGUCUCUUAGUUGUUGUUUUAUCCACAAAAUUUGUGAACAACAACUUCCAAGAGCUACAUACUCCGCUUCUGCCGUAGAAAGGGCUACGGUACUUUGCUUCCUUGAAAACCAAGACACUGUCCUGUUACCAAGUAGUUAACAGGUGCCCGAGGUGCUCUUUCUAUCAACUCUGCAUCCGGCUAGGUCUGCAUCUAAGUAUCCAAGAAGAGUGAAGUCUCAUUCUUUUGGAUACUAGAGACCUAAAUUUGAAGUUGAGGCAAUGUAUUUGAUAAUACGUUUUGCAGCACUUAGAUAAGAUUCUUUGGGGUCUGAUUGAAUUUCUAGCACAAUUAUAAACACUAAACAGAAUGUCAGGUCUAGAAGCAGUAAGAUAAAGAAGUGAACCAAUGAUACUCCUGUAUAGCUUCUAGUCAACUUUCUUUCCUCCUUCAUCUUUGUCCAGCUUCAAAGAACUUGACAUUGGUAUAUUAGUCUUUUUGCAAUUCUCCAAUCCAACUUUCUUUCCUCCUUCAUCUUUGUCCAGCUUCAAAGAACUUGACAUUGGUAUAUCAGUCUUUUUGCAAUUCUCCAAUCCAAACUUUUUGACAAGUUCUUUAGCAUAUUUUUCUUGAUGAAUAAAGGUUUCCUCAUUCAGUUGUUUCACUUGAAGCCCGAGAAAGAAGGUUAGUUCACCCAUUAUGCUCAUUUCAAAUUCAUCCCGCAUAGACUUAGAGAAUUUCUUACACAGAUUUUUAUUAGAAGAUCCAAAAAUAAUAUCAUCAACAUAAAUUUGAACAAGUAAAAAGCUUUUGCUUUCUCUUUUGAUAAAUAGUGUAGUAUCUACUUUACCUUUGACAAAGCCAUUUUGAAUUAAAAACUUACUUAGUCUGUAGUACUAAGCUCGAGGUGCUUGCUUUAAACCAUAUAGAGCAUUUUUCAGUCUGAAUAUAGAGUCUGGUUUCCUUGGGUCUUCAAAACUAGGUGGUUGUUCCACAUAGACUUCCUCUUGGAUAAAUCCAUUUAGGAAAGUACUUUUGAUGUCCAUUUGGAAUAACCUAAAAUUCUUAUGACAAGCAAAUGCAAGUAAUAAUCUAAUUGCUUCUAACCUUGCUACUGGCACGUAAGUCUCAUCAUAGUCUAUCCAUUUUUCUUGCGUAUAUCCUUUGGCCACGAGUCUUGCUUUGUUUCUCACGACUUUUCCUUUCUCGUUCAUCUUGUUUCUGAAAACCCAUUUAGCUCCAAAGAUAGAUUUACCUUUCGGUUUAGGGGUCAAUUCCCAUACAUCAUUGAUACUGAAUUGCCUGAGUUCUUCUUGCAUAACUUCAAUCCAGCUUUCAUCAGUUAAAGCUUCUUCUAUGCUUUUGUGUUCUAUUUCAGAAAUAAGAGUCACGGCACUAGACUCUUCACGCUUUUUUGGAUCUUGUGUGAAUUCCUUCAUUAAUAUCACAAAUAAUGAGAUCUUUGGGAUGACUGGACUUAUGCUUCCAUUGCUAGUUGAUUUGUCAGACUGUUAAUCAUUUUUCUCAUUUGAAUUUUUGAUGAUCAUUUGUUGAUAGUCUUCUGAAGUCUGAGCUGCUUCUGGAGAUUUAGACUUUGUAGAGUCUGGAGCAGGUUCAGAUUCUUCAAGUUGAGUCUGAAUCAAUUGAUUUUGCAUAAAGUCUUGAAAUUUGACAUUCAUCGAUUCCUCUAAAGAUUGAAUCUUUUUGUUGUAUACUCUGUAAGCUUUGCUUGUGAUAGAAUAUCCAAGGAAAAUACCUUCAUCUGAUUUUUCUUCAAACUUACCAACUCGAUCAUUUGCAUUUUUCAAUAUAAAACAUUUACAUCCAAACACAUGAAAAUACGAAAUAAUUGGCUUUUUUCCUUUAAAUAACUCAUAGGGAGUUUUCUCCAGAAUAUGCCUUAAGAAAACUCUAUUAAUAAUAUAGCACGCUGUAGAAACUGCUUCAGCACAAAAGCGAGAAGAGAUGUUACUUUCAAUUAAAAGAAUUCUAGCCAUUUCCUGCAGUGAUCUAUUCUUUCUUUCCACGAUUCCAUUUUGCUCUGGAGUAUAUGGUGAAGAGAACACAUGCUGAAAACCAGAUUCAUCACAGAAUUUUGUAAAGUCUAGAUUUUCAAAUUCACCUACAUGGUCUGUCCGUAUACUUGAAAUAACAUACACUUUCUCAUUUUGAACCUUUUUAGCAAACUUUAUAAAAUAAGAAAAGAUUUCAGACUUACUUGCCAGGAAAUAUAUCCAAGUGAAUCGUGAAUAAUCAUCCUCAAUUACUAGGCAGUAUUUCUUACCUCCAAUGCUAUGAGUUCUGGUUGGUCCAAAGAGAUCUAUAUGCAAGAGUUGUAGCACAUGAUUAGUGGAUACUUGAUUUAUUGGUUUGAAUGAGUUUCUUACCUAUUUUCCCAACACACAUGGUGUGCAUAGGUUAGACUUUUGGUAUGUCAGUUUGGGUAGUCCACGAAUAAGCUUCUUUGCUGAGAUUUUGGCUAUUUGCUUCAUGUUGAUGUGUCCAAGUUUUCUGUGCCAUAAGUUUGCUUCCUCUUGAAUUGAGAUUAGACAUUGGGUUUCAUCUGGUUUGAUAUCCAAGAGGUAGAUAUUCCCAUGUCUUCGACCAGUGAAAGACUAAGUCGAGUCUUUACUGGUUCCUGAACAUAUUCCUUCUUGAAAGUUGAUUUUGAAACCAGUGUUGCACAGUUGACUGAUACUCAGUAAAUUGUAGUUGAGUCAUUCUACUAAGGAAACAUUACUGAUCAUGAGGCUUCCAAUCUUUACAGUUCCAUAUCCCACAAUUCUUCAUUUGCUAUUUCCUCCAAAAGAAACUUUUCCACCAUUAACUUGUACAAGUUUUAUGAAGCAAUUUGAGUCUCAUGUCAUAUGUCUUGAGCAUCCAUUGUCCAAGUACCAUUUAAUCUUUUUCUUGAUAGUGACUUGCAUUUAGAAAAGAGACUCAAGCUUUCUUUGGUACCCAUAUUUUCUUGGGUCCAUUGGUGUUAGUAUAAUAUACGGUUUUUGCCCAUACCUUCUUAACAGGUUUCCAAACCAUAGGACAUUCUUUCUCAAAAUGAUCUGAGCUAUUGCACUUAGAACAUUUAAGAGCACUGCGGCCUACAGGUUUUACAAAAACUUUUUGGAAAUGAUUUUUGUAAGAAUCUCUUAUAGGUCUUUACUUAAUUCUUUCCUUUACUUUAGGAAAAUCAAUUAGAGGAAUGGUUUCAGCAGUCAUUCCUAAUCCUAAUUUGUUGAAAUAAGGUCUUUGUGCUGAAAGAAUUUUUUCAAGUUUCUCAGAUCCUACAGAAAAUCUUUUAGAAAUACUUGAGAUAUCAUUUUUCAAGAAUGCAUUUUCUUUUGAAAGAUUGUUUGCAUUUUCUUUCAAAGUAGUAACACUUUUGUCUAAACUUUGACCUUCUCUUUCCAAACAUUUUCCUGUUGCUUCAGUGCAGAAUUUUCCCUUUUAAGUUCGAAAAUCCUUUUGAGAGAGGUUUUGAGACUAAGACACAAUUCAUCAAUGUAUCUAGAGACUUUAGUAAGGAUUUUUGAAUUGCUUACCUCGAUUUCACUGUCUGAGUCUGAGUCUGAGUCUGUCUCAGAGUCUGAAUCUGAGUCUGAUUGUGCCAUGAGACAAAUAUUGGCAUAAUCAUCAUCACUUUUCUCACAUUCGGUAUCACUCCAAGUUUAUACUUUAAGUACAUUUCGAUAUUUCUCAGCUUUUCAUUUCUUUCUCUUCAGAAGGGGACAGUUGGGUCUGAUGUGUCCAUUUUUCUUGUAUUCAAAGCAGACUACAUCUUUAUUGGAUUCAUCAUCCUCAACUGAUUUAUUUUGUGGCUUUUGAAAAUUUUGUUUCUUUGGAUUGAAUCUUCUCCCCUUUCUAUUUAGUUUCCUGAACCUUCUUAUCAUGAGAGCAAGCUCUUCAUCAUCCAUAUCGUCUUUAGAAUCUAUGACAUCAGAAUCAUCAUUAGAUUUUAAUGCAAUAGAUUUCUUACCUUUAGGAUCUUCAUCUUCGUUGAAUUGCUCUACUUCAUAAGACUGAAGAGUCCCAACCAAUUCGUCAACAGAGAGUGGUAUGAUUCUUUGUGUCUCCCUUAUUGAGGUCUUUAUGUGAUUCCAAUCCUUGGACAGUCCACGCAGUAGCUUGUUUUACCUUCAUGGGUCCAGAAAUUGGUUGACCUUAAUAUUCAAGACCAUUCACGAUUUCUGUAAAACGACUAAACAUGUCAGUGAUAAAUUCUCCUGAUUUCAUUUUAAAUGCUUCAUAUUGACCGAGCAGAAUGUUGAUUCUGGUUUCUUUUACUCGAUCAGUUCCUUCAUAGGUGAUGUGUAAUCUAUCACAAACUUCUUUAGCUGUUUCACAAGAAGAUAUUCUGUUAUAUUCAGUAAGAGAUAGUGCACAAUAUAGAGAAUACAUUGCUUUUGCAUCAAGAGCUUGUUUAUUGGUUAUCUCUUCUUGAGUCAUUUCAAUGGACUCAACAGUUUCUUUUCCUCUUUCUGAGACUGGUGCAGCUUUAGGAAUAAUUCAUUUGUCUACCACAUCAUAUUUCAGAGGAUCCUUUGAUUUUAGAAACGCCUUCAUUUUGUUUUUCCAUAUGUUGUAUUCCUUUCCAUCAAAAUAAAGCGGUUUGGUAUUGCUUUGCCCUUCAACUAGACCCGGAGCUAACAUACUAGAUAUGGAUCUUUAACUCUGAAGUAAAACACUUCAACUUAAGUGAGUAUACAAGCUCUGAUACCAAUUGUGAAAGCUAGUAUGAGCACCUAGAGGAGGUGAAUAGGUGCAAAAACAAAUUUUCUAGAGAGAAAUGUGCAAUUCUAAUCAACAAUAUAUUAUGAAAAGGAAAUUAGACUCUUGUAAACAAAUUAAGUUACGAUUAAAGUAAAAGAGCAUAGGGAAGAGAAUGGGAACACAGGGUUUAUAGUGGUUUGGCUUAAUCCAAGCCUACAUCCACUAUUCCGCACUAACAGCCCACCGGUUGGAUUUCACUAUGAAUCAAAAGAGUUGUUACAGUAAAACUCUUCCUUGAUUCCACAGUGUAGAGACUCUACUACACUUCCUCAAAGUCUCACAAAGAUAUUAACUCUCUUUUGAGUACAAGAUUUCGCUCAACAAAUGAAUUGACUAAGAACAAGGAGCUUCAGACUUUGGAAUUCUUCUAUCGCGCACAUACUCGAACAACUAGAUCGUCUUCCUUAUAUACUCCUUCAUGCCAUCACACUCGUUGGCACUUACCAAAAGAGUUCUUCCAAUCUACCCGUUGGACAGAAUCAAUUAGGGAGAUUUCGAGUUGUUUAAGGAAUAUGACGAUAGCCCACCAAUCAUGCUCGCUCAUACAAUCAGGAUCUAGGUUUUCAUAAGUAGAACCUUCCAAGUAUAUUAUGCCAAUCAACGGAUCCAAGAUCCCUGAAUCAAUCUCAAUUUGAAUAAUGGAUUCCGACAUGCUAAAUCCAGCCAAGAGAUCUUCUUCAGUCGAUAGAAUCAAAUCCUUAACGAAAUACUCAGUUUUGGAUAAGCCUUCUUCGACAAUUUAGAAACUGUUAAUAAGGAUAGACUUUGAGUCAUGAGUUUGGCAGUCCGGAGGUCUUCAGACUUUGAUGGAAGAGUUUGCAAGUCUUCAGACUAGACUGAUGGAAACGUUUUGUCAACUUCAAAACACUCAAUGAAGUUUUCUCCAACACUAAGUUUUUACUAAAACCAUCUUUCAAUUGCCUACGUCCCAAUUUCUCUCCACCAAAUCCCAUUUCGUCUUCACCCAAAUUUGGAGAAGACCAUUGACCCUUGCUAGCGAUGGUCCUCUUCGGACUUGGGCAAGGGUCGCAACCCUCCAUGACCACCAUUGAGGCCCCGGCAACCCCUGCCAACCCUUUUUGCUGAUAGUGGGAUAGUGUUGUUGACGCACAAGUCAGGGCACAGGUAGGCCCUCACGUUUUUAUUUUUUUUCUUUUAUCAAAUUUCAGGUUUUUUUUUUAUUUCAUUAUAAUGCAAAAUGGACCAAAACAUAGGAGUAUCAACAUCAAUGACUCCUUUCUUCAAAAAUUAUUUAAAAAAUGCCACAUUGGCACUACGUUCUAACAAAUAAAUAAGUCAUGUUGAUAUUUUUUGAUAACCAAAUGAUAAGGGGUUUACAGAAGGAUAUGAUUGCAUCAAUUAAAUAGUUUGAUGACUUAAUUACAUUUUUUGAAAGUUUUAAGACUAAAUUGUACUUUCAUGUCGAGAUUUAGGACUUUUGAAGUACUUAUCUCAAAAAUGUUUCAUUUGUCAUGUUGGCCACUCUAUCAAACAAUAGCCAAGGCAGAACCAAUAGGGGCCCCCCCCCCCCCCCCCCCAAAGAAAAAAAGAGUGCUUCCUUGGUAGUUCUAUCGAUGAUGUUUUCCUCUUGGAUUUUGUUAGCAUAACAGUCUUUAGAUUAAUGUGAGUGUAACAGUUUAUUGUGAGCCAUAAUGAGUGCACCUCACAAUAUAUAUAUAUAUAUAUAUAUAUAUAUAUAUAUAUAUAUGAUUUUUUGGGGUCUAAAACAAACUGUUAUUCUCAUGGGGAAUUACCAAAAAAGUAAAGAACUUAUAUUCAAUCCUAAAUUUUUUAUUUUGGUUAAUUCAGUCCCAAACUUAUUCAGUCUAUCCAGUCAGUUUUAGCUGGCCAGUGCUGAUGAGUACACCAAUUGACCUUUUUUGAAUUUUUAAAAUUUUUCUUUCCUUUUUCCUUUUCUUCCUCCACAGUGGCUGGCAAAGCCUGGGGGCCAUGGGCAAAGAUAGCCUUGCCCAUGGCUAGGGGUGAGUAUGUUGGACCGCCCAAACUAGGAACCUCUUGGACCGGCCGGUUUGGUUUAGUUCCCAGAGGGAUCAAUCUGGUUCUCAGUUCCGGGGGGGAAAUUGGACUGAUGGACCAAAUUGACUCUUUUUUAUUAAUUUAAUUUCUAAAUAAUAGUAAUAAAACCUAAAAAUAGUAACAACUUUUGUAUUUUCUUAAUUUUUUAUUUUCAUUUUCUGCUAAGUGAUCGGUUUCUGGUCCCAAAAAUUGGGAACCAGUCCUUGAAAACUAGACCGGACAAGGAACCAAUCACUCCUACUGAUGGUUAGUGAGGUUGCCUUCUCUCGCAGCCCCUAAGGCCAUGGCAAGGUUGGCCUCGUCGGUGACCCCUAGGCCUCGCCUAGAUCUGGGCGAGGCCGAGACCCUCAGAGGCCAUUAUCGGGAAGAAAAGGAAAAGAAGGAAGAAAAGAAAAAAGAAUUAACAAAAAAUUAAAAAAUUAAAAAAUUAGUAAAAAUUAUCCACCUCGUCAUCAGCUAGACGGCCAGAUCAAGUUGACCAGAUGCUAGCCUUUGUGAUGCAGGCCGGUAUCCAAGAAACCAUCUCAUUGUCAAAAUCUUGACAAGUAACCUCAUUAGUGGUGAGGGUGAUACAAUUUAUCUUAUAGUAUCAAAAGUAACUUGAGCAGCAAUAUAUGAAGGAAUGUACCCAGAAAAUUCAGUAUUAUCAUGUAUCGCUUGCACCCAAAUUGAAUGACUUGAUGUUCCUAACCUGUUCAUAAUUUCUGGUUAAUAUUCGUCUUCAACAUCUGCCAUGGCGGAGGAGUGGCCGACCUCGCCGAGAUCUGAUGGUUGGCCCAUGGCCAUCGAGCUUGCCAAGAUCUCAUUGAGCUCGUCUUUUUGGUCAGCCCAUAUCACAGUUGAGAGAAUUUGGUCCUUCGUAUACGACGAGCCUGAAACAUUCGCUGCUUUCGAUAUUCGUUCUUGCAUUUCUGCUCUUUUCGCUCAUUGAUCACUAUUUGCCUCGAUCUUCACUCAAUCCUGCAAAAUGGGGAAUAAUCAAAGUCAAACAACGUAGCUUUACAAGCCGAUGAUCUCGUAAUCCCAUUAAUUAAAUUGGGAUCAACAUCAAAAUCAAAUAAAACAAUACCCAAUUACGAAUCAGGUAAACUAAACUCAAUCACUAACAAAAUGGCUCUCAUGCGUCAAAAAGUCACUUGCUGCAAAUAAUCAAAGCUCUCCGCAAUGCAGAGUUUGAGGGAAAAAUUUUAGAAUUUUGCUUCGACCAAACCGUUAAUUCUUCGGCCAAAAAACAAAAAAAACGUUAUUUCAAAUUGACUCCUAUCAAAUCCUAUGACUUUACAACGUUCUAAUCCAUGAUUUCUAUGAAAUUCCCCAACCUACCAACUUAAAAAUCGGACCUCGCAUGUCGAUGAACUGCGCUUUCUCAUCAAGCUUUCCAAAAGGAAUGAUUUCAUGACUAUUGGAGUAAUUAAAUGAGGGGAAUGACAACCAAAGAAAUAUUAAAAAAUUUCACCCUCUUGUGUAUGGCAAUACGCUAUAGAGGUAGGGCUUCUUAGGAGGGAUAGCUUUGACCUGAGCGAAGGAUGGAAGCGGUCAAAGAUUAGACGAGAGAGCAAAACCAUUGCUUCUCCGUUUGGUAAGAACCACCCCCUACACACAUUGUGGCAAAACAAGAAAUUUUGGCAAUCAACAUGCAAGCUUCACCCAAAACAAAGAAACAAACAUAAAAACCUAGUGAAAAAAAUUGAAACUUGUUGACACCUAAAUUUUGGUGACCCUUUUAAUUAAAAAAUUAGAGAUUAAUUUUAUACCUAAAAAAAAAUAUCAAUUGCAUAGAUGUUAGGAGCAUUAGCAUAACAAUUGCAUUGCAUGGAUCUCAUGCAAAAUUUGGCAGUGGACAUUCAAUAUUGCUGGCAAGGAGCCCACUCAUGCGUGAACUCCAAAAAAAAAUUGGCUUGGGCAAAAAGAAAAAUCCCAGGGCUCACCAAUGUUUCUGCUGAGAAAGAUAAUGAAGAGAAAAGAAGUAAAAUUUGGAGAUAUUGACCGGAUAUUCUCUUCAUGUGUAUCUAUGGCGGUAUAUUUGGUUUGUCUUGAAGAAAUUUGUUUCAGGGACACACGUGGACACAUAAAUCCAAUAAAAGAAGAAAGAAUUCGGCUGAUUUUACGAAGAUGCGGGUAAAAGGAUCGAGGAACGUGGAUGGAAAGGAAUCAGAAAAUUUUUGGCUACAAAUGUCAUUGUUCUAAAAUAUAAUAUGCAGAUUUAUUCUCUUUCCUCAAAAACCUAGGUUAAUCCUACCUAUAAAAGGACCAUCUACGGACAAGCAAAGAGGGGGCCACACAAUUCCAUACACGGCCAGCAUUGGGAGAGGACACGACACAUUGAGAGAACACAAGUCACGAAUUGUGUUGCGGUGCUCCAUCAUGUUCUGCAGUGCCCUCGCGCGACUGCCCUUCCCAUAUUGCUGUGGGGGUUAUAUCUCACACCACCACCAGCUUCCACUACUUUUAUCGAGCGUCCCUUGACGUGUAUAGCUCGUUGCUCUGCAUUCUCCUGUCCAACGCUCCUGCAAUCCAACCCGGUGAUCCUGAUGCAAAAAUCAGCGAGCUCACGCGCACAUCGCAGCCUUCCUGAUCGUCAAAGAUCGUGGGUUGUUUUGGCUUUUGGUCAAAACGGUGAAUUUGUCUUCUUCCAAUUCUGUCCGGGUUCGCUGAAGCAAAGUAGCGAACUUGUGGUGCUCUGAGUGUAACUGCUGUGCCGAGCUUGUCCAGCGAGCACUAAGCCUCUAUUGAGAAGUCCCCACAGUGAUUUGUUCCUUCCCUGGCCGAGAAUUUACUGGACCAGCAGGCUUUGCCGAGCAACUCGUAAUCAGAGUCCCAUCCUCGUUCCGCACGUGACACCACCACGGAUUCCCUAUCGAUGAAGCUGCUGCCACACUGAGACCAAACCGAGGAGAUCAUCAAGCUAUCAAGGGAGUUUUCAAUUCUCAAUAAAAAUUCCGCUUUUCUUUCUCUAUAGUCACGUAAAAGGGGCACAUAUCAUACCCAUGUGGACACCUGAAAAUAAUAGAAGGAGAGUUUUCUGGUUUUCUCAUGGCUUCGCUUUCCUGACGUGGUUAUUAUAUGUUUAAUGCACUGCCACACACAGCCACGACGCUACUGCCAAUCUUUGACCGAGUACACCAGGAGUCCCUUCGGCGUUCCUGUUCUUCAAUCCAGUGCAGACUCGACGAAUUCCAGCCACUACGCCUUUGGUCGAGUCCGCCUUUGUUUUGCAGGUCUUCUUCGUGAACCCAACAGAUUCGACUACAAGACAAACUUGAAGAGAGGGAACGCGUGCCUCCACUUCUCUGCAGCACCCAUGCAUAAAUCCAUGCAUGAAGAGAGAAAAGAAAAAUCAGGGCAUAGAUGUUCCCAGUAAAAGAGGGGUGGUCAACUUUAAGGGGGAAUUGAUUGUGUUUCACAAAAAUUGAAGACGUUGCAGUAGCUCCUCACGUCAUCGCACGUCCAGCAAGCUUUUCUCUUUAUUGUCGUGAUUAACUUUUCCAUGGCAGGUUUUCAGCAAGGUUCCCGCCACGACUAGCCUUAGUCGUGCCUCAUCAAGCAACUGCAGGAUAUUCUCGAGGGACGCCAAUAACCCCAGUCGAGAAUUCCAUCCUCUGGUCACGCGUUCAAGUUCCAAUCGACGCCCCAGUCGAGAAUUCCAUCCUCUGGUCACGCGUUCAAGUUCCAAUCGACGCUGAUCUCGGAGCCUUACCAAGUUACUGCCUUGGUCUCUCCACCGCAACGUUUUCUUAAGUCAACGUUUGUCCAGCAGCUUCCGCGGUGAUUGAUUGCUUUUGCAGGCGAAAACGAUUACACGGUAUCCAACUCUCGGCUUUGCCUCGCAUCGUCACGCAAAGAUUCCUCGACGUCGGCUACACCACCACUUUUGCCGAGCCUCACCCACAAGCUAUUCCCGGUCAUCUGUCAAGCCGAUUUUGUCGAGCUCGAACAUGGCAAUAAUUCUUGCAAUAUUAGGUAAUUAUUUUAUCCAAAUUUGAUUUCGGUAUUUUAUUGCCUAAUAUGUGUCUAUUAAUAUCUAGUGUUCAUAUCCAUGGGUGAUAGACAUAACUUUCAAUUAGGAUUUAUUUCCUAAUUCGCAACCGCACACCGAUUUUUUAUUCCAUCUAUAAGGCUUUAGAUGGAAUAAUUAAUCACGCGGGAAUAAAAUUGAUAUCUUGAUCUUUAAGGCUUAAGAUCAAUUUAUCGAUUUUAUUAGCGAGAUAAUCAAGCUGAUUUGGAUAUUGUUCCCUGAUUCGAACGAUGUAUGAUAUCUUUGAUGAUUAUGAAUGAUUUAGUGUUUAUCUUUUAAUUGCUUUAUUUAUCUCGAAAAUACAAAAAAGAUUGCAUUUGCAUAUCAUAUAUAUUAGAAUUAAUUUCCUAGAUAGAAUUGCAUGAUAGAAUAAUUAGAUUCUUUUAUGGUUACAUUAGAAUGCAUGAUAUAAUAAUUAUCUAGGCUAGAUAAUUUCUUUGAAUUAAAUUGCAUGUCGAGAUAAAUUUCUAAGUUAAGAUGGGAUUCAUAUAAGUCUAUUUCCUAACUUAAAAUAGAUAAUAUCUCGCGUUAGUUAGAUUUUUAUUGUUAGUUAUUUUUAAUUACAAAAAAAAAAUACAAAAAAUCAUGCGCAUGUCAUAUAGGAUUAGAUUCAUGAAAUGCACGUCAUUUAGUGAUUGUUACUAGGUCCAUUUAAUUAGAAAUUGCAUAUCAUUAGAGUUAGUUCAUUUAGUUAAUAUUGCAUUGCAUAUUGCAUGAUUUUCAUUAAUCAAGUUAAAAAGAAAAAGAAAUCGCGUGUUAAUUAGAAACCAUAUCUAGGGUUAUUGAUGUGGAUUUUAAUUUAACAUUACAGAUGCUUUCGUUGCUUUAAGGUAAGUUUUUGCAAUUUAUUUAUUGUUUAUCUAGAUGUUAAAUUGGUGGAUUGCACACCUGCAUGAUCACCUCACAUGUUAGGGAAAUAGAUUUAAAAUCAAUUUAAGCUGCCUGCAAAAACAUUUUUGAAAAUAAAAAGAAAUGGUACCGAAAGGGCAUUAGAGAAGUCUAGUGUAACCAAGUCCCCGUACCCAUAGUCUCUGGUUCGUAGGAGUAAAGUGAAACUCCCGUUACUUUACUUAGGUUUCUAAUCGACCCACCAAAAAAAUAGAUUAGUGGUGACUCCUGAUUUAAAAAUCAAUUGCAUGCUAAGAACUUGAACUUAAGUCGCGAAUUGGUAUGGGCUUGGGAGAGCCCGAGUUAAGUUUAGGCUUAACAAUCCAUUAGCCAAAUCUUAGGUGGUUUACACUCGAAAAUUUGGUUGCAACAAAACUGAAAGCAAGGUUUGUCAUCGCAGAAUUAUGACUUCUCGAGAGAGACGGUUUUGAGCAAAGCGGAGCAUGGAAGUGACUCAUUGAUGAAAGAUUAGACGAGAGAACAGAGCGAUUGCUUCUUGGUCACAAGUCAAGUGAAAUCAAUCAUCAAGAAAGAGUGCAAUUUGGGAAGAGAGAGGCCACAAAAUGAGCAAAGAGAAUGCCGUUGAGAGGAAGAGGCCGUGGAGCAAAGAGAGAGAGGCCAUUGUCAAGAGGGAGCAUGACUGUCGUCGGAGAGGGAAGAGUGGGAGAGAAUGUCAUCAGGUUGAAAAGGUGUGGAGAGAGUAAGAAGAGAGAGGAGAAAGAUGCUCAUCUAGAGAGAAGAGAGAGAAGAGGCCGUCUUGCACACUAGUUUUGAAAUUGGCUAGCACAUGGGGCCCCAAGGACGCAUGUUGACUUGUGAAUGGUUUAGGAUAAGGCUUACGUGGUCCCUUUAGGGUACCCAAUAUUUUCCUUGUCAAUAAGGCUCGCUGGCCACAAGCGAUGCGACUUCACCCAAAUCUAGAUGUGGCCAACCUUGCCAUGGCCUUGCCGGCCACAAGUGAAGGCGGCCUCACUCAUGGCUAGCGAGGCCACGGCCACCUUCGUUAGUGGCUAGCUGAGCUCGCCCUCACCCAGUGAUGGUGAAAUGAGCCUCACCCCUAGUUGGCAAGGUCGCCUCAACCUGAUGACCAGCCCUUGCCUCUAGCUGAUCAGUGUGGUCCGACGGCCAGCCAAAGUAAGGAGUAAGAGAAAAAAAUAAAGAGAAAGAAAAUAAAAAAUAAUUCAAAAUUUCGAAAAAAAAAAUUCAUAUAUUAUUAAAAAGUAUCCACGUCAAUGCCAGCAUGCCAAAUUUGGCAAAUAGAUUGAAUUAGCACAAUUACAAAUGGUUUAUGACUCAAUUGACUAAAAAAACAAGUUUAGGACUGACUAGACAUAAUUCUAAUAGGUUUAUGACUUUUAUAGUAAUUUUCCCAUUAGGGUUUGGAAGUUAUUAGAUUGCUAGAAGAAAAUAAAUAAAAGUAACAAGUAUAUUCAAAGAAAUAUGAUCGAAAGAGGAAGAAGUUAUUUGAUUUGUAUGUGGAGGGAACUGGAUCCAUUUUUUAAAUUUUAAUGAACCAUGGAUCCAUUACGUGAAUGGUUUGUGGGAUAAUUAUCCAAAAAGUCAUUAACUUAUUGUACAACAGCCACUUCAGUCAUAAAAUUUUUAAUUAUGCCAAUUUGGCGUAAACUUUUUAAUGAUUUGUCAAUUUAAUCAUAAAUCUUUUAAUAGUAUUAAUUUAGUCCCACACGCCGUUCUUGUCAAUUGUGAGAAUCGAGGACUUGAAUAUGAUUAGAGUGAAAUCAACUUUGAUGGUAGCUACACUCUCCUUCGCUGUAGAUGAGGGCCCGAUUCACAAGGUUGAUGAGGAGCUGAGUGUAAAGCAUUUUAGUAAAAGAUUUAGAACUAAAUUGACAUAAUUAAAAGAUUUAGUAUUAAAUUGAUAAAUCAUCAAAAAGUUUAAGACUCAAUUAAUACAAUUGAAAGAUUUAAGGCUGAAAUGAUUGUUGUAUGAUGGGUAUAACAUUUUCUUGACAUUUUUUGCAAUGACUUGUUAACCUGGUCAAUUACAUUUACGUACAUGAGAAGCUGCAAAAACUAGCUCAUUGAUAUCCCCUAACUGAAUAUAUGGACAAAAUCUGUUAAAACCUAGGUUUAGUCCUUAACGCGGUCCGUUCAUUCUACCGACUUGCAAUUUGAUGUUAUUUUACAAAUUCCGAUUUGUUUUGUCUCAAACAACAAGCGAAGGCCAAUCUGUCCUACAUGCCAAAUUGGUUCUUCUUCAUCUUGAACAGAACACCCAUGGGACCCGGGAUUGUCCCUUUCAAAUCGUGCCAACUUGCAUUGUCAGAGGGAUGUCAACUUGCAUUGUGGCCCCUGAGGUCCAUAACUUAGCACUUCUGCAAUAUCUACCGUGAAUUUGCAACGUACUUUGUUCGAAAUUAAAAUUGUCAAAAUAUCUCAAGUCAAUUCAUAAAGAAAAUUAUAUACUCAUUAUACACAUCAAGUUUGCCUCUACUUAUGAACACAACUUUUUGGGUCAAAUGUUCUAAAGUGGUAUCGAAGCGAGUUUGGCCUCGUGUGUGCAUCUAUACUAGGGGUGUGCAUGGUCCGAGCGGGCGGUUCCCGACCUAGAACCGGGAACGUCCGCUAAGGACUGGUUCCAAAAAAUUGGAACCGAGAUCCACCCAUUUGUUGCAAGGAUCCACCCGGGAACCGGACUGCUGGUCCGGUCCAGUUUCUGGGUGGAUCCAUGGAACCGGUCUCACCAAUAGAGAAAGGGACGGACCUACUAUUGUCGAGGGCGACGGCAAUUUUUCGGAGUGCCAAAUUGAGAAAGGGACGGACGGAUGGCUGCUGUCAAGGGCGGCGGCAAUUUUUCGGAGGGCUGAAUAAAGAAAGGGAUGGACGGACGUGUUGCUAUCCUUGCGAACCCUAGACCUAUUCUUCUUCUCCUCCUCAUGUAACCCUGCUUCUUCGCAUGUGUGCGGAUGGAAGAAAGAUGGGUACUUGGGAGGGUUCUGGUACUUGGAUUUGGAGGGGCAGAGGCGGUGUUUUAGGGUUUCUUCAUUACUGUUUUGCAGCUCCCUGCCAUGCCAUUUCACCGGGAAGUGACGGAGCUCUGCAGCGUCAAUGGAGGAUGGCGAGCUAGGGAACCUCAAAUUUGAGAUCUUUCAAGUUUUUAGGGAAGGAAGGGAGCUUGGAGAGCCGCAGGCUCUCGGGACUUGGUAGGGUUUUCAAUGGUGGGUCGAUUAACGAGCAUGAAGUUGAAGUUGGAAAAUGGUGGUGAUGGAGAGAGAGAGAGAGAGAAUUCAACAGGAUUUGUUAAUUAGUAAUUUCAAUUUUUUUAAUAUUAAAAAUUAAUCGGUUCGGUCCGAGUGGGCGGGUGGACGGAUCCGCACAUGGAACCGAGAACCGGACUGGUACCCACCAGUUCCUAUAAAUUGGAACUGGGAACCGGACCGGUUCCCUCAAGAACCACCGAUUCCGGGCGGUUCCGGUCCGAUUCCGGGCGGUUUAGGCAGAUUCUGGUUCUUUUGCACACCUUUAGUCUAUAAUGUUGGUCAAAUUCUACACGUCUCUUUUAAUCCAACUUACACAUGAGAAUAAGUGUUGAAAUAUCUCGCAUUAUUUGACUAUGAGGUCUACGUGAUCUCUUGCUUUUUAGUUUUUAGAUUGGAAUUUUUUAUUAAAAAGCAGUAUUGUACCCGGAAAGAAAACUAGAGAAAAAAUAUAUGGAAAGCUGGUCAUCUAUAGAGAUAGAAGUUUCUUAAUCCCUAGUUAGGGAAUGACUGAUUUUAUUUUAACUUUAUCCCAAAGUCCAAAAUAUCUCCCGGCGCCAAGUUGCUGAGCCGCUGAGUGGGUGCCAUUAAUUUCUCCAAGAGUUAUCCAACCGUCGAUGCUUUGGAAGGUGGAGAAAUCGCAUGGAACCAAAUUCCCACGUGGAUAAUUACGUAAGAGAACAAAAUGGAUUGGAAAAUGCAAGGUUUCAUAAGUUUCAUACGGGAGAGGUUCAGAAUUUUACAGACAAUUAUUGAGUAAGUUUCGUCCCGCACUUCUACAAAUCUUAGAAAAAUCCAAUUUUAGGGAUGGGCCAUAUCAGAAUUCAAUCUUUCAUUGAAAACUUUUAGGCUUCGUUUGAUUGUUUAUAUUUCUAAUGAAAAUAAAACUGAAUAUGAUAAGAUAUGAAAUAUGAUAAAUUUGCAAUAUCCUAUCCAGCAUUUAGUAAAUCACACUAGUAUAGUUGGAUAUAAUCAUAUUAUAUUAUGUAAAUUAUUUUGUAUAAACAAUAUAUCAAUAUAAAUGAACCUAAAAGUUCACAAGUGAAUAUGGUGAAAAUCUCUCGCGACACUCUUGUGUACUUUUUUUUUAUAUUUUUUUUCUUUUUUCCCCUUCUAAUAAAAAUCUAGUGAAUAGUAAACAAUACUAAUAUAUCUAAAAUACUAAAAUACUUUAAAAAUGUAAUAAAUAUAAAUAUAUAUUUAUAAAAUUGAAUUUUUUUAUAAGAUAUAAUUAAAUUCGAAAGUAUAAAUAAAAAUAAGAUUAAAUUAAAAAUACCAAAUUAUUUUUUGUUAAAUUAAAAUUCAUAUAUCAUUUAUAUUUAAAUAUAAUUUAAAUUUAAAAAUUUAAAAAUUUUGUUAUUUAGGAAAAAUAAAUUUAGCAUUAUGGAUAUUAUAAAUCUUAUUCACUUUUAUCACACUAUCCCCAUAGAAUAAUUUUAUCUAGCAUAUAUCUCUCUUAUAUCUAACUUUGUCAUAUCUUGAGCAAGUACCAAAUAUAUAAUAGAAUAAAGUUUAUCUUAUCCAGAAUUUUAUUAUGACUAUCAAUACAGUCUUAAAGUAUUUGUGAAGUAUAGAAGGCACAACACAAUACCCUUAGGUACACGACGGUAAUGCCUGUAGAGACCAUAGAAAUUCCCACAUUAUAUUCCAUGUGUCGUGUACUAACCUUUCUAAGCAGAAUGAUCGCAUUAUAGGAAAACGAGCUCAAAAUCUCAUGGUUUCGAGGGGGAAAAUAACCGCGCAUGUUCUCCAAUCACUUGAAUUAAUCUACAGGGCUCUGGUUUUGUAGAAAGUGAAGCAAUUACGGCCUUCGCGAUACCGAAGGGUUAGUACUAUUAGUCAAUAGUCAACAGUCAACGGUCAACAGUCAACAUUGGCUUGAGAAGUCCUCCGUGUCCGGCUAAUGAUUGUACCGGAGAUAUUUCGACUUAGGUGUGGCCUUAAAUCUUGUAUUAAAUGAUCGGUCGUCCAACGGGAUUUCAUCUAAGGUGGGCGGACCGGUUCUGACCUCGUGCGCUUGAACUAGCAAAAAGUAAAAUGAACAUUACUCGGGAGAACGGUGGCAUGCAUUAUAACUCAAGAGAGCAGCCAUAGGCUGAUUCCAUGCGAUCAAUCCCACCUUCCACCAAUGUCAACACCUUCUCUCAUUCCCUUUUUCCUCUCGACCUUCAUCUUAGGCUUAGCCUCCUCCACUCCCUCGUCAGCCGCCGCCCCGGUGCCCACAGCCAAACCCUCUCCGCUCGUAUUCCCCGUCAAGAAAGAUGCCGCCACCAACCAGUACUACACCACCCUCCAGCUUGGGACUCCCGCCACCGCCAUGAACGGGGUCCUCGACCUCGCGGGUGAGUACACGUGGCUCGACUGCAGUGGCUACGAGUCCUCCUCCUACCGUCCCGUCCACUGCAACUCCUCCAGGUGCGAGGCCGCCGGCGGCCUCAGCUGCAACGGCUGCUACGGCCCCGCCAGGCCCGGCUGCACCAACGACACGUGCGGCGUCUAUGCGGCGAGCCCGUUCCUGGACGUUAUCCUGGGCUCAGGCCUGGCCGUGGACGUCCUGGCCUUGCACUCCCCGGACGGGAUCAAGUACAAGUCCGCCAGUAAAUUUGUAAGUCGAAUAUCAUUGAAUUGAGGCAAACUUAAGAGAAAAUGGAGAUAUAAAUCAGAGAAAUCUCACCAAACCGAGAUGAUUAUACCUUUUUAAUGUUCUUUCUUUCACUUCCAGCAACAAUUUGCUUUCUCUUGCCUGGACGACGGCUCUGACUGGGCGAAGGGACUGUCGAAAUCAACCAAAGGCAUCGUCGCGCUCGCGAGGAACCCGGCCUCGCUCCCCACCGAGCUCUCCACGCAGCUCAAUCUCCCACGCACAUUCGCUAUCUGCCUCCCUUCUUCCUCCUCCGGAUCCACCCACGGCGACCUCUAUGUCGGCGGCGGCCCAUACAUACGACCUCCGAUCAAGAAAGACCUCGUGAAAACGCUCCUCCGCACUCAGCUACUCGUCAACCCAGUGAAACGGGCCCCUGUCUACAGCGAAGGCGAGCCCUCUGAUGAGUACUUCGUCGACGUGACCUCCAUCAAAGUUGAUCUCGCUCCGAUCAGCUUCAAGUCCUCGAUCCUCGCGAUUGACAAGAACGGCAUCGGGGGGACCAAAAUUGGCACUCUCACUCCGUACACGGUCCUCCACUCAGCGAUCUUCAGGCCUCUGGUGAAUGAAUUCACGAAGAAGGCAAUGGACAGGAAGAUCAAGAAGGCGUCGCCGGUUGCACCGUUCGGGGUUUGCUUCGAUGCGAAGAUGGUGAGGAGCGGGAAGGCGGGUCCGGACGUGCCGGCAAUUGUGCUGGUGCUCCAAGGCAACGUGCAGUGGAGGAUGGAAGGGGCGAACUCGAUGGUGAGGGUGAGCAAGGACGUUAUGUGCCUGGGGUUUGUGGACGGAGGAUCGAAGCCAAGGACAGCAGUCGUGAUAGGAGCUCAUCAGAUGGAGGAUAAUUUAGUGGAGUUCGACGUGGGGUCGUCGACGUUUGGGUUCAGCAACUCGCUCCUCCUUCAGAACUCCAGUUGCUCCUCAAGAUCUUGACGUGCCUGGGGCAGGUCAACAUUGCGUUAGGGCCCCUGCGGUCCCCUUAUCUUAACUCAUUCUGCAAUAUCUCCCUUGUAUUUGCAAUGGACUAACGUGAAAUCAAAAUAGCAUAACGUGUUCAUUGCACGCCAGAGAGAAAAAAACUAAUGGGAAAAUCUAUAAGAAGAUGGUCAUAUCCUGCCGAGAAAUUAUUAGGUAAAGUUGGGAUAACCAACUCAGCAAUGCACAAGUCCAUUCCAGGUGUUACUCAUGGGCUCACCUUUCAGAAAACCUGCAACUCCCUCUCCCUCUCGCAUUCGUUUCUCUCUUCUUCACCGAUUUCUUUGUUUGUUUCCCUUUCCAUUUCUUUUCUUUCCCUUUGGCAUGUGAUUUGUUCUCUUCACAGUUCAGUUUAUUAUGUAAAUUAGAAUGUAGAAAGAAACCCUUUUUACUCGUCUCAACCUCACUCACCUACUUGAGUUGUCGCUCACUUUUGUUCACUCACCUUGUUGCUUGCCUUCAUUACUUCGCCUUGUAUGUUCAUUUUUACGGUUUGUUGCUUUUAGUAAGUGUAAAUUUUUGUCAUUACCUUAUCUUUUGUGUGUGUGUGUGUGUUUGAUAUGUCUUGAGGUUCAUAUUCCGGUUGCUCAAUGUCACAUUAUUGAUGGAUAUAUAAUUUGAAACAAUAUAUGUCCUUUUAAGUAUAAGAAAAAUGAAAACAAAAAAUAAUCGGUUGGUCUCGGAUUGACCUAGAUCGGAUCGAAUCAAUAGAUGCGGUCCAGUUCUCAAUCCCAAGCUUAACAAGGUUGGUCUUCAGUCCCAAAAAUUAAGAACUAAUAUUGUGCAGGUUGAUCCUUGGAUUAGGUGUUAAAUUGGCCCAACUAAGACUGUGAUCACCUCUGGUGGUUGGAGACUGGCCACAAGUGAAGGCUGGCAAGGGUGUUGUCCUCACCUGUGGCCGACAAGGAUCACUUUCGUCGAAUUUAGGGAGGGCUCAACCCUCACAAUCAGGGCGAGGGUCGCCCUUGCUGGAUCUAGCAAGGGUUUAGGAGGUGAUGGCAUCAGUGAGGGUGUAGCGACCCUCACCGGCCAUAGGUCAGGGUCGCUUUCGUUGAAUUUGGCAAGGGCUCGGCCUCACAGCAAAGGCGAGGUUAUCCUCGCUGGAUUUGGCAAAGGUUUGGGAGGCCAGGACAUUAGAGCCGUAGGGAAUCUCAAGGAUGCAAGGGCUAAGGGAGGGAUCGGGGUAGCGUACAAAGGGGGCGCUUGGGCUUGUUCUUGGACUAGGGGUGGAGGUGACGCAGCGGUAGAGAGAGAGAGAGAGAGAGAGAGAACACACAGCUUCGUUCAGCGUGGUUUUAUUGGAUAGCGGAGGCAACAGACUAGGCGGAUGCAGAGGCGGCAUCACAGUUUGUUUGACGACGGGCUCCAUCGUGAGUCGGAGAAAGAGCAAUGCAAAGCGAAGAGGAGAGUGAAUAGGAGAGAGAAAGUCCCUCUUUGCUAAAAUUGAAAUCAACUAAGAGAAGGAGAGCUAGGCUGAGAGGCGACAAAAAGCCUAUGUUGCUGCUGCAGAGAGAGAGAGAGAGAGAGAGAGAGAGAGAGAGCGGAGGGAGAGGUGAAACUGAAAUCAAUUAAGAAAGAGGGAGAGGUGGGGCCUAGGCGGCGCCCAAUGAAUGAGGUGGGAUUUUCACAUGCUGGCAUCCAAACAGUACCUAAUAUUUUCUCCAGCCACCAAGUUACUAAGUUGGCACCAAUUAAUUUCUCCAACAAUCAUUAGAAUGUCAAUGUUUUUGUAUAAUGGAUGAUACAGCGAAAAAUUCCAAAUCAGUACACGAGUAAUAAAUUCACCCCAAAUUAGUUUUUUUCAUUUGUAAUAAAUUUAUCAUCCAUUAAUUUUCAUUAAAUUAAAUUAUUACCACUGAAAAUUACAAAUUGAUAUACCUGUGACAAGAGUCAAACCUCAACUUAUAUACUCAUAAACUAUUAUGUGAUAUCUAACUCAGUAAUUUAACAUUUUACAAAUAUAUUAGUUUGGAAUUUUUAUAGUCAAAAAAUUAGUUUGCAGUAAAUUUAUUAUAGGUAUAUCAGUUUAGAGUUUUUCAUAGUAUUAAUCCUUGUUCUUUUUGGGUUAGUUGAGAAGAUAAUGAUAAGUUUAAUUGGUGCAUUAAAUAUGAAGGAUAUUUUUUUUGGUCGAAACUAUGAAAGAUUGGCUUCCCGCAAUUUGUUGUGGAUGGAGAUAAUAGAAAAUGGGCAAGUUAUAUUCGUUAAAUUGAAUUCAAAAUCUAAUGAAUGUGAAUCUCUUGUGAAUAGUACGUAAGUCUCACCAAAUCAAACGGUCCAGAUACAAUUUGGUGUAUGUAGUAGGCUCGCUAAAUAAUUUCUAGUAUUCGUUAUAUUUUCUACUUUUCAUAAUUUUUGGAGUGGGAUUCCUUAAUUUGUGAUUUUCUGAUUGAGUAACAUUGCAUUAGUGUCUACUUACAAAUUAAUUUGGCUGCCUGUGAGUGCGUCCCUAAAUGAGCGAGGAAUAAGUCAACCACGCGAUAAUCAUUAUUUACGUCCAUUUAAGAAGCCAAUCUUGUGAACAUGCCUUUAUGUCUGUCGCUUUACUCUCUUUUUUUUCAGUCUGACGUACAUAAUAUUUGUCUAAGUUCGUGUCGACAAGCUUAAGAAUUAAUUUAUUGAAUUUGAUUCUAAAGUGUAUUUUUUGGGAGAUCACUAUUCUAAAAACUUAAACUAUUAAAUAAAAGUAAGAUUUAAUAUUAAUUUAAAUAUUUUAGCACUUCCCUUGUUAAAAAGGAUUAAGCUAAAAUAAAGGCAUGAGCACUCCCCGGUAGCGAGUGUGGUCCCAUAAAAUUUUACAUGCAUUCUCACAUGCUCUCCUUAGAGAACUUAUGUUUGAGCUCAUCAAUAUAUUCAAUUGAACACAUAUUAUUGGAUAUAUUCAUUAUUUCACAUCACACUAAUUAUCUUAUGUGAGACUUUUUUAGUACAUCUCACAUGUAUAUUUUAAUGAUUUCCCCCACACGUGUGAGCUCACUGCUGGUUCUGCUCCCUAUCAUUCUACACCAAAAACUUUAAUCUCCUUCAUCGUCCACACACCAACAUAUCUCAACUUAAAUUUUCAUUGCUCCCACUUUCACGCCUAAUCUCUUUCUACAUACCAAACUAUGAAAUCUAUCAUUGGGAUUGUUACACCACAACGCCCAUUACUCGAAAAUUGCGUUUGAUCAUAAGGUUGUUUCUUUCCUUAAGAUAUUCACCACACACCAAAAUAGAUUGGACAUUAAACACCAAUUAACUAUCGGCUCUAAUACCACGUGAGAUUUUGAGGAAUCAAUGCUAACUAGUCUAAGCAAUGUGCAAUAUUGGAUCGAGUGUCCCAAUAGUCCCCAUUGGUUUAAAAUGGUCAAUAUGAGGGGAAAAAAAAACAAAGGUAUGUUUAGUAUAACCAAGAGAAUAAAUUGACCUGUGUAUAACAAAAACUCGAUUAAAGGGAAAAUUACCAAAAAAAUCAUAAACUUAUGACAUUGGUACUAAUUCAGUCAUAAAUCUUUCAAUUAAACCAAUUUAGUCCUAAACAUUUUCAUAUUUGUACAAAUUCAGGUACAAAUUCAGUCUAUCCAAUCAAUUUUGAUAUGCCGGUGCUGAUGUGGACGUUGGCCGUUCAGGCAAUGCUAACGUGGCAAUUUUUAAUAAUUCUUAUUUUAUAUUUUUCAAAUUUUGUAUCAAUUUUUUUUUUUUUUUACUUCUUUUCCCUUUUUCUUUUCUUUUUCCUUUUCUUCCUCCUUGGAUUCCUUACAAGCUUGCCAGCCACUAGACGAGGGCCACCAAGCCCUCGUCGACCACUAGUGAGGGCUACGAAGCCCUCACCCGACCUCGCCUAGGGCCACGGGCAAGAUGGCUUUGCCCAAAUCUAGGCUAGGCCAUGAUGGCCUUCGCCCAGGCCUUGGCAAAUGUCAACAUGGCCUUGCCAGCCGCAAGCAAGGCUGCCUUCACCAGCAACGAAGCCAAGGCAAGGUUGGCCUCACCUAGAUCUGGGCAAAGUCGCCUCACCUAUGGCCCUAGGCAAGGGCCAUAAAGCCCUUGCCAACGUCGGGCAAGGCUAUGACCCUCACAAUAGCCGGUGAGGGAUUUGCAGCCCUCGCCCAAUGGCUGGUCGGCCAGUACCGAAGAAGAAAACCAAGAGGAAGAAAAGGAAAAAAAAAAGAAAUAAAAAAGAAAAGGAAAUAAUUAAUAAAAAAAUUCAAAAAAAUUAUUUAAAAAUUGUCAUGUCGGCAUUUAUCGGCCGGCAGAUGUCUACGUCAGUGUCGACUGGCCAAAUUUGGCCAGAUGAACUGAAUUGGUAUCAAUAUGAAAAGAUUUAAACGUAAAUUGAUCAAAUUAAAAGAUUUAAGACUAAAUUGAUAUCAAUGUCAUAGAUUUAAGAAUUUUUUUCUUUUUUUGUACUUUUCCCUCAAUUAAACAUAGUAUGGAUCCACUUCACUGUCUAUUUGGCGAACGUAAUUAGACCAUGUCAAUCGAUUAGCAAGUACUUUACUCAAAGCAUAUAAAGCAAGCCUAUCGCACUCUUGAAUUGCAGAUCGGAAGAAGUCAUAUAAUUGAUUUUACCAAACACUAUAACAGAAUGAGCAUUUAACACCAAUCAACCUUCAACUUUGAUACAAUAUUAGAUUUAGUAGGACCCCUGCUGAUUGUUCCAUGUGCAAUAUUAGAUCAAGUGUCCCAAUGACCUCCAUUGGUUUCUAAGGGUCAAUCCGUAAAAGAAAAGAAUUAUCUUUAGUAAAAAAUUGAGAAUAAAUUGACCCGUUUAUGAAAUAAAUUCGAUUAAACGUAGUCUGAACCCGCUUCACUGCCUAUUUAGCGAAUGCAAUUGGACCAUGUCAGUCGACUGGCAAGUACUUUAAGCAUUCAUAGCAAGCCUAUCACACUCUUUAAUCUCAGAUUGGAAGAAGUCGAUAAUUGAUUUUAGGAAACUUAUUAUAUCCCCACUUUAUAGUGUAAACGGGAAAAGGGGAGGUCCACCCAGAAUCAAGAUGUGUAGGAAUCGAAAUUGUUCAACUUCUCAAGAGAGACAGUUGAGCAGCGCAAGUUCAUUCUUGUUCCUACUUCUGGGAGCAACAUGCGAAUCGCGCUGAAGGGUCUUCGUCUUUCUCUGCACUUGCCUCCGGGACUUGACCUUUGUGAUUAGGUGUGAAUAUCAUGUGAACGACACGGCUGUAUAAGCAUCGUCUCUCCGAUCAACCUAAUCCUCUGCUGCUAUAUCUUCGACCGUGCUUCUGCCAUAUCUGUCCAAGACAUCCUUAAAAAGAGUCUUAGACCUGGUCUGUUAAAGUCUUGCAGUUUGGGGGUGUGGAUGACAUGACGACAGGCUUGAAUAUGAACCAGUUCCCCAAAGAAGCAGCAUCGCCCGCAAGCAGUCCCUCGAUGGAGGAUCAAGAGAGCGGCCGCAACGUAAAACCGAGAACUAGAGAUUGUUCAGUGCUUAAAGAUUUCAUCCUCGGUCACUUUCCACAAGGAGCGAAGCUUAAUACUGCUCGUAUGGUGAGCUAGAUGCUCUGACCUAAAUUUUCACUAGCUUCAAAAUCUUCCAUAAGAAUAGCUCAGUGGAUGUCUCUGUUCCAUUCAACUGCAGGUAUUAGCAGAGGCUAUAGGAACUUUCAUACUGAUGUACUGCAUAUCGGCAAUACUAUCAAUGACACAGCUGCUAAAAGGUGAAGUGGGCCUAAUGGGGUACGCCGCCACGGCUGGGAUGACCAUAGUCAUCAUUAUAUUCUCUCUAGGGCCCAUCUCUGAUGCUCAUGUUAAUCCAGCCAUCACAAUCGCCUUCGCAAUCUACGGUCACUUCCCGUGGUCUAGAGUGUGUGCCUCACUAAUUAUCCAAUUUCCAUGACCAGAAACGCCAGAGACAUUUGUUGAUGUUCUCUCUAUUUUUUGCAGGUUCCACUCUACAUUAUUGCUCAGUUGACAGGUUCAGUAUUGGCGACCUAUGUUGGAGCAAUGGUCUACGGCGUUGAAUCGAGUCUCAUGAUCACACGGCCUCUCGGAGGCCUGGCUUCUGCCUUCUGGGUGGAGUUCUUGGCAACAUUCAUCAUGGUCUUCCUAAUCGCGGGAUUGACUUACAAUCAUCAAUCAGUAAGACAGAAAUUUUGCGCUUCAAUACCCAUUGUACAGAUAUGCUGGAGACAAUAGCCCAAGUCAGAGAAUGUGAUAAAUUUAUCAUUACGUUGAAAACUUUGCAGGUCGGCCCGCUAUCUGGAUUUGUCAUCGGAAUAGGCAUAGGACUCGCCGUAGUGAUCGCGGGGUGAGCGUGAACGCUUGUUCCCAUCUGCAAUUUCAUCAGGAUAAACUUUUCUUUUGAAAGCUACUCAGUCAGACAUCCUGAGCUCUGUUUGCUAAUUCCCAGGCCAGUAUCGGGAGCAUCAAUGAACCCAGCGAGAUCGUUAGGACCUGCGAUCCUCAGUUGGGAUUUUGAGUCCAUCUGGAUAUACAUCAUGGCGCCGGUUAUAGGGGCCAUCGUGGCUGCUUUCGUGUACCGCCUUCUUCGCCUACAAGGCCGGGAAUCGAGCUCCACUGCAUCUUCUCCUAACACCAGUUUGCUGAUCUACUCUCAGGCGGCCCUUUGAUGCAGCACGGGAGACAGGGAGGAUAUGAUGGAGACUGUAAUUGUAAAUUAGUUAAUAAACUAGCUUAAGGGUUGUCAGACUAAAGAUAUUCAGUUAAUAGCAAUAUCUGCUGGAAAAAUUUAGAGAAUAUGAAAACGAAAAUAGUUGGAAAUCUUUCGAAAAAGAUGAAUAAAAUAAUAUAAAUUGUUUGAGGCGUGUAUGCGCUAUCUUUAAAAUGAUUUCGCGCCUUAGAGUAAAAAGCUCAAUGCGAUAAGUUCUAUUAGUAUCAUCCAAAAUACAACAGAGCAGAAUAACAGAAGAAAGAUGAAUAAUGUUAUGUGUACAAUCCAAUAGAUAAAUGAAAGAUAUUUAAAGAGGAAAAACAAUAUAUUUGUUUUGACUUACGUUUCUCUUUUCAAUUAUGUAUGGAGUAACGAUUUGUUGGUAAAAAAAAGAGUCCAUUGAUUUUUGCAUUUAAUUGAAAAUCGUUACAAAAUGUUAUAAAAGCAUUAUAUAUUGACCGUGGUCAAAACCUGUUACAAAACUCAUUAAAUUAUACAACAAGAACAAAAGAAAACUAAGCUUGAAAAUGCAGCAACAUCCAUCCUCAACCUCAAGAAUGGGAGCAACCGGUGUUGCGAAGUAGGAGCGAGUUGCUGAACCUGAACGCCAUCACAGCCACGUCGAACUCCACCAGAUUGUCCUCCAUCUGGUGCGCCCCGAUCACGAGGGCAGUGAUCGGCGUCGACCCUCCAUCCACGAACCCCGGGCGCAUCACCUCCUCGCUCACCCUCACCAUCGAAUUCACCCCUUCGAUCCCCCACUGCGCGUCACUCGGGAGCACCAGCGCCAUGGCCGGCACGUCCGGCCCCGCCACUCCACUCCUUAUGCUCCUUGCGUCGAAGCACGCCCCGAAUGGCGUGAUCAGGUCCACUCUCCUCAUCUUCUUCUCCGCCGCCUGCUUCAAAAACUCCGCAACCAGAGCACUAUAGAUGGCCGAGUGGAGGACCGUGUACGGAGUCAGAGUACUGAUUUUGGUCCCACCUCUUCCGUUCUUGUCGAUAGCUAACGACGAUGCCUUGAAAUGGACCUGAGCCAGAUUGACCUUGAUGGCGGUCACGUCGACGAAGUACAGGUCGGACGGAGAUGCGGAGCCAUGAAAGGGCGGUCAGCUGACAGGAUCGAUGAGGAGCGACUCCGAGAGGUCCUGUUUGAGCAGAGGCCUGAAGUACGGCCGCCACUGACGUAGAAGUCGCCAUGGCCGGGGGAGAAAGAAGAAGACGGGAGGCAGAGAGCGAGCUUGUGGGGGAGAUUGAGGUCGGCUGAGAGCUUCAUGGUGAUCGAGGUCGGAGCGAUGGAAAGUGCCACCACGCCAUUGCCGGCUACGGAGAUGCCGCUCGUGAACUUCGGAGGCACGCAAGAGAAAGGAAGUUGCCGCAGAAAAUGGGAGACGAGGAUGAGUGCACCGUUAAUAUUUCCGAUUUUUCUUUUUUCUUUUCUACAUUACACAAAAUGGACAAUAUACAAAGAAAAUACAAUUUACGACAUCAGAAAUUGAGCUUUACUCAAUGUGAUACCUCGGGAAAAAUACACUAGAAGUGUCAAAAGUUAUGUACAGCACUCACUGGUGUCAAAAGUUUUUGUAGAAUCACUUAAGUGCCAAAUCGGAGAAAAAAACGAUCAUUUUAAUGCCACCGCAAGAUAUUCUGGCCAAAUUAAUUACUUGGCUUUUAUAUUUAAAAAAAAAAAGUUUUACGUGGCUUUUAAACAACGUUGUUUUCCUUCAUCUUUAAGAAAACAACGUCGUUUUGCUGUCAUACAUGGAUGGCCUCACAAAAACGACACCGCACAGCUCAUAUAGGGAUUGAAAUUGGGGGUUUUUUUGUCCGAUCUUGCCUAACGCCAACUUAGCUUGCUCAAUCACCAUCGCUCGGCCUCCGUCAAAGUUGCUCGACUAAGUGAGCGAGGAGAGGCUGAGGUUGUUGCUCGGGCAAGAAGCGACGGGAAGAAUAGGAGGUGAGGGCGGAGGAGGAGGACAAGAGCUUAGGCUUGUCAACAAUGUCGGACGACCAGAGGUGGAGUUGUGCCGAUGCUGGUGCCGGUGCCGUUGCUGGUGUCCCUGCUAAUGCUGGUGUUGGUGUUGUUCUUCGAGGAAGAAGAUGAUAGGGGAAGCCCAUGCCAUCUCUCUCUCUCUCUCUCUCUCUCUCUCUCUCUCUCUCUCUCUCUCUUAAUUUGGGGAUUUAAGGUUCUGACUUGGGGGAAAGACGCUAAAUGGCGUCGUUUUGUUGUUUACUCUUCGGCAAGCCACAUUAGUUUCAAAAAUUAAUAAAAAAGUGUCACGUCGGAUUUCCAAUCAAUCAAAUCGGCGAUGACACUUAAAUGAUCGUUUUUCAAAAAUUUUAGCACUUAAGUGAUCAAAAAUAAACUUUUGACACCAAAUUAAAAGUCGUACACAACUUUUGGUACUUCUAAUGUAUUUAUCACGUGAUACCUCCUAUAUAUAAAUGGGUGUUCAAAAAAGAAUUGAGAUAAUAUACAAAACUUAUUAAGCUUUUGAUAUUGAUUUCCAUUUUUUUUUAAAUCACACUAUUACUCCUCUCGACGUGUACUUGAUCCCAUCGGUGUGGUGCUGCACCACCGCGUCCUUGCCGAGUCCGGCACCAAUGACGACCUCUAUCAGUAGGUGAUCAACUAAUAAAAUAGACAGAACAAGAAAAUAAAUUGAACAUCAAAUAUAUGUUGUUUAGUCAUAUGACCUAUGUUCAUGGGAAAAUAGCAAAAAAUUUCAUUAUAAAUUAAGCGAUACAAUGGAGAUUACAAUCACACUUAAAUAACUCAAACACUCUUAAUAUUUCUAACCCCACUUUUACCCAAGAACUCACAUGGUGUUUGGCUCCAUAAUUUAUCACGAAAUAAGUUUUCAAUCUUCACAAAUCUUAAUCAUGAGGUAUAAUUAGCUUUAACACCUGAAUUACUGGUGUAAUUCCACCAAUGAAACCCAUGUCGAGCACUCACUCGAUAAAAUGGCGCUUCAACCUCUUCGACUCUAAAACAUGCCGAACUCUAGUCAUGUUUUUACGAUACCAUUAUACAUUCAGAUUCUAACAUCACCAUCGACCACAAUAUCACACUUAGCGUUGUUCUUCGAUUGAACUUUACUACUAUACAUGCAUUGAUAAAUUGAAAAUCAUUUCUUAUUUGAUGUAGCAUAAAACAAACAAUCAGUAUCCAAAUGGGCUACAUUUCAAAGAUUGUUCAAGGAGUUUGUUAACAUCAAAAGGAUGUAUUCCUUGCAAGUAGCCUAAAUAGAACCAAUUUUGCGGCGGUUGUUGAGUUCGUGUGUAGAAUCCCACUCAGAGUUCCUGGAAAAAUGUUCUAAUUUUCAUGGCAGAAUUCUAAGUUCUUUGUUCAUUUGCAUUUUAAGAAAAAUGAAGAUAUCAACCUUGAAAUCCUUGAAAAUCUCCUAGAGCUCUGAUAUUAAGGCGUCGAGGCAUCUUGCCUAGUGAGAUCUCUACAUAUUUCUAUUAGAGCUCAAAGGAGAAAAAGCUAUAGGAGAAAACAUGUAUAUAUCCGAAGGUUUGGCCAUAUGUUGUUCAGGCUCUUGAAUUUUUGGGCAUUUGGCACUGGAUAACUAGGAUGAUAGGCUUCUCCUAGCUUGAGUAGUUCUAAAUUACAAGAUAACUUUUUUUAAUCCACUUGUAAAUGGGUUUAUAGAAUGGGUAAAUGAGUUGUUGUUUUGGCUUUAUUUUAUGUGGCUCGGGCUUUAGUGAUUUAUAAGGCUGCUUACAAUCAGACGGUGGUGGUGAAGAAACUGGAGAUAGUACUAGAGUAGGGUUAGGCACUAUGUAGGAUAUCAUAAAUCGGUACCUUCCACAGUCUUCAUCAAGAGGCCCUAUGGAAGAAUCGUCAUCUAGGUAUCUCUGGUAGAAAGGAUCUCGAGCAAUGAAUCCUUAAUGACAAACAGGGCAUGAGUAGCACUAUCUAAAUCAAAGUUAACAACAGUGACAACAUCAUCAAUAGACUUAAAUCUAAUUCCAUUACCUUUCUCAUUCUUCAGCUUCAAAAAAUUCCUUCUAAAAUAUCCCCUCUUGCCACAAUUUUAAUAGACCAUACCAUUAGUCCUAGAUUGAUUUCAACUAUUCAAGUUUAUACUACUUCUACUACUAACAUAAGUAAGAGUUCUUUUUCUACUUUAACCUACCAAAACAUUAGACAUGGGUUUAUCAAAUUCUCUUCUAUGGAUGUCCUCACUUAAAAUUAAAUCUCAAAUCCUAUCAAACUUAAACUCAAACUCAUCGACCCAAAGGAAUUGCUAACAAUAGUAUUAGUAGUAUUCCAAUUAUAAGGUAAUGAGGAUAUUAAAAUCAAAUCAUUUACUUCAUUUGCAAAGUCAAUGUCAACUAAACUCAUAUGACAAACACAUUGAAUUCAUUGAGCUUAUCAGCAAAUGACGCACCUUCGUCCUUCUUUGACAUUAGACACUGCAUCAAGUAGACAUUGUUUAUUGUAGAGAGCUUCUCGUACAUGUUCGAAAGGGCUUUCAUCAAAUUCAUUAUGGUCUUCUCUUUCAUAAUAUGAAAUGCAACAUUAUGAGCUCAUGUCAGCAGAAUAACACUCAACACUUGUAUAUCCAACAAUUCUCAUUCAAUUCAUCGACUCUAGUUUUUUUCUCAAAUAGGGGUAAGUGCAUAUUCUUCUUAUACAAAUAAUCCACAAUUUGCAUUGUCUAGAAACUAAAAUCAUUCUCAUCAAAUAUGUCCAUUUUUGCUUUUCCUUCUUCUAUUAUCAUCUAUUUGCUUUAACUCAAUCGAGUCUAACUUUGAUAUCAAUUAUUGUAUAAAGAAGCGAUCGAAAGGACACCAAGUUUAAGUAAUUCAGCCUAGUGACCUCCAUACUAUAAAUGAAACAAUACAAUGAAGAUCACAACCACGCUCAAGUCACCCAAACAUUCUCAAUAUUUCAUAGCUCCAAUUAUACUUAAUAACUCACAUAUUAUUUAGCUGCAAAAUUCUUUCAGAAAUAAUCUCUUAAUUUUAUAAGGGAAUUCACAAAUGUUACUCAUGAGAUUUAAUUGGUUUCAACCCUUGAAUUACUGGUGUAAUCCGUGAAUAAAACCCACCAGGAUUAACUCCUGCCAAGCACUUGAAACGGCACUUCAACCUCUUCACCAGGAAUCCCAUAUAAAAAUGCAAAAGAAAUCAUUCAGUGACCGAUUUCCGUAUAUUUGGUCAAUCAAGUCCAAAUUUGAAGUUUCCUCUUUUGACUUUCCUUUGGCCGACGUCAGGUAACAUUCAGUUUUGUGCCCCCUUAUCUUUUCUAUCAAGUUCCACAACAUGAGUUCAUGUAUGACGUGAUCGAUAAUAUUAUUUGGGCCCAGUUUUCAUCCAACAAGCUCAAACUAGAAGCAUAUUAUCACCUUUGGCCAACUUGGCUCGAUAUUUGAGGCAACUCUUAAUCACUUUUCUAAAAAAAUCUGGACCAUUAACUCCACUUGCCCCUCAUAGGCUCAACCGCCGUAGACAUCUUUCAAGUACAAGCCAUGCUUAAACUUUGCUAUAACCAGGAACCUCAUCUAAACGCCUAACUCCACUUGCACCCUUAACUACUCCACCAGAAAUUUUAGACAAAACCUCCUCUACCACAAGUAAAGCAAACCCAUCAAUGCAUCUUAUAUCCACCAUGAGAUCAAAGACAUACCUUGUCAAUAUUAAUAGUUACAUAUAUUGUUGGCUCUUUAGGCUCCACUUCAUUACAAGCACCAUCUAUGUCAAUUACUCCACUAGUACCCACUACCUUAGGAGUUUCUAAUUGUAACUCCACCUCGAACUAAACAUCGUCAAAAUCUGUAUAAAAACUACCACAACCACUCCUUCCCAUAAGUAUUGGAGACUUGUCAAACGUAACUUUUCUGUAAACAAUAAGUAAAUUUAAUUCCAAACACCACAAUAGCUAACCAUGCUCAUCAUGUGCAUAGCUUUAAAACAUGCGCUUUUUUACUCUUCCAUCAAGUUGACCAUUACUCGCUCUAACAAUUCAUGGACAACCAAAUAUUCUUAAAAAUAGAAUAAUUAGUAACAUUAUCUUAUCACAUUUCUUCCGGAAUCCAGCAUCAAAUCGUAGUCAAUAGGUAUCUAUUCACCAAAUAGCUCAUCAUACUAUGGGCAUCCGCUAGUCACUUCUUAGCAUAUCAUCACUAGCAAGCAUUUUGUGGACUAUCUCUAAUAUUGUUAUGCUUAUAAACUCUACAAUUUUUUGUGGUUCACUGACACUAGUGCGGUGUAUCACUAUACCUUCUUCACGCAAGAAAUCCAUAUAUUCGGUCAACUAAGUUCAAAUUUAGACUCCCCUCUUUUGACUUUUCUUUGGCCGACUCCAAGACCGCUUGGACUAACAAGAUAUAUAUUUUGUGUAACCCUUUAUAUUUCUUUUCAAUUUCCUUUUCAAUUUCCAUGACAGGAAUCCACGUAUGAAAUGACCGAUUAAUAUAUUCGGGCUGGGAUUUUGUUCAACUGGCUUGCACUCAAGACAUAUUAUAACAACUUCAUCAUGGCACCAAUUACAGGGCCCAUCGCGGGUGCUUUUAUUUUGUCUUGGGGGGAGGUUUCCAGCUUUGCUACAUCUUCUUCUAAUGCCGGUAUGCUGAUCUACUCUCAAUAGGCCCUUUGAUGAAUCGGUGGGGAGAGGGAAUGGACACCGUAAUUGUAAUUUUGAUAUAAACUAGGUUAAGGGCUGUUCAACUGAAGGAUAUUCAGUUAUCCUUGUUGCCUGUCGGGUACUAUAAGCGUCGAUGAAGUUGCAAUAAAUUUGCAGAAAGAGGUUAUUUAUUUAUACUGCCGAACAUUUUAUCUUCAUCCGUGCUUAGUCCAAACAUUGCAGCAAACUAAAAAGUCAAACAGACGUUCAUGAUUAAACAGGACACUGACCCAACUGAGAAUCAUCGGACAAACUAGCGAAUGCAACAACCUCCAUCCUCGACCUCAAGAGUGGGAGCAACUGGUGUUGCGAAGCAGGAGCGAGUUGCUGAACCUGAACAUCAACGAAGCCGCGUCGAACUCCACCAGAUUGUCCUCCAUCUGGUGCGCCCCGAUCACGAUCGCUGUCCUCGGCCUUGACCCCCCCUCCACAAAGCCCAGGCACAUCACCUCCUUGCUUACCCUCACCAUCGAAUUCGCCCCUUCGAUCCUCCACUGUGCAUCGCUCCGGAGCACCAGCACAAUCACCGGCACAUCCGGCCCCGCCACCCCACUCCUACGCUCCUCGUGUCAAAGCAUGCCCCGAACGGUGCAAUCGGCUCCACUCUCCUGAUCUUCUUCUCCGCCGCCUGCCUCGAAAACUCCGCAACCAGAGCUUUAUAGAUGGUCGAGUGGAGGACCGUGUACGGAGUCAGGGUACUAAUUUUGGUCCCGCCUCUUCCGUUCUUGUCGAUAGCUAACAACGAUGCCUUGAAAUUGACCGGAGCAAAAUUGACCUUGAUGGCGGUCACGUCAAUGAAGUACUGGUCGGACGGAGAUGCGGAGCCGUGAGAGGGCGGUUGGCUGACUGGAUCGAUGAGCAGCUGAGUGACGAGGAGCGACUUCGAGAUGUCCUCUUUGAUCGGAGGCCUAAGGUACGGGCCACCGCCAAGGUAGAAGUCGCCGUGGCCGGAGGAGGAAGAAGAAGACGGGAGGCAGAGAGCGAGCUUGUGGGGAAGGUUGAGGUCGGCCGAGGACUUUGUAGCGAGCGAGGUUGGAGCGAGGGAAAGCGCGAUCACGCCAUUGCCGGCUCCAGAGAUGCCGCGCAUGAACUCCGAAGGCACGCAAGAGAAAGGAAGUUGCUGCGGAAAAUGGAAGACGACGAUGAGUGCACCGUUAAAAUUCGUUCCAUUUCUACAUCACAAAAAACUGACAAUAUACCAAGAAUAUACGAUUUACGACAUUAGAAAUUGAGUCCUAUUCAAUGUGAUAUCUCCAAAUAUAUAUACACUCGGGUAUUCAAAUAAGAAUAAGAUAAUUUACUAAACUUAGUAAGCUUUUGAUAUUGAUUUCCAGUUGUCUAUAAUAUCAUAUGCACUUCUUGUGUUCAUUCCUACUUUUUUUUUUUCUUUUUUUCUUUUUUUUUUUCUAAAAUCACACUUACUAUUACUCCUCGCGACGUGUACUUGAUCCCAUCGGUGUGGUGCACCACCGCCACGUCCUCGCCAAGCCCAGCUUCGAUAACCACGUCCGUCAGCGGGUUGUGCACGAACACACUGCACGUGUCAUUGAAGCAGCCGCCACCGCGGGCGGCCCUGCACCUGGCCGAGCUGCAGAGGAUGUGGCGGUGGGACGAGGACGACGACGGGUUGUAGUGGGCAGCACAGUCGAACCAAGAGUAUGAGCCCGAGAGGUCAAGCACCGCCUUCACGGGGGAAGGCGGGGUGCCGAGGGCGAUGGUGGUGUAGUAUUGGCGGGAUGCCUCAUCUUUCACGACGGGGAAGAUAAGAGAGGAAGGAGCAGGAGGUUGGGUUCCAGAGGACGAGAGGGAGAGGAAGGAGGCGAUCAAGGGGAGGAGGAAGAGGCGAGGAGGAGUCACCAUCUCUGACACUGAAGAUGAUGGGCUUGAGAAAGCUUUGAAGAGGAGCAACUUCGCACUAAAGGAACGAGGUUUUUAUGUACUUCAAACACAACGUCCAACCCCACUUUGGCCUACUGUCUACGUAAGCACUUUUGCGCGUGUAGCAUUGCUCUUCUCCUCCCCCAGUCAAACCUCCUCUCGAUAAGGGCAACGUUGCAGACUUGGAAAUAGACACUUUGACUUCUGCAGCCUACUAUGAAUUGAAUUGCAUGCACGUAGCUCUGGCUGAGAUAAUCAUCAAAGAGGAUGCAUAUCCUCUCUCUCUCUCUCUCUCUCUCUCUCUCUCUCUCUCUACUGCAAGUCAGUCAAUGUGCUUUGUUCAGACCAGCAGACUUUCGGGAAUCACAGCUCAUCCGGGCUUCUCGACGACGCAGAAGAUGUCGAUGCACGCCGCUUCAUAAAUGGCGACGUACCAGUACCGAAGUUGACGUCAACUGAAUAGAAAUGACAGAUUCCCGUGCAUUCGAGGAGUAUUUCAUUCAUUGAGCAGAUGCGGUAAACCAAUGCAAACAAGCAACCUAUUCACAUUUUAGUGACGUUGGAACUCACUACGAGAGAAAAUAACCUAUUUUAUAAGUAUGUCGAUUAGGCAAGACCAGAACUUUAUGUAAUUAAUUAUGUAACGCCAAUGAUUUUCUCAACAACGCAACUUCCCUCUUCCUCUGUGAGACUUAACAAUUCAAUUAACAGCAAAUUCAACAUCACAUAAAGAUCUGUGUCGAUUCAGACAUCUAACUAGCACGGCAAAUGUGAUCUUCAAUGAAGAAAAGUUUCAUGCGCAAAUCGGCAACGUUUUCAAGUGCUUGACACGCAUGAUUAAAUCUCAGACUAAGAUCUUUGGCUCAUCCCCAAGCCCCUUCAAUUUACAAAAUUCUAAUAUUAUCUACCUAAUAAUAUUCUUUAUCGAUCCCACGAAGAAGAAAGUCAUGCACCUGGGUAUGAAGAUCAUACCGAGAAGAUCAAAUGGCGAAAAUGCAAUGCCCUUUAUGCAAGUGUAGAUAAAACGAACAUGCGCAUACUCAAAGACUGUCCCAUAACUCGGAUUGUCCGGAAUCAACUUAGAUGGGGGUUCAAUGCUUAUAGGUUACAGAGCAAAAUCCUGGGAAUUUCUUCAAAUCUUCCUGUGGGGGGUCCCCAAACCUGAUCUCCCUCGAUCUCGGCUAUUGUGUUCAGGUCGAGAACUGCCAUUAUGGAUCGUGAAUUCUGAGAAGCAAGGCAAAUCUUGUACAGAAACAAAUGGAUAUUGCAGCUAUUCUUGUGUGGUUGGUUAUCAUCGUCCUUCCAAUGCAGGAGAGAAGUGGGCUCUGCCGCCAGAUCAAUGGAUCAAGCUCAGCACGGAUGCAACUUCCAAGAACGAUCGAGCCACUGCAGCAGUCAUUGCUCGAGACUCCAUGGACAGUGCAUCAGGCACUUGUGGAAGAUCCCGGGCCAAUAAUUUAACCAUGGACUAAACUCAAUCGAGGAUCAAUUUCUCACUUGAAAAUAAAUUAAUCGAAAUUCUCUUAACCCCAGCACCAACCAGCAAUAUAUAACCUCACAAUAUGCAAAUAUAACGUCGAAAAGAUAAGUAAACAAAUCAAAUAAUGAUGCUAAUGAUUUAACAUGGAAAAUCCAGUGAGGGAAAAACCACAGACCACCUAAAACAUCUACUAAUUAUCAAAAAUAGUAGGAUACACAAAGUAUUAUUUUCUAAUCACACAAUAGGGACUCAACAUCAACAUUACAAUAAUUUUUUUCUUACCACAUAAGUAGAUACACAAAUUCAAAGUAAGAAAGCCCUAACCAUGACUGGAGCAUUCAAAAAACUUGCAGUCCUUGGUUUCAUGAACAACCUAUUCAAAUUUGAGCCAAUUCCGUCAACGUUUGGUCCUCAAAUCUAGACCACAGAGAUUUUGUCAUCUCUCUUCUCCCUUGUGUGCCUAUUCUCAAUUGGGUCUCUCUCUCCCUCCUUUUCUUCUCUCAGUUUUCUCUCUCUCUCUUCUGGUCUUGCACGAAGCAACUAGACUUCCCUUUUGUCUUUCUCUCUCCUCAACUUUUUCACUCUCUCACACACAUUCCCAAAGCAGCCUCUUCCUUCUUCUUUUUGUUAUGUUUUCUUUUGUUUGUUUUAUUUAACUUAUUGGCUGGGCCACAAAUGAGGUGCACCCAGCCAACAAAUCUCGCCCUUCGCCUCAUGUGGGAAGAUCCAUCAUGCCUGCUUUUAUUCUACAGGAGUCAAACUUCACCAUAGGCAAUGAUUUAGUCAUUAUAUCGGAUCCAUUGUUGUCAAUGUGGACUUUUUUAAGUGGAAAGAGCUUUUCUUUUAAUUUUAUCGAAUCCAAUGAUACUUCACAUCAACAUACUUCGAUCUUGAAUGAAAUACUGAAUUCUUACCAAGAUAAAUAGCACUCAUACUAUCGCAAUAUAAAACAAACUUCUCUUGCUUCAAGCCCAACUCUUGUAGGAAUUUUUGCAUCCAUAAGAGUUCUUUACCUCCUUUGGUAAUAGCGAUAUAUCCUGCUUUGAUUGUAGACAGAGCAAUAUAUUUUUGCAAUAUUGAUUGCUGUGAAACAACUCCCCUUGCAAAAGUCAUUAUAUAACCCGAUGUGAAUUUUCGAGAGUCAACAUCACUGGUGUAGUCUGUAUCCAAGUAGCCACUCAACUUAAGCUUCACAUUUUCAUAGCACAAGCAAAGUCUAUGAGUGCCCUUGAAAAACCUCAAAAUCCAUUUAACAGCAGUUAAAUGCUCCUUACCUAGAUUUGAGGAAAAAUCUACUCACAACACUAACUACGCGAGCAAUAUAUAGUCUUGUACAUAUCAUGGCAUACAUCAAACUACAAAUGGUCGAUGCAUAAAGAAUAUUCUCUAUUCCUUCUCUUUCUCACUUGUAGAACACUCAUUAUUACUCAAUUUGAAAUGGCCCACAAGUGGAGUACUUACCAAUUUACAUAUGCUCAUUUGAAUCUUUCAAGCACCCUUUCAACAUACCUUUCUUGAGAUAACCAAAGUUUCUUAUUCUUCCUAUCACAAGUAAUUUUCAUACCAAGGAUUUGUUUGGCCAGGCCUAAGUCCUUCAUUGCAAAAGCUUUAUUCAACUCAUUUUUCAAACUCUUGAUUUUCUUAGUAUCAUGCCCAACAAUCAACAUGUUAUCCACAUAAAGUAGGAGGAUAAGAAAAUCAUUAUUUGACAAUAUUUUCAUAAAAACACAAAAAUCGGACUUUGUCUUACUAUAUUCAUGUUCUUCCAUGAUUGAUUCAAAAAUUCAUGUACCAUUACCUUGGCGCUUGCUUGAGACCAUAUAAGCUUUUUAUCAAUUUACAUAAAGAUGCUCCUUGCCUUGAACUUCAAAACUCUUCGGUUGCUCCAUACAUAUUUCUUAUUCUAGGUCUCCAUAAAGAAGGGUUGUCUUUACAUCUAGUUGUUUAAUUUCUAAAUUCAAACUAGCGACCAACCCAAGAACAACUUGAAUAGAAAGCAUCUUUACAACUAGAAAAAAAAUAUCUUCAAAGUCAAUUCCAUUCUUUUGACAAAAGCCCUUCACAACAAGCGUAGCCUUCUAUCGUGGUUGAGAAUUAUUUUCUUCUGUCUUCAACUUGUACACCCACUUAUUUGUGAGUGUUCUCUUACCCUUAGGCAACUUCACGAAUCUAAAUGUGUGGCUCUCAUAUAAGGAUUCAAGCUCUUCUUACAUGACUUAUGCCACUUAUUCUUUUGAUCGCACGACAUAGCCUCUUCAUAAGAUUUUUACUCUCCUGCAUCAGUGAAUAAUGCGAUUGAUUUUUUUGUGAAGGUCUAUGCUCCCUUUUAGAUCUUCUAACUUGAGGUAAGACUGACUAUUCUUGCUCAACUAGCUCAAUAAGCUGCUCUUGCUCAAUUGGUUGUUCUGGCUCAACUAAAGAAUCAACAUUAUGUGAAGAUUCACCAUUUUUAUGAUUUCUAUGAUUUCCAUACACUUCUCCCCCAUGAUUUCCAGCCACGGCAAGAGAUUGGGCUAAAACUAGCAAAACGUUGAGCUAUGUUCUUUGGUCUCCCUGGCUUGUCUAUGUCUUUAAUAGUUUGAUGCUCAAAGCACACCACAUCUCGAUUUCUAACGACUUUCUUUGCAACUGGAUCAUAUAACAUAUAACCAAACUCUUCAUGUUCAUAACUCGAGAAGAUACACUAUUUAGACUUGUCAUCAUCUAAGGCACCUGUGGAGAUCAAAUGAGAAUCUCGUAGAGAGGAAAUAUGAAAUGAAAAUCUAUAUUGCUUAUCUAUUUGGCAGUGGAUACAUUCCUUCAAAGUUUUCUCCUUCAGUGGUAGGAGAUUCUUUCGAGCAAGAGUGCAAAGCCCCUUCUCGCUGAGAUGAUUGAGUCUCAUAUGCCAUAGGUUAACUAAGGAGUCCUCCACUACAUUUAUCUUUUCCCUGUUCAACUUAGCUUGCAUGGUGUAAAGAAAGCAUGUCUUCUUGCCCUUAGCCACUAUCAUGGAACAUUUAGUCAAUUUCCAUUUGCCAUCAAAGAAAGAAUUGCAAUAACCAUCAUAAUCUAAGGCACCUAUAUAGAUGAAAUGAAGUCAAAUAUCUGGAACAUGUCUCACAUUUUUCAAAAGCAAAUUACAUUCAACAUCAAUUUUUCAAUAAAUAUCACCCAUGCCAAUAACCUUGGAAACACCAUUGUUUCCCAUCCUAACAUGACCAAAGUCAAUGCUGCGAUAGGAAGUAAAGUAGUCACACCAUAAAGUGACAUGAAAAGAAGCUGCGGAAUUAACAACCUAGCUAGAAUCUUAGCACGUAAAAUUCACACAACCGUCAUCACAUAUGAAGACAGUAUCACCAUUGGAUGCAACUGCCAUGGUAACAUGUUCCUUUUAUUUCAUUCGAUCUUCAUUUCUAUCAUGGGAUUAAUCUCUAUUUGGUAAUCUACAUUCUCUCACAUACUGUCCCAUCUUACUAAAAUUAUAGCACUUCAAACUCCUCAUCAGCCUUGAUUUUGACUUGCCUCUUGACUUGCUCCUAUUAUCAUUUAUUUGAAACCUUAAUGAUUGAUUUCUCGCCAUGUUUUCUAUGACAAGAGCAUCUGAUGUAAAAGUAUAAUUCAAGCAUUUUCUUCUUAUUUCUUCAUUGAACAAGCUUUCUGUCACACCCCGAUCCUUGAACGCGUGCACAUCCCUCACUUAAUCGAUUUAUAGAGAUGUCUCAAGACGCAUCGCCAACCUUUUUAUUCUUAAUACGCAUGCAGAAGCAUAAAAUAAUCCCCAAAUAAUAAAACAAUAGGAUAAAAAAAGUAUGGCCAUAUUUUUCACAACUGAAAAACCACAAUGACACUUUUAUACAAAGCAAACCUCAUAGUAUAUAAUACAAUACUAUUCACAGAAGUCUGAUCUAACAUACAUCAGUCCAUAACUCAGGUUUGCAAACAGGAUGGGAUCUCAGUCCUCAUCCGGGUCGUACUCUAGAUCCUCCUUUGGAUCAUCCUCUUCUUCAGAUUCUUCUCACCUUCUUUAGGUUCGUCCUCGAGCUCUUCCUCCUCAAAAUUUACCUCAGGCUCGUCCUUAGGUUCCUCCUCUGGUUCCUCCUCCUCAAGUUCCUCGUCUAUUGGUUCAUCCUCCCGUCCCUCCUCUUGCUCAACGAUCUCCCCUUCUUCUUUGCUCCAAUUAGCAUCUUCAAUGGAAUACAUAGGAGUAUGAGAAUCGUCCUCGAGUUUAGGAUCCUUAGUGUCUACUACCGACCCGUCCUUAGGAUAUGUCGUCCCUUCUACUGAUGCCUCUUCCAAUAUGUACAAGAGCACAUUGCCUUCCGGUAUGGGACCCUCUCUUUGCCCAUCAUGGUAGUGACGGUACCACGAUUGAUACUCAUGGAGUCUCAAGGCAUCAUUACCCACGUCAACCUAGACAGUUGACUUAAUCAAUACGUACUCUAGUCCCUCGGGGUGAUAAUGUAUAUGGAAGUGAUAUGUUAUUUCUGAGAUUUCUUCGGGAAUACCAAAAUGCAUAAGAGGAUGAAGAGGUGGAGGUGCUGCCAUCUAGGGGUCUGAGAUUGUUAUACAAUAAUCAAUGAGACAAGGUCUCAGCGAGUUCUACUCUCCUAAAACCCGAUUAGGAAACCAAUACACUAUGAGCUGUCUAAGCCACACGGUAAAAGGACUUACAUUGGCCUCAAAUUCCACCUAUAAAUAGUACAGUUCAAACAGGCACCCAAUCAAAUGCUAUCGAUCAAAACAUUGGUCAAUUGACCUAGUCAAUUUACAUGUCAAACAGAUCAUUCUUGGUCAUUUCAAUCAAUACUGUCCAUUCUCCAAAAUAACACAUCGAGUUACCGAGCCAGUAUUUUAUACGAUUCCUUCUCCGAAAUGACAUAUUAAGUCACUGAGUAUAUUCAUCAUAACGUCAUUUCUCCAAAAUGACAUGUUAAGUCACCGAACCGAUAUUGCAUACCAUCCUUUCUCCAAAAUGACAUAUAGAGUCACCGAGCCGGUAUAUAAUAUGGUAUUCUAAUCGUACAAUCAAUUUGUCAUUUUUAUCAUACCCGAUAAAAAUAACCGUGUGUGAGUACACGAUCGACCUUAGCCAAAAUAUAAUAAUUUCCUUUCCACAAAUCCAACCAUUUUCUGUAGUCCACCAAAACAUUUUUGGCGCUAUCAACCGACGCCCGGUUAUUUUCCAAUUAAUUAUUCAAAAUUAAUUAAUUUAGGAAAAUAAUCAUAAAAUCAUUAAUAAAUCAAUUCAGCACAAUCUAGCACUCAAUAAAUUAAAUAGAUUGCAUCACAAUAAUCAACAUAAAAUUUCGGUCAUUAACCAUCUCGGUCGAAUUUCUGCAAAAUAAAUAAAUAAUUAAUUAAUUAAUUUCAAAAUUUAAUUAUUAAAUAGCAAUAAAUCUAAUUUAGGCCCGGAAUGCCUAAUUGGAAGCCAAAACGAGCUUGGAAAAUUACGAAGACUCGGUCAAUAAAUAAUAGGACUUGUCUACUUGCUAAGUCUACUAACCAUUUGCCUAACAUGCAUAGAUAAAUCCCUAAUUUAAUUAUUUUAAUCUAAUAUAUCCACCUAAUUGCACUUAAUUAAAUAUAAUCAACCACUAAGCAUCAUUAGCAUACUAAUAAAGGAUUAGUGAGCAAAACUCACCCAUUUAACAAUCUAUUCGGAUCAAAACAUCAGGAACGUCGCGGGGGACUUUUUCUCCAAAGCGGGCCUAGGAUCCAAGGACCAGAACACCUCAAAUCGAGCCUAGAAACCUACUGGAAACCCACAAAAAACCUGAUCUGUUUUAGCUGCAAAAACAUAAGCAAAUAAGGUUAAGAUGGGCGGCAGGGCUCAGGGAUGGACAACGGUAGUGGUUUCGGUCCAAACGGGGACUCCGGCGGGCUUCCUCAACCACUUGUAGCACUGAACAAAAGGUUGGAUAGCAGGACAAAGCAGUUGGACAGACCCGACUGGGCGAAGAGGAGUGGACGACGCGCGCGGCCUGACGCGAGUGGAGGCGGACGGCGAUGAGCAACACAAGUUCGGUGUGGGGCGGCUAUAGCUGGUGGCGUUUGCUGGCUCUUCUACUUGCUGGUGGCACACGAAAAUGAAGGGGAAUGGGAGGUUCGGCCGGCCAAAGGGAGAAGAUGAGGGAGAGAGAGAAGUGGAGGGCCCCUUGGCCUUAUUUUCCACAUUUUUGUCCCCCUCCCAAGCUUGUCCAUCAAGCCAAAGUUCCUUGGUUGUCAAUGAGCCACCAACACACUCCUCACAACUCAUGAAAUGGUCCAUUUGGCUAAAGGGAAGGGUGUACACAAAUUUGUAAGGUUUUAGCUUCAAUUGAACUCAAUUCCUUCACAAUCCAACCUCAUAUGGCCUUUACAAAAAUCAAUUGGCACCUCAAUUAUUAAAUUGAUAAUUUUCCUCACCUAUAUACCCAUCGUGCUUACCAAAUUUGCAAUCAAAAUGAUCCCCGGCCUUUUUCAAAUAAAAACGGUCCUGUGACGACUUUUCCCAAAAAGUCUUGGGUUGCAAAAAAAUCUUCUAAGACUGAGUCGACGUUCCUAGCAUUUAUUGUGAUAUAUGACAGGAUCUUCAAUUUUUGAAAUCAAACUUGAAUUCGCUAUUAAUUUCCAUUCGGCACGUUUUUAAUGUGACAUAGGCUAUCAGGUAGUUUUCAAAAAAAUUUAGUGCAAAUGACCCAUAGUCAAUUUUCUUCGAGCCACAAUAAACCCACUUGACUCAAUGGCGACUCUUGAUUAUCGUAAAAAUCUCGAGAAUUCAAAUACCGACACAAGAUACCAAAAUGACAAAAGAAUCAAUUUAGGGCUGGUCGACGAGAAUUUUCCAAUUUAGUAGUAUUACCCAUGAUUAGCCACACAUCUUAAUCAAACAGACUUAUCUCUAAUCUCAAAUCGAUUUUUAACUGUGUUAUAAUGGCCUCUAAAGAUAAAUACGGUCGAGAAGUCGAUUCCUAGUUGAAUUCUCAAGUCUAUCACAUUAAAAUUCCUUAACAGCUCUCCUAAAUAGUCUAGUCAUCUCGAGAGUGAUUGGCUCUGAGAACAGCUCUAUAGGUGCGUCAAUGAAAUACCUGAUUUAUUCAGUAGAAAUAGAAGCGAAAAUCCAAUAUGUCACACUUUCUUUAACAACACUCAGAAAAGCAUACCAUAAGGAGUCGAAUUCUUUAACGCCAUAACCAAGGUAUCCUAACUAUCCAAAAGAGUACCAAGUAAUAAGCAUGCUUGCAAUUCAUCAUCAAGGUCAAUCUUAAGAUUUGUCAAUUGAUUUAUAGUAUUUUGAAAUUCACUCGAGUACUCUGAUAUGCUACUUCCCUCAUUAUAUCUCAAAUUCACAAGUCAUUUAAUUAGAAAAGCUUUAUUUUAUGGAGUUCUCCUCUCAAAGAGAUCUCGUGAUUUCUUCCACAAAGUAUCCGUCUUCAUUUUUUUAGCUACACGAUAAAACACGCUAUCAUCAGUCCAUUGCCAGAUAAACUUAACCAUUUUCUGAUUCAUUCGCUUCCAUUAUUUGUCUUCCUUAUCACCUUUAACCCCAUUACCCUCAUGGGAUCAAACAAAUCUUUACAACAUAACAUGUCUUCCAUUCGAAACUUCCAAAUAGAAUAAUUCAAGGCAUUUAACUUAAGCAUGGUGCCGCUAGUCUCUUCCAUUUUACACUAGAAUUUCAACAUUUAUUCUAAUACCACUUUGUUGGGGAGAACCCAUGCAACAAUUCAACCACGGACUAAAUUCAAUCUAGGAUUAAUUUCUCUCCUGAAACUAAAUUAAUUGAAAUUCUCCUAACCCCAGCACCAACCAACAAUAUAUAACCUCACAAUAUGCAAAUAUAAUGCUAAAAUGAUACGUAGACAAUGCAAAUAAUGGCACCAAAGAUUUAACGUGAAGAACCCAAUGUGAGAAAAACCAUGGACCACCCAAAACAUCCACUAAACAUCAAGAAUAACAGUAUACACAAAAUAUUAUUCUCUAGUCAUAAAUUAAAGGCUCACUAUCAAUAUUACAAUAAUAUUUUCUCAUUACAUAAGUAGAUAAAUAAAUCGGAGCAAGAAAACCCUAACCGUGAUUAGAGAAAAUGAAGGCGGUUCUUGACAAAUGAAAACCAUUAGCUCAUGGCCCUUGGUCUCACGAACAACAUACUCAAAUUUGAGGACCACAAAAAUUCAGUCAUCUCUCUUCUCCUUUGUGUGCUUCCUCUUAGGUAGCUCUCUCUCUCUCUCUCUCUCUCUCUCUCUCUCUCUCUCUCGGUCUUGUACGAAGCAACUAGACUUCCCUUUUCUCUUUCUCUCUCCUCACCUUUUUCACUCUCUCAUGCACAUUCCUGAAGCAACCUCCUCUUUAUUUCUUUUCACUUUUUCACUUUUUCACUUUUUCUUCUUUUUGUUUUGUUUUCUUGUGUUUGUUUUAUUUAACUUAUUAGCCGGGCCACACAAAUGAGGCAAACCCAGCCAACAUUGGGUUCGGCAUCAAGUUCUCUUUGAGAGCAAAUCUCUAUCCAGUUAAAGUUACCACGACUACAAAUGGCUCCCCUACGUAGAUUAUGGUAGGGAUCAUCUCUAUCGAAAAGAAUUAGUUUUCCCAUUAGUCCUGACUUGUCGAGGAGUUGGAUGGGGUCACCCGGCUAAUCAGGUGGCACGCCGCUUGGCCAAAUGGGCACUCUAGAUAGCUAUAGACUCUCCACGCUUUCUGCUUUCGUCUCCAACUUAUGUGAGAAAGGAUCAACGCAUGCCCUACCCUGUGAGAUGCACGAGAUUCCUUUUACUUUAUCUAUUGUUGCAACAUUUCUGGUAUCCUUGGUAAAACAAUGUAAAAUUUAAAAAAAAAAAAUAGAUGCUUUCUCAAUUUCCUUUUCUUUUUUUCUUUUUCUUUUGUAAUGUUAGAGGUGGGGAAAUUUGUUUAUGUGAUUGCUAACAAUUUUUUUUGGUGUUAAAUAUAACCAAAUGGAUCAUACAUAAUUGGUUACCCUUUUAUUGUCAAAUAAUGGAACAAGUAUCUUCCUUUGGAAAGAACCUAAUCUAAAAUGACCCAGUCCUACUCAUCGUGUCAUAAAUCUUUAAUGAACAACUAGCUUAUGAACAUUUAACUUUCACAAAUUCCUUCGUAUUUCUAAUUAAUUCAACGGUCCUCUAUUCAGCAAUGAGUUCUUGACGAUAACUUCUUUAAAUCAUUUGGCAACAUGAGAUUUUAUGCAAACAGACAAAACAUGUUUGGCAUCAGUCAAAUCAUAAUAAGAAUAUUUAAUUUUCCUUUUAUGCACAGAUACUUCAUCAUCAUUAAGCUCAUUCUCAAAACUACCACUCUCAUCACCGCCACUUUCUUCAAAUUCAUUUUGAUUACCUCUAGUUGGACCUCCUUCAUCACUAUUUAUUAGCUCGGAUUCAUGUCUUUUUCCAAAUGCUGCAAAUUUAUUUCUCACAAAUCCCCUCUGCUUUUGUCUUAACUAUGCAAGUUCAUCAUCAUUUUCGUCACUUGGGAAAUUUACAUUUUCCAAGGUUUCAUUAUCUAAUUUACACAAUAGAGCUACUUCACAUCCUAAUUCAAUCAAUUCUUGAUCAACUAAGUCUUCACCAAAGAUUUUGGACGUCUCCCUAUUUGCUGACCUAUUUCUAUAAUACUUGCUUCCUUCUCCUCCCUCACUUGCCUCUCAUGUUGCCCUUUGUCUAAUGUAAACUCAUUGCCAACUUGAUUACUUGGUUGAAUACGAUCUCCUACUCCUAUUUCAGUGCUCUCAUCAACCUCAUCAUCUCCAUCAUCCUCAUAAUCAUUAUAAUACUCAAUAUAUAACUUAACUUUAUUGUCAUGAAAAUAAUGGUAAAUGAUAUCCCUAAUAGCAUUAUCAUCACUAAAGUAUCUCAAACCCUCCUUCAACUUUUUCCUAGGAAUACAAUAAUGCAAUUUUUGCACUUUGCAUCGUAAGUAAUACACUAAAUCCCUCAUGAAAUCAAUACAUGAUGACCUCCUAACAUCGAUAUAGAUAGUACCUUCAUUUACACUUAUUUUGGUGCCAAUAACAAAUUCUCUAUCAUAACAAACAAUGACGGCUACAAGAUUCUCCCCCAUGCCAACGGUGCACCCAAGGUUAAAAAAAAAAUCCAUUAGCUUUCAAGACCACAAUGUAGAAAUGACAACAACUUCACAUAAGGGUCCCCACAAUCGCAAGUAACUAAUUAAAGAAUUCAUUCCAUGGUUGUCGUUUGGUGGAAAGAAACCAACGAAACUAAUUUGAUCAAUUCGGUCCCCAUUUGGUCCCACAAUAGCACCCAAAUUGAUUAAUUAAAGUGAGGUCCCCACCAUUAUUUUGCGAUCCCUACUCUAGUACCAAAAACUCUUUUUGCCUCUAAGCUGAGCCCUAAUUUUGCCCUCGACACCCUAAUUUUGCUAUCAAUGCCUAAAAUUUUCCACCUAAUUGAGCAAGGGAGAGAAGAGGACAAACUUGAGUGAGUAAGAGUUAUGGAGAUAGCUAGCAAACGACAGUAAAACGGCAACAAUGAGCAAGCGAGCGAGCAAGCAACAGUCAACAAGGAGUGUAGCUUGUAUGCAAUAACAGGAGAUCAAUGGGCCCCAAUUUUCAUCCACCUUAUGCAACAUCGUUUUGACCAAAGGAGGCUUGUGACAUGCUUUCUUUUGUUCAAGCCACAUAGGAUAAAAAAAACGACGUUCUUUAUGAUGUCCUCAUGGAUUGCAUAAAAAAAAAAUAUGCCACAUUAAUUUUUUUUUAAUUAUGAAAGUUAAGUAAUCAAUUUGGUUGAAAUGUCUCGCCGAUGGCACUAGAGUGAUAGUUUUUUUCCCGAUUUAGCACUUAAGUGAAUUGGUAGAAACUUUUGACAACAAAGUGAGUGUUGUUCAUAAUUUUUAGCACUUAUAGUGUACCUAUCCCUGACAAGAGCAAAAUCCUGAGAAUUUCUUCAAUUUUUCCUCAUGGGGGUCCUCAAACCCAAUCUCCCUCGAUCUCAAUUGACAAGUUCAGAUCGAGGACUACCAUUAUGGGUCGAGACUUCUUAGGGACAAGGCUAAUAUUGUACAGAAACAAAUGAAUAUUGUAGCUAUUAUGGUGGGGCAUAACGAAUUUACACCGAAGGAAAUGAAUUGUUUAUCAUUAUACUUCCAAUGCUGGAGAGAAUCGGCUUCCCACCAAAUCAUUGGAUCAAGCUCAAUAUGGAUGCAACCUUUAAGAAUGAUACUGUAGCAGUCAUUGCUCGAGGCUCCAUGGAUAGCUCAUCAGGGACUUAUGGGAGGGUAGCAAGGCAAUCCUUGCAUGGGCAAAAAGCAUUCAGUUUGGUGUCAAGUUAAUCUUUGAGAAAGACUCCAUCGCCACUUAAAGUCACAAAUGCUGCAAAUGGCUCCCCCUUCUUGGACUAUCAUAGGGAUUGCCUCUGUUGAGAAGAAUUCGCUUUAACAUAGUCUUGACUUGUCACGGAGUUGGAUGAGGUUGCUCAGCUGAUCAAGUGACAUGCCACUUAGCCAAAUGGGCACUCCGGUUAGCUACAGACUCUCCAUGCUUUCUACUUUCAUCUCCAACUUAUGUGAGAAGGGAUUGACACAAGCCCACCCUGCGAGACACACAAGAUUUCUUAAUGUUGAGAAAACUCCUACUAGGUUUUGAAGUUAACAAAACUCUCUUGUUAUUAUUUUUAGGCUGAAGAAUAGUAGACUUAUGAAGUUAUAUCGCAAACUCUUGUCAAAGUCUAUUCAUUCCAGAAGUCUUUCCCACUCUGAUGCAAUCCAGACUAAAACUAAGUCCAGAAUGAAGAUAUAAUCAAACUUCAGAUUUGUUGAUAUUGCAACAAGGAUUCAAUAUGAACAUAACAGGGAUUUAUUCUUUAAUAUCUAGCUUUCUAGUGAAGAAUCUCACUUACCUUUUAUAAUUACAUUGAUGAAAUCAAUCACAAAUUGAUGAAAUCAAUCUUGAAGACAAGUUCUUUUUUGGGAAGCAUCUACUUAUGGAAACUUAAAUUUUGAUUGUAUGGGCGACCAAAAUCAACGGAUACUCAUCUCAAUUUUCAAACAAUUACAAGAUUUCCUUAAUCAAUUAUGUCCAACGGAUUGAUUGGAAGAAAUCCUCUAGAAAAUGCCAAUGGCUAGUGAGGUGUUAAGGAGUAUGUAAGGAGGUCGUUCGGUCUAUUUAAGAUAGUACAUGAAAAUUGAAAUUCCAAAGUCUGAAGCCUUUGCAACCACUUGUUCUUCAACGAUAGUUCUUACACAUUGUAUUCAAAAGAGAAAAUUACAAGAAAAGUGACUUAGUGAGGGAAAAGAAAUCUUCCACUAAGUGUUUACACUUGAAAUAUUGUAAUUCUCUAUUGAUACUAUAGUGAAUUCCAGCCAGAAAGCUAUCGGUGUGGGAGAGUAGACGUAAGCUUAAACUAAGUUGAACCACUAUAAAUCUUGUGUGCAAUUUUCUCUUCCCUUAACUCUUUUCAUUUGAAUAUGUUGCAUCAUUUAAGUUUUACAAAAAUUUAUUCCAUUUAUUAUCUAAUUCUGAAUUUUCAUUAGAAGUCUGAUGACUUGCUUAUCAGACUCUAUUUGAUUCUCAAUCCUUGUUCAAAAUUUAUUUACUUCUAAAAAAUUCUUUAAAACACCUAUUCACCCCCCCCCCUCUGUGUUGUUACUAGCUUUAUAAAUUGGUAUCAGAGCCCUGUGCUCAUCUGUUGAAGUGUCUAUACUUCUGAGUUAAAGAUCUUCAAUUGCUAAUUGUUUAGUACCAGGACUUGUGGAGGGGCAGAGAAAUUCUAGUCCACCUUAUUUUGAUGGUAAAGAAUAUAACGUGUGGAAGAAUAAAUUGAAGGCAUUUCUAAGAUCCAUAAAUCUUCUAGAAUAGGAUGUUAUAGAAAGAAGAAUCAACCCAAGGCAGCUUCAACAUCUGACAAGGGAAAAGAAGUCGUAGAUAAGGAUGCUAAGAAACCAACCCAGCAGAAAUUACUAAGAGACAGGCUCUUGAUGCAAAGGUCAUCUAUUCUUUAUACUAUGCCUUGUCUCCUACUGAAUAUAAUAGAAAUUAUUUAUGUGAAACAAUUAAAGAAGUUUGGGAUAGACUUCAUGUCACCUAUGAAGGAACAAAUAGUGUAAAGGAGAUAAAAAUAAAUAUCUUAUUUGACCAAUAUGAAUCUUUCAUAAUGAAGCCUGGAGAAUCUAUAGGAGAUAUGUUUAGUCAAUUUAAAGGGAUUGUUAAUGGAUUGACAUAUCAAGGUCAACCAAUUUCUACUCCAAUGAAGGUCAACAAGCUUCUGCAAGGACUUUCAAAGGAUUAGAAACAUGUGAAAACAUCAAUCCAGGAGACACGAAGUAUCACGCCUCUUUCUGUUGAUGACUGAUAGGCACUCUCCAAUUGUACGAAGUGGAACAGAUCAAUGAUAAAUAGGAUCCAAAAGGUAAGAAGUCAAUUGCGCUUAAAUCUAAUACUGAUUCCGAUGACAUAGACACAAAUGAUGAUAUGGAUGACGAGGAGCCAGCUCUCAUGAUAAAGAAAUUCAGAAAACUCAAUAAGAAAUGGAGAAGAUUGAACUGGAAAAAGCAAAGCAAGCAAAAUUUCCAAAAAAAGAUUAAUGGAAGAUGUUGAAUCUAGCAAGGAUGUAAUAUACUUUGAGUGCAAGAAAAAUGGACACAUCAAGCCUAAUUGUCCCUUGCUAAAAAAAAGAAAGGUAAGUAUGAAAAAUAUAAUAUAAAAAAAAAAUCUACAGCGAAAACCUAGAGUAACAUAGAAUAUAAGAAAAGUGAAGAGAAGUUUGCAAAUAUCUAUCUGAUUGCUCACUCAUAGUCAAACUCUAAAUUGGAGUCAGACUCAGACAUAGACUCGAAGUCUGACAAGGAAUUCAAGGUAAAUAAUUUAGAAAUUCCCGUUAAAGUUUCUAAGUAUAUAGAUAAACUUUACUUAAACCUCAAAUCUUCUAUUAAAAGGAUCUCUGAAUUAAAAAAAGAAAAAUUCAAAACUCAAGCAAUAAGACAAUUCUUUGAGAGAAAAGUUUGAGAACUAAAAAAUAAUUUUGAUAAUUUGAAAGGAAAUAUUGAUUCUCUUUCAAAAGAAAAUGAAUGUUUGAAAAAUGAGAUUUUAGAUAUUUCUACAAAGUUCUCCAAAAGAUCAAAAACUUUAGUGAAAAUUCUUUCAACUCAAAUACCAUAUUAUAACAAAUAUGGUUUGGGUUUGAUUAAAGAAGGUACUCUUUUGAUUGAUUUUAAGUCAAUAAGAGAUUUAGACAAAGACCUCCAAAAUCUGCUUACAAAAAUCAUUUUUAAAAAGUUUUUGUUAAAUAUGUUAGAUGAAAUGAUGUUAAAUGUUCUGAGUGUAAUAGCUCAGAAUAUUUUGAGAAUGAAUGUCCUAAAAUUUAGAGACCUAUUAAGAAAAAUUGGGCAAAUGUUGUUUUUAAAACUAACUCAUUAGGACUCAAGAAAAUUUGGGUAUUAAAGAAAGUUUGAGAUUUCUUUUUUAUUGUAGGUUAUUGUUAAGAAGAAAAGCAAAUGGUACUUGGACAGUGGCUACUCCAAACAUAUGACUAGAGAUUCAAGCAGUUUCGUAAAACUAGAAAAACAAAGAUGAGGAAAUGUUUUGUUUGGAGGAAACAGCAAAGGAAAAAUUAUUGGAUAUAGAAUAGUGAGGACUAGAAGAUUGAUCAUCAACAAUGUUUCCCUAGUGAAAGGCUUGAACUACAACCUCAUGAGCAUAAGCUAGCUAUGUGAUAAGGAUUCAGAAUCAAUUUCCAAAAAGAUGUUUGUUCUAGAGUUAGUCGAGACUUCUCUCAAACCUUCACUGGAUGAAGACAUUGCAAUAUUUAUCUUAUGGACAUAAGUCCAGAGAGCUCUCGCUGUCUUAUCUUAAUUCAAGAUGAAGCAAAUCUUUGGCACCACAAGCUUGGAUAUGUUAGUAUGAAACAUAUUGCUAAACUAUCGUCUAAAAAGUUGGUCCGUGAUCUUCCCAGAAUGAUGUAUUAAAAGUUUGAGUUGUGUAUUUCAUAUAUCUUGGGAAAACAGGUCAGAAGCUCACUUGAGCCUAUAAAUCGAGUCUCUACUAAUCACAUCCUGUAGCUUCUUCACAUGGAUCUCUUCAGACCAACUAGAACUCAAAACAUCGGUGAUAAGAAAUAUUGUUUAGUAGUUGUGGAAGAAUUAUUCAAGAUUUACAUGGGUUUUCUUCUUGGCAAAUAAAACAGAAACCUUCUCAUAUUUUUCAAAGUUUGCUAAGAAGAUUCAAAAUGAAAAAUAUUAUAUCAUUUCAAGUAUUAAGAUUGAUCAUGAGGGAGAAUUUGAAAAUCAAAACUUUGCAAAAUUUUGUGAUGAGAAUGGUCUACACCAUGUUAUCUCCUCUUCUUACACUCUAGAACAAAAUAGAGCUGUAGAAAGGAAAAACUGAUCUUUACAGGAGAUGAUCAGAACUCUACUAAUUGAAAGUAGAGUCUCUUAUCAUUUUUGGGCAGAAGCAAUUUCCACUACUUGUCAUAUAAUUAACAGAGUAUUUCUAAGACUCAUCCUAAAAAAAAAAAAAAACUCCCUAAGAAGUUUACUAAAGGAAAAGGCCAAAUAUUUAUCAUUUUAACGUGUUUGGUUGCAAGUGCUUUAUUUUGAAGUGAAAAUGAUUGGCCCGGUAAAUUUGAAGAAAGAUCAGAUGAAGGAAUAUUUCUUGGUUAUUCUACUUCAAGCAAAGCUUACAAAGUCUUCAACAAAAAUACACAGAUUGUUGACUAAUCAAUGACUAUCAGAUUUUAAGAAAAUGUCCAGAACCAACAAGACCAAACUCCUCGAAAAGUUUGAGCUAGUUUCAAACUUAAUAAAGUCCAAUUCCCCCAAGGAACCUCAACCUUCUAGUGAUCAAAGUCAGGCAGAAGAAGAGAAAAGAAUCAAAGGAAACAGAUACAAAUAAUGACAAAUUCAAUAAUAACUGGAAGCACAAAUCAAACCAUCCUAAAGAGCUUUUUAUUGACAACAUAGAAGAAGGGAUUCCUACCAGAUUCAAUAUAAAAGGAGACUCAGGUGCUCUAACUCUUAUUUCUGAGAUAGAACCAAAAUGAGUAAAAGAAGCCUUAUUUGAUGAAAGCUGGAUGGAAGUAAUGAAGGAAGAACAUAGACAAUUCAAAAUUAAUGAUGUCUGGGAGUUAGUUCCAAAACCAAAAGAAAAAUAUGUGAUGGGAACAAAGUGGAUGUUCAGAAACAAGAUGGAUGAAAAAAGUAAAAUAACCAGAAACAAAGCAAGGCUUGUUGCAAAAGAUUAUACUCAAGAGGAAAGAAUAAAAUAUGAUGAAACAUAUGCACCUGUAGCCAGGUUAGAAGCUAUAAGAUUAUUGCUUGCAUAUGCAUGUUCCCAUAAUUUCAGGUUAUUCUAUAUGGAUGUCAAAAGUGCAUUUUUAAAUGGUUUCAUAUAAGAAGAAGUCUAUGUGGAACAACCACCAAGUUUCGAAGAUUCUAGAAAACCAGAUUUUGUCUAUAGACUGAAGAAGGCUUUGUACGGUCUGAAAUAGGCACCUCAAGCAUGGUAUGAGAGACUAAGUAAGUUUCUGAUAAGCAAUGAUUUUAAGAAAUGAAUGGUUAACACAACUUUGUUUAUCAAAGGGGAGGGAAAAGACGUUUUACUUGUUCAAAUUUAUGUUGAUGAUAUAAUCUUUGGGUCUUCUAAUGAAAGUCUAUGCAAAAAAAUUUCAAAGUCUAUGUAAGAAGAAUUUGAAAUGAGCUGGGUGAGUUAAUUUUCUUUCUGGAUUUACAAGUCUGUCAAUAAAAAAAAAUGUACCUUCAUUUAUAAAGAAAUAUGCUAGAGAUGUUAUUAAGAAUUUGGGAUGGAAAAUUGUAAGAAGACUGAGACUUCAAUGUCAAGUUCUUUCAAACUCGACAAGAAUAAAUAUGGAAAUAAAGUAGACCAAAAGACAUACAGAAGCAUGAUUGGUUCUCUUCUUUACCUUAUUUCUUCUUGACCUAAUAUUUUAUUGGGAUAAGUGUUCCAAAAGUCCCAAAACUUGUCACAAAAAUGCGUUUCAGUCCUAAAACUUGCAAAAAGUGCAUUUAAGUCCUAAAACUUGUCAAAUUAUUUCAAAUGAGUCCUAAAAUCGAAGUCGUUAGCCUUUUUCCAUUAAAAAUGCUGACAUGGCAUUUUAAAUAAUUUUUUAUUUUCCACGUGUAUUUUUUAAUUAUUUUUUAUUCAUUUUUUUAAAAAUAAAUUUUUUAACUUUUUUUUAGUUUUUAGUGAAAAUAAGAUAAAAUGAAUAAAUCUAAUCUUUUAAUUUUUAAAUCUAAUUAUUUUUUAAAAGUAAUUAAAAAAUAAUUAAAAAAUCCACACGGAAAAUAAAAAAAAAUUAUUUAAAAUGCCAUGUCAGCAUUUUUAACGGAAAAGGCUAACAACGUUAAUUUUAGGACUCGUUUGAAACAAUUUGACAAGUUUUAGGACUUAAAUGCACUUUUUGCAAGUUUUAAGACUGAAAUGCAUUUUCGUGACAAGUUUUAGGACUUCUGUAACACUUAUCCCUAUUUUAUUCAAGGUGUGUAUGUGUGCUAGAUUCCAAGCUAAUCAUAAAGAAUCUCAUCUCAAUGCUGUCAAAUGAAUUAUCAAAUAUAUUGCAACGAAUUCAAAGUUAGGUCUGUGGUAUCCAAAAGGAUGAGACUUUACAUUACUUGGAUACUCAUAUGCUGAUUUAGCUAGUUGUAAAGUUGACAGAAAAAAGUACUUCAAGAAUGUGCCAACUCUUGGGAGAAAUGUUAGUGUAUUGGUUCUCAAAGAAACAAAACAUUGUGACACUCUCAACGGCAGAAGCAGAAUAUGUUGCUUUUGAAAGUUGUUCACAUAUUCUUUGGAUCAAGCAACAACUAAAGGACUUUGGAAUAGAAGAACCUUGCACUAAAAUCAAAUAUGACAACACAAGUGCAAUCACCUCACCAAAAAUCCUAUUCUCCAUUUAAGGGCAAUGCACAUUGAAAUCUGCCAUCAUUUCACAAAAGACUAUGUACAAAAUGGUGAAAUUAAUGUUCAAUUCAUUAAAUCGAAAAAUCAAUUGGCAAAUAUUUUCACCAAGCCAUUGGAAAAAGGAUCAUUCGAGUUCAUUCGUGAAAAGCUUACUAUUAUUCUUGCAUCUAGUUAAAAUCUUUGGACAAGCAAACUCAUUAGUUCAAACUAUGGUAGGAACAUCCUUCUGAAAGCUCUUCCAGACUCAGGUAGUUACAUUUCAAAUUUUGGCAUGUAAGUUUCUUUCCUCCUUGAACAGGUAUGAUUAUUUUCGAAUUAUUGCUUGCCUUUUAUAUUUUUUGAAAUUAUUAUAUCUCUACUGAGUUUUCGGAAUUAAUAUUUCAUAAAUUAUUGACAGUUACUUUUUAAUUAUUUAAAAAAAAAACGGUGUGCAUGUUCAGUUGCCCCGGUUCAAAUUUAUUUAAAAUAAGUCUUCAGUCUCUUUUUCCCGAUAUCCAGACUCUUUGCAAACCAUAAUCUCUCUCUCUCUCUCUCUCUCUCUCUCUCUCUCUCUUUCUCUCAAAUAUCUGCUUCUCUUGACCUGCUCUCACAUUUGCUGCAAAAUUUCUCACACGAUCACUUUGAACAUGCUGUAAAAAAUCUUCCAAGUUCAUUUCGAUGUUUUGAUGUCAUAUUAGAGGAAAUCCUCUCGCAUUACUAGUUGCGGGCCUCUGUUUGUGGUCCGACGCAUUUUGAUCUCAUCGGAGAUGAAUCAUCUCGAAGUACAAAUCAACCAUUAGUGGAGGAAGAAGUUACUUAGGAAGCGACUCCUAUUUCAGUAAGAAAGCCUGAGGUACUUCUCAAACAUUAUGAGUUUCUAAAAAAAAUGAGGAAAUCCUAUGGAUUUUAUAAGUUCAUUCUUGAAAGAAAAUGGCCAUGGAAUUGAAACUUUGUUCUUGAGAGCAAUGGAAAACUUAGGGCUAGUAAAAGCUAGUAAAGCAGAAAAUGAAUUUUCAAAUUUUCCUACUGAUCCUUGUUUCAGUACAAAGGGUCAGUCUGAGAGUAAAAAAGAAGAUGAUGAUGAAAGGGUGUUCAAGAAUUUCCAACCAAAAAUGGGUGUGGCUGUAGAAAUUGCCGAAACAAAAGGGAAGUUGUUUCAAACGAAGGAACAUAAGAAAGUCUAUGUGCAGAUGCUGAAUAAAGGGGUCAUCAACCCUCGAACGGUAGAUUUUGAUUUCUUGGAUUCCAUCAAGGUGAAUUUGCGAGAAAAAUUUGCCAAGUUUCAAAUUGAAAGGUUUUGUGUAGAGUCAUUUAAUGCUUAUCCUGAAUUGAUUGCUUAUUUCUAUUUCAACCUGUCAGUUCUGGAUCCCACUCGUAUUCAAUUCACUGUGAGUGAUAAAGUUUUUUAUGUUGAUGUUAACUUGUUGGUUGAUAUUAUGGGCGUAGAAAGAAGUGGAUUUUUGCCCAUAAAUGUGUCCAAUGAAAAGGUUACCAAAUUUCUAAUAAAAGACAGGAUUCCUAGAGGAAGCAUUACUUACUUCAAGAUGUUUGCCUCUAAUAUCUUGCUCCACAAGAUUGUCAUCAAUUGCAUUAAACCCAAGGCUGCUUCCAAAACCGAUAUCUCCAAAUUCAAGGCAAAAAUGAUGUGGGCCAUUUGCAAUGAAGUUGCUCUCUCACUCCCUCACACAAUUCUACUGCAUAUGUACAAAACUGUCAUGAAGGGAAAAAAAAAAAACAACUUUCUUAUACAUCACUAGUGACCAAACUCUUCCAACACUUUCAGAUUCAACUGCCAUUCAAUUUUUGCUCCAAAACAAUUCUUCUCAUGCAAAUUAUGCUCAAAAUGAUCUCAAAAAUGAGAGUAAGGGCUCUCUUUAGAGCCUUGAAACUUUUGAAGAAGGAAUCUGCUAGCAAAGCUAAGGUAGGAUCUGCGGCUAAGAAGAAGCGCAAAGGGAAGAGUGUUGUCUCGUGGACUCCAAAAAGAAAAAGACAUGUUCUUCUUCUUCAAGAUGAAGAAAGGAAGAAGAUGAAGACAAGACCAUCUCUGAUAUUGUGGCAAACAUUGCCAUGCAAGAUCCUGUUGGUGGCAUAGUUGAUUCUAAAGAAGAAGAAGAAGAAGAGGAAACGAGAGUGCAAGAGAGGGAAGAGGAUGACUUAGAUGAAAAAUGGGAGAUGUGAAUCAAAACAAGGAAGAGAAGCAUCCUAACAAGGAAUGAGAAGAUAUAAGGGAAGUUGGAAAAGAAAAUGCUAAAGAAAAAACCAAGGGAACUGGCAAACAAUCCAGUGCUGAAAGAGAAUGAGUGCAGGAAGAAGGAGUUCUCCCUUAGACUGAAGGCACUAUGACAAGGAGACUAGGUGAGAAAACUCUUGACCAGACUAUAGAACCAACUACAAGUGAUGGUAUCAGUCGAUCUCCUCAGGAUGCUGAGCAUAUUUAUGCAUCUCAGUUCCUUGAAGAAUUUCCCGGAGGCUAGGAUAAAGAGGCUAAUGUUCAAGGGGAGCAACAAAUCUCUCAUGUUCAGGUCAAUGUUCCUCACUUCUGGAUACUCCACCGACACAUUUUGCUGAAGCUAAUGCCCAAACUAAACCAAACUCAAACUAUCCUCAAAUAGUGGAACUCCUUUUGGAGAUUAAGGCACAACAAUAUGGGAUGAAUGUUGAAAUCUAGAAAUUGCAUGUUGCUCUAGAUACAACCUCAAAAACUCUCAUUAAUAAGGUACAGUCUCUUGACACCACAGUUCAGAUGAUGAAUCAGUAAGGCACUCAGAUUCUGGCAAAGGUUGAGACUAUCUUCAAUUAGUGCUUGACUAAGCUUGAGGUGACCGUGCAGACUUUGGAGGAUUUCCAACUUGUUUGUGUUCUUAGGCAAUCCUGAUCAUUUUUUAAACCAACUAUUUUUCUUAUUUUCUUUGUGCUUUUUGUUUUUUUUUUCCUUUUUUGCUGUUGACAAAAAAGGGAAGAUUUUUGCAAAUUUAAAGCUUUAACUAGUGCAUGUUUGAGUUUUUCUAUGCUAGUGUGGUUGGUGUUUCUUUUAUGCAGACUAUUGGUUAGUGUGUUUUAUGUGUGAAGACUAUGUGUGUUUUAUGCAGACUUUAUUGUGGUUAUUGUUUAUUAUCUCUAUCCAUUAUCAUGUGCUGCUAAAGUAUUGUUUUGCAUGAUAACUUUUAUAUUAUGCUUAAAUCUACAUGAAAGGUUUGUUAGUUUUGUUACCAUAAAAAAGGGAGAGAUUGUUGAGAAAACUCCCACUAGAUUUUGAAGUUAACAAAACCUUUUUUAUUCUUAUUCUUAUUCUGAAAAAUAGUACACUUCUAAAGUUAUAUCGCAGACUCUUGUUAAAAUCUAUUCAUUAUAGAAGUCUUUCACAAUCUAAUGCAAUCUUGCGACAAGGAUUCAGUAUGAGUCUUUAUUAUCUAGCUUUCUGACAAAUAAUUUCAUUUACAUUUUAUAAAUACAUAGAUGGAAUCAAUCACAAAUUGAUGAAAUCAAUCUUAAAGACAAGUUCCUUUUUGGGAAGCAUCUACUUAUGGAAACCUAGAUUUUGAUUGUAUGGGCGAUUAGAAUCAACGGAUUUUCAUCUCAAUCUUCAAACGGUUACAAGAUUUCUUUAAUCGAUUAUAUCCAAUGGAUUGAUUGGAAUAAAUUCUUCUGGAAAAUGCCAACAACUAGUGAGGUGUGAAUGAAUAUUUAAGGAGGUCAUUCAGUCUAUUUAAGAUAAUACGUGAAAAUUGAAAUUCCAAAAUCUGGAGCCUUUCUAACCACUUGUUCUUCGACAAUAGUUCUUAGAAAUUAUAUUCAAUAGAGAAAAUCACAAGAAGAGUGAUUUAGUGAGGGAAAAAAAAUCUUCCACUGAGUGUUUGCACUCGAAAUACUGUAAUUCUCUGUUGAUACUAUAGUGAAUUACAGCCAGAAGGCUGUCAGCAUGGGAGAGUGGACUUAGGCUUAAACUAAGUCGAAUCACUACAAAUCUUGUGUGCAAUUUUCCCUUCCCUUAAUUCUUUUCAUUCGAAUAUGUUGCAUCAUUUAAGUUUUUCUCUAUUCUAUUUCUUAUCUAAUUCUGAAUUUUCAUCAAAAGUAUGGUAACUUACUUAUCAGACUCUAUUUGAUUCUCAAACCUUGUUCAAAAUUUAUUUUUAUUUUUUUUGGUAAAAGUAAGAAAAUGUUCAAAAUUUAUUUACUUCUUAAAAAUUCUUUGAAACACCUAUUCACCCCUUUUAGGUGUUUUUACUAGCUUUAUCACUUAAUUGUCUACAUUGUUGCAGAAUUUCUGGUAUUUUUGGUAGGAACAGUGUAAAGUUUCGAAAUUUUUUAGAUGUGUUUCCCAAUUUUUUUUUUUUUUUUGUUCGGUAUAAUGUCAGAGGUGGCCUAAUUUGUUUACGUGGUUGCUGACCAUUUAUUCGGUAAUUGGUUAAAUAUGACCAAAAGGAUCGUACUCGAGCAUAUUCGCCAAGUCAAUCUAUAAAGCUUUCUUUCUGUUCAAAAAAAAAAAUCUAUAAAGCUUUCUUUAUUCCUCUCUGUUUUCAUGUCCAUUCGUCCACCCAGUCCGAAAUCUCUCUCUCUCUCUCUCUCUCUCUCUCUCGUUUAGAAGGUCAACGGACGGACACAAGUGACUCCCCCCAUAAUCAAUCCUUCUCGGAGGGGAGACUCCAUCUCGGCGUUCGCCGGUAAGGCCCAAUUCCGACGCCUUCGCUUUCCACGCAUGCUUAGUUAGGCUCGUCACUCCGCCCUGAAUGCUGGGUAGUCCUCUGUUUCAUGCCAUCUCGCACCAAAUUCAGGCGUACCUGCAUUGAGAAAGUGUAUUGCGCCAUCAAAAGCGCAUGUUUUCUUGGUGACGAUGCUUAUCCAUUUGCAGUGAUCGCUUCCCGCUUUCGUUCCCGCCUUGUUCCAAACAUUGUCGAUUACCCACUUGAUCUCUCUCCGUAGAUGCUUAGGGCAGUUCCCCUUGUUAUUCAACUCAAAUGCCUCCAACCCUCUUUGCGGAAUGAACACCAGUAAAUGAUUUUUUUUGCACCCUUUGUCCUUCCCCUUUUUUUACUUGAACAGUGAUGAUGGUUCCCUUUUUGUGAGUUGAUCCUGGGGUUUUACGGUAGGUGAGUUUCAUUGAAUUAUAAUUACUUAAGAACAACAUACAAGUUCUGUAAAAGGAAAUACAUAAUGGAGUCCAGUUAAGGUCUUCAGAGCAAUAUGAUUUUUAAAGACUGCCCUGAAUUUUUGUUUUGCUUUUUUUGUGCCGAUUCCCUUAGAGCAUACCACUGGGUCGGGUUUCAGUAGUUCCCGUCCCAACUGCAAGUAGGUAACUACUGGGGCGUAGUCUGGUGUUGAGCGUUAACUAACAUGGCUAACCCUCUGAGGCCUAACGGAGUGUUAUGACUGAUCAGUGGAUGCAGUGUGUCUAAACGAAAAUGAUUUGGGGUGAUUGCUGAAUUAGUCAUAUGAUAAAUGGAAUCAGUGAGGCAAAGAAGAAGGAGAAGAUGAACUCGAUGAGUGAUGGUGGUCAAUUCCAGAUUCAACCUUAAAAGAUGUAAAUUUUUUUAGCCCUGUUAAGUAGCCAGAAACUCUCUGUUAGCGUUACGUAUUACAGUAGAACAGUUGGCAUGACUGCUGAUGGAAUUUUGUGCCAAAUUUGAUAAAUUUUGAUGACCUUGGUUAACUUAAGCAGAUUAUUGUUCUUCUCAAUCAGUUUUGAUUUUCAAAAAAGUUCUUGAAAAAGGAUGAUACAGAACCAUGUUUAUAUGGUUUGGUAAAUUUCUCGUAGCAGGUGAGAGAUGACCGUUUCCUUUGUAAAUGCCACACUGUUUUUUCAUAUUGUCCCUUCCCAUUUAGGAAUUUCAUAUGUCAAAGUUGUGGAUUGCUGGAUAAAGAUUCAUCACUAUGCUAUUUCAUGCUAUUUUAUAGGGGGAAGAGAGAGUAAUGCUGGGAACCUUCGUCAAGACAUCGGAUUGGUUCAAUGGCCGCAGAAUGUGCCAAGUUGAAGAGGUAACUUGUCUUGCCAAGUUAAAUAUACUAGAUCUUGUCAAGCUUGAUCCACCCAAUGUAGCCGCUGCUAUAAUUUUGAGCUUAAAGCAUUUUCUUUUCGUUUUUCUUGAUAGACAAGUAGAGAGAGGGGGGGUAGGAAUUGAAAACUAGACCAGUUUAUUUCUAAACCGUUAUCUGUUGUUUCUCAGGGUCUCUUUCUGGGUUCUUACGGAGAUGCAUGUUAUAAGGACAGGCUUAAGAGCUCAAAUGUCACCCACAUCUUGACAGUGGCUAACUUAGCCCCGGCAUUUCCCAGUGAUUUUGUCUAUAAAGUUGUUGAUGGUACCUCUCUAUCUCAAUGCCAAAAUAGCAUCUUCCUUUCCUGAACCAGGUCCUUAAGUCCUUUCAUAUUGGUGAAAACGCAAUAGUUGUGUGGAUCUUGUAUUCUUUUCCUUUAUAUAUGCCAUCUCAGUGAUUCUUAUCCUCUUUACAAUAAUUUUGUGCUUCAAACAUACUGUUAAUAAAUUUCAAUCUAUCUCCCCAUGUUAUUGUUCUACAUGCUUCCGGUUUGUCAUCUUUGUUUUCUUUCAUGACAGUUCAAUAUUUUACUCCUCAGUGUCACAUUAUUAAGCUCUGCUGCCUGUCUAAAUCAAAGUGUCACUACUCCUUGUAAACUUGUUAAACCAUAUUGAUCCCUGAGACUGGAUGCUAUUGUGUGUUUUUCUUUCAAGUCACGGACACUGAGGAAACGCACAUUGGACAGCACUUUGAGGAGUGUAUCAAUUUCAUCGAUGAAGCUAGAAGACAGGGAGGCAGCAUACUGGUCCACUGUUUAUGGGGAGUUUCCAGAAGGUCGUUUCCUUGCUCUAUAGUGCAUCUGCAUGAACAAUUUGAUUACUAAGUUAUAAGUUAUCUCACUGAUACUUGGUUUUAGACUGAUCUUGUUUUGGUACUUCAAUCUCACUGGAGUUCUAGGUUUUUAUACCUUUUUUAUUUUGGCCAAAUUAUGUAUUAACCCUACUGAGUUUGCACAACUCUAGGUUGGGAAGUGGUUUGGGACAGUAGAUUAUGCUUCAAAGGGGUUUUAGGAACAAGGCCCUGUUCUUAGAGAGGUUGGAGAGGUAAUCUUUUUAUGCAUUAGGACUAGUCUCUUUCAAAUUGAUCUUUAACCGUUUGACUGCUGAAGUCCAUGUCUAGUAACCAUUAGAGCUCGUUCAGCAUUCCUUGAUAAAACGUUUGUAUGUUCCUGCUGGCUCUAAGUGGGGAAGAUAGUUUAGUUACUUAAAAAACUAAAAUGAGAGAAGAAGAAGAAGAAGAAACUCGGCAGGUAAACACAUAAAUUUUUAGCUGAAAUUUUUUUAGCUGAAACCUUUUUCAUAUAGCUAGAAGUUUUUCUGCAAUGCUUAAAAAUAUACAGAUGCAAUAUCAUUAUUCCCCCUGUUGCGUCAAACUAUUUCUUUUUGGAUUGGCUGUGUCGACAUUUAAACUGCAGGGAGGGGGGAAGACGGAAAUUUGAAGUGAUAAAUGCCAUGGCAUUUUAGCCUAGUGGUUUUAACCUUUGUCGAGAGCAAGUGCGAAAUGAUUAGUGACAACUUUCUUUUUACUUUGCUUUUUUCGCAUGAUUGUUGGUCAUACACAAUUUAUUUUUCCUUAUUGAGCAGUGUGACAGUGGUCACAGCUUAUCUCAUGAAGCAGCGCGCAAUGCGCUUGUCUCAAGCUCUGGAACACAUAAAGACCAGGAGGCAUCCGGCAGCUCCUAACAGGGGAUUCAUUGUACAACUUCAAGAUUUCGAAAGUUCUGUACACAGCGCCACAACCAUUUGAGCCUGAAUUCAUCUUAGCCCUUCACAUGGUUACUUGGAAAAUGUUCAAAAUUCAUUUCUAGUGGAUAUGCCUUAACUUCACGAAACUGUCUUUUUCAGAUUGAACAAUGACCCUUUUUAGACUUAGCAGAUACUUGUCAAGUGUCCUCUAUUUGGGCCGUGUAAAUUUUGUAGUUCUAACCUAUAAAUCUACUGCACCUGCCUGAAGCAAGUGAUCCCUGGAAGAUGAUCUGUGUAUGAACAACAAUCAUGUGAAACUACUUAAUCUUAAGGAGAAUACAUGUACUAGAAUUGCAUGAAUACUAAGUUAUUUCAAAAAAAAAAAAAAAAAACGAAUCGUUUAUUGCUAACAGGCCCAGCCUGACAUGACCCCUCACUGAGAGAGGCCGUACCUGGCUCUGCGCCGUGUCCGCAGUGGGACGGCCUGGUUGCCAUUCCUAGGGUAGUAUCAUGUUAAUAUGCUAGGACGAGCAAAAUGCUGAAGUCUUUUGCAAACUUUGGCUAGCCAAAGGCCUUUGAAGGUAAUUCAUGAAUAUAAUGAGUCAAAUUCAAAUUUUGAGGGAGAAAGAGAAUUUCAAUGGUCAAUCGCCAGUGUAGUAUAAAAACUGAUAAGUUAUGAUCUUGGUGAUGAACAAGGAAUAUGUGAUGGGGAGUACCAUGGUAAAAAAUAAAUGGAGAAAAGGAAAAGACGUUCUAAUUUGGAAUAAAUUAAGAAUGUUAGUUUCAUUUUGGAAAGUGGAUAAUUACCUUCUUUCUUUUAAGUACUCUUUCCUUUUCUCUUUGGCCGACUCUCCCUCAAAGCUAAACUCCAUUACCCUAUCAGUGUGAGGGUAAGAUAAAAAUUUUAAAGUGAGACGAGUCAGAAUUUUAACUUUGAAUGUGUUUGUUUUAUGAAAAAGAUUGACAUGAAAUAAAUAAUUUUUUACACUUUCACAUAGUUGGCUCACUAAAAGCAAAUAUGGAAACGACUUUAUAGUUAAGGAAAAUAACUAUACUGAAAAUUGAGAAAAAAAAUUUCUCCAUCUUGACAAGAAGUUAUUUUCCCUAACUUCUUUUUCACUUGCACACAUACAUAGAGUUUUAUUUUGAUAAUUAAAAAAAUAAAUUUUGCACUUCAUAUAUUAAUAAUAUUUUAGACAAGCAUUAUUGAUAUCAUCUUAGUCUACUGUACUUAUGAAUAAAAUGUAAUUACAAUCGAACUGAAUAAUUCAUGAAAGUUAGAUCCGAACAUCAAAAAAAAAAAAAAAAAAUUGACAUCUUACCUUCGAGUACACUAUCAAACAAUUGGAAACCAAUCAUUUUCCUUAAAAAUCAUUUUCGAAUAACAUUUUUCUCGGGAGGUGAACCGCAAAACACGACAAACUCUCGUUCUACCACCCAAUCUCUCUCUCUCUCUCUCUCUCUCUCUUAAGGGUAGAAGGUCAACGGGAGACUGGUGCCGCGCCACAAUCAUCAUCACUCGGGGAGACUCCAUCUCGGCGGCCGCCGGUAAGACCCAAAUCCGACGCCUCUUGCUUUCCACGCAUGCUUAAUCAGGCUCAUCAGUUCUGCGUGAAUACUGGGUAGUCCUCUGUUUCAUGACAUCUCGCAUCGGAUUCAUGGCUUGUCUGACACCGAGAAAGUGAACGUGCCAUCAAAUGUGUCCGUAUGUAUGUCGUCGAUGAUGCUUAUGUAUUUGCAGCGGUCGCUUCCCGCCUUUGUUCCGCACUCUUAUUCAACUUUAAAUGCCGCUGACCAUCUUUCUGGAAUGAACAACCAUGAGUUCUUUCUUUUUCUUUUCACCCCUUUAUCCUUGCUUUUUUGCUUGAACAGUGAAGAUGGCUCUUCUUCGUGAGCUGAUCAUUGGGUUUUAUGGUAGUUCAAAUUCGAUUGAUUCAUGAUUACUUCGGUACUACUUGUCAAUUACUGUCGAAGGAAAUAUUUUGAGGGAGUCUAGGUAAGGUCCUCAGUGGAUAGGGUAGGAUCUAAAAGAAAAGGUUUUUUUGGAGGUUGGUUGCUGAAUUAGUCGUGUGAUAAAAAGAACCAGCGAGAAUGCUAUUAGUGAAGAAGAAGGAGAAAGAUGAAUUUGAUGAGUCAUGGCGUCCGCCUCCAGAUUCAGCCUCAACAGAUGUCAUUUUUUGAGCUCUGUAGAGCAUCUGUUGGUGUUGCACAAUACAGCAGAACGGUUGGCAUGAGCUCAGAUGAAAUUUUGUGGCAAAUUUGCAUUAGUCAAGGAGUUUUUUCUGCAUCUCAAUCACUAUUUAUUUUCGAAAAAGUUCUUGAAGAAGUGACAGAGAAACGGGUUUAAAUGGUUUGGUGAAUUUCUUGUUGCAAGUUAGAGAUGGCCGAUUGCUUUAUGAUAACCAAAUGUUUAUUCACAUUGUCUCUUUUCAUCAUGGAAUUUUAUUCGUGAAAGUUGUGGGUUGUUGAAUAAACAUUCAUCGCCAAGCCAUUUUGUGCUAUUUUGAAGGGUGAAGAGAGAGUAGGCCAGACAAUUAUCCUAAAUGACAAUGAAUCUGUUUGAUGGCUUCAGAAUGUGCCAAAUCGAAGAGGUAACUUAUCUUACCGAGUUAAACAAACUAGGAAGACUAAUCUUGUCAUGCUUAAUCCACACAACGUUGCAAGUGCUAUAAUUGCGGGCUUCUAGUAUCUUCUUUUCAUUUGUCUAGAUAGGAAUUGAAAUGCAGGACCUGUUGAUUUCUGAACCGUUCUCUGUCAUUUAUCAGGGUCUCUUUUUGGGUUCUUACGGAGAUGCUCGCAAUAGGGACAGGCUGAAGAGCUUGAAUGUCACCCACAUCUUGACGGUGGCUAACUUAGUUCCGGAAUUUCCCAAUGAUUUUGUCUAUAAAGUAGUUGAUGGUACCUCUCUAUCUUGAUUCGAAUAUAGCAUCUUCCUUUUCCUGAACCAAGUCCUCAAGUCCUUUCAUAUUGGUGAGAAUGUGCUCGUCAUGUGGAUCCCAUACUCUUUUCCUCUAUCUAUGACAUUUCAGUGAUUCUUAUCCUUUUUCAAAUAAUUUUUGCUCCAAAUAUACUGUCAAUAAAUUUUAAUCUAUGUAAGCUCUAUAUGUGCAACCUGUUCUUGGUAUUGCUCUAGUAUGCUUCCAGUUUGUCAUCUUCAUAUUCUUUCAUGACAGUUCAGUAUUUUAGUCCCCAGUGUCACAUUGUUAGCCUCUGCUGCCUGUCUAAAUCAAAGAGUCACUAGUCCUUGUAACUGUCUUAAGCCAUAUUGAGCCUUGAGAUUGGAUACUAUCAUGUGUUUUUCUCUGAAGUCAUGGACUCCGAGGACACGGACAUCCGACAGCACUUCGAGGAGUGUAUCAGUUUCAUUGAUGAAGCUAGAAGACAGGGAGGCAGCGUACUGGUCCACUGUUUUAUGGGAAUUUCCAGAAGGUCGUUUUCUCGCUUCCUGCAUUUGCACAAAUAAUUUGAUUUACUAAGUUAUCUCAAUAAUACUUGGUCUAGACUGUUCUCGUCGGGUACUUCAACGUCACUCUGUUCUAGGUACUCAUACCGUUUUUAUUUUGGCUAACUCGGCAUGAACUCUACUGAGUUUGCACAACUCUAGGUUGAAGUGAUUUCGGAGAGUAGAUUAUGCUUCAAAUGGGUUUUAGGAACAAGGCCCGGUUCUUCGAGGGAUUGGAAUAGUAAUUUCUUUAAUGCACCAAACCAGUCUCCUUCAAAUUGAUCUAUGUAUUUGACUGCUGAAUUUCAUGUCUAGCAUUCAUAACAGCUCGUUCCAUUUUGUUAGGUAAAACAUAUCUAUGUUCCUGCUGGCUCUAUGUAAGGAAGAUAUGUUAGGUUAAUGCAACUUGGGAGUUCAAUUACUUAUCAAAAAAAAAAAAAUCAAAUGAAAGAAGAAGACACUGGGUGGUAGAGGUAUUAGUUCUUGGCUGAAACUUUUUUCGAAUAACUUGAAAUUUUUCUGCGUUGUAAAAAUUUACAGAUGCAAAUUCAUUAGUCCCCCAGUCACGUCAAACUAUAUUUGUUUUGGAUUGGCCGUGUAGCCAUUUAAACUGCAGUAGAGAAGGGGAAAGAUGGAAUCUGAAGUGACAAAUGCCAUAGCAUUUCAGCCUCGUGGUUUAAGUACUGUCGAGAGGAAGUUUUCAAUGACUUGUGACAAUUUUCUUUUUCUACAAACUUUUUUUCUUUUCUUUUUUUUUGCAUAGUUGUUCUUCAUAAACAGUUUUUUUUCCUUUGGCAGUGUGACUGUGGUUGCAGCUUAUCUCAUGAAGCGGCGCGGAAUGCGCUUGUCUCAAGCUCUGGAACAUGUAAAGACCAGAAGGCCUCAGGCAGCUCCUAAUAGUGGCUUCAUGGUUCAACUUCGAGAAUUUGAAAAUUCUCUAAACAGUGCCACGACCAUUUGAGCCUGAUAUCAAAUUAGCCCUUUACUCGGUUAAAACUCGAGCAAUGUUCAAAAUCCAUUCAUAAUGGAUGUCCCUUAUCUUCAUGAAUUAUUUUUAGCUAUUUUAAAUUGAAAGGAAACCCUAUUUGGACUUUAGCAGACACUUGUCAAGUGUCCUCUUUUUCGGAUGGUAAUUUCUUUAGUUCUAAUUUGUAACUUGACUGCACCUAUUUGAAGCAAGCCAUUGCCGGAAGAUGAACUCUUUAUGAAGAAAAAUUAUGCGAAAAUACUGAAUCGUAAGGAGAAUAGACGUGGUAGAAUUGCAUCAAGACUACAAAGAAAAUACAGAGUGCUUAAUCUUAAUCCUAUAGAGAAUCAAUUUAGAUUUGAGAAGAAUAGGGAAAAUUACUAAAAAAAAGUCUUAAAUCUAUUGCAGUUAUGUCAAUUUAGUCUUAAACAUUUUGCAUUUAUGUCAAUUGAGUUCAUUUGACCAAUUUUGGCUGCUGGCACUAACGUGGCAUUACCAGUGUUAACAUGACAUUUUUAAAAUAAUUUUUUAAUAAUUUUUUAUAAUUUUAUCCUCUUUUCUUUUCUUUUCUUUUCUUUAAUUUUUCCCCUUCCCCUUCCCCUUUCCUUAGAGCACGAGGGCUAGGACGCCUUCAUCAGCACUGGGCAACCCACGCUGGCCACGCGCGAGGGCUGGGAUGCCUUCAUCAACACUGGGCAAGCAGGGUGUUCAUAAAAUUAUAAAUGCAAGUAAAUGUGUCGAACAAGUAAUAUAAUGAUAAGAAAGUGUAUCAUCCCAUGGAGAUCGAUGAUUAAUAAAUUAAUUAAAUACUAAAAUAGGUUAACUCUAAAAUUUAUCUAACAUAUCAAAAUAUAAUUGAGAAUAAAUUAAAAACAAAAUUUGGAGACUAAAUGCAGUAAAUCAAUCAAAUAAAUAUGUUAGAACAUCCGAUUUUACCAUAACCACUAGAUAUGAAUUUCAGAUUAUUGUGAGUACAAGAAUGAUAUCAAACAUGUGAUAGUAGAAUUUCCUAAUCUCUUUACUAUCAUAUCUCUAGGUAUAGCAAACCUACUCAGUUUAUUAAUGCACUAAAUCUCUAUGUGAAUUAAAAUAAACAUGUGUAUUAAAAAUUAUGAAUAUUCCCGACUUACAAUGAAUCUUUUGGAUCACCUUAUCACCAAAAGCUACACAAAUAACACGGUAUAUUUCUAUCCACGUUUAAUUCAUGGUUAUAUAUUAUAAUGAACAAUUGUAUAUUAUUACUUCUCAAUCUCAAACAUGAACAUCAAAUCAUUUAAGUGGUGGUCAGUCACUCAAAAGUAUUAUACACCAUAAUAUAAAACUCACAUGAAUGAAAUCAAUUGCAAAACAUAAAAACCAUGAAAUUCACAUCAUCAUAGUUAGGCUACAUUGUAACCCUAACAAAAGAAAAUUAGAAUAUAGUAAAAAAGGAAAUAAAAAUAUGAAUCAAACCCAACAUGAACAAGAAUUUUGUCACCAUUUUUAUUGUCUCUUCAAAAUACUUGAAAAACUCUUAGAAUAAUGAAAAACGAUCUAACAAAAACUUAGUUGUUUCCUAAGGCUCUCAAUGUUCUCUUAUUUAUAGGAUAUAUCCAAAAUCCUUAUCUUCAAACAAUUGUGCAUAAAAUUAGGGAGUAAACAGAGGAUCUUUGAUUUGAUAUCUAUUUUCCAAUGCUUGUAGAUAAUAUUAGGGAACAAAAUCAAGGAUUCCCUAUAUCCAUCUUCCAUUGCUUUUUUAUUUGAAUUCCUUAGUUUUUCCAUUCUUUUUCUUAUCUUCUCCAUAUCUCAUUAUUCUGCAUAAACAAGAAAAAUUCGAAUAAUCAAAACGAAAUCCAAAUAUUUUCUCAUAGAUAUUACAUUAAUUGUUGCUUAAAAUAUGUAAAAUAACUAUAUUUUUAUAAACUUAUCAAGGGCGUAUUGGCCCUCGCCUAGUGCUAGCGAGGGCGACCCUCACCGGCUCUAAGGGAAGGGGAAGCAAAAAUGGGAAAAAAUAACGAAAAAAGGAAAAAAGAAAAAUCAUAAAAAAAUUCAAAAUAUUAUUAAGAUAUUUUUUUUAAAAUGUCACAUCAACACAAUAGUGUCACAUUAGUGCUGGCUGGCUAAAAUAUGCAAGAUGGACUCAACUAGCAUAAAUACAAAAGAUUUAAAACUGAAUUGGUUUAAAAAAAAAAAAGUUUAUGAUUGAAUUAGCACGAUUGCAAUAAUUUUAGGACUUUUUUGUAAUUCUCUCCGGAAGAAUAAAUCAUAAAUAUGGUUCGAUACUCUCAAACAUGAUCCUGUCACAAAAUCUGACAUCAUGCAUAUUUUGCCGAAUGUUUACGGAAUCAACGAGACUUCCAUGUUCGUUAAUUUGCUAGACGACGACAAUAGUACCGGAGAUAAAAGUCCUAUUUGGUAUCUUCAUUUGGUCCAAGGACGGCAACUUGCACAGGCUGGACAUGAUCACGUUUCAUGAUGUUACAUUGUUUUAAUCAGUUGGGACAAUAAUGACACUUCUUAUUAUAUCUUUGACUGAAUCUUCCUUUUUAACUUCAUAAUGCGAAUCCAGGUGGAAUCAUUCUUGCAAGAGUAAGGAGACUCCUGUGUUUAUUCAAAAAAAGAAGAGAUCUGUGAAGUCCUGUUGAAGAGGAACCUCCGACUGAUUCGAUGGUACCUCGACCUGCCAUCGUUAUCGUUAUAUAGUACCAAAAAUAUCCUAAAACCAAGGGUCUCAUCUCGACAAACAUUGUCUGGCGACUUGUCUCAUAAAUAUCAAAGCGAGCUGUAUGCUGUGCUAUGAAGAUAGAGAUCGAGAACUAUGAAGGGCUAAGCGGGAGAGGCAUGAGCGAAGGCAAUGUGUUUGCGCGCGCACGCGCGUGCGCGUGUGUGAGAGAGAGAAAGAGAGAGAGAGAGAGAGAGAGAGAGAGAGAGAGAGAGAGAGGCAGUGUAAAUAUAAUGCAUGUGCAUGGAAAAGAUGAAACAACCAGCGAACCAUCAGUGUUGUGCUCCUUUUAAUCAUCACGCGUGUAACGUAAUUGACCCCAAGAUAUUCAACGUGAGAGGCGUAAUAUUGCAUACCACUACCUACACGGAGAUAGGGAGGAAGAGAGAGAGAGAGAGUAAAAGUAACUUCACGGGAGUGCAGCAUAUGGCAUUUAAUGAGAGCACAAGUAGGAGUAAUAGUAGUAAUUACAGUGUACCGAGUUAGCUCCUUCUCGUCCUCAAAGUUUUCGGCUUAUAAAUAGUUGAGAGCUUCUCUUUCUGAGUCGGCGCGUUGAUAGAACUGCCAUUGAAGACCAUCAAGAAGGAACAAACAAAGCAUGUCUCACAUAGCUGUGGAGAGAAACAGGAGGAGGCAGAUGAAUGAACAUCUCAAGGUCCUGCGCUCCUUAACCCCAUGCUUCUACAUCAAACGGGUAAACCACCCCCCCCCCCCCCCCUCCUUCUCUCUCCCCCUCUCCCUCUCUCUCCCCCCGUCCCAAGCGUGUGGACUGUAAAUGAGAUCAUAUUACGUUGUCGAUGUUGCUGUACAUGUUGCUCAAACUUGACUCUAGGCUUGAUACCAAUUUGCUUGAUCUUAAUCAAGCUUUUCUGAGUUGACAGGUCGAUAUCUAAUGAAGUCUCAAUCUUAAGUCAUGCAUAAGUUAUAUCAAAAUUUCAAGUUGAGCUCACCAAGAACCCUCGAGCCGCAAUAAAAAGAUGUUUAGAUGAGCGUUAGUACUUGAGAUAUAGGUACGGGAUCAUCUUUCUAAUUUAAACUCCAUCAGUCAAUUACCAUUGCAACUUUCUUAAUUAAUUGAUUGAAAGUAUUAGCAAGUCAAAUCUUGAUUAUUUUCAUUUAUUCAUAUCUACCUCACAUAAGAAAACUGUCGAAUCAAGUUGGUGUAAAGUAAUUGAGCUUGAAUAGAUCAUAUGAUUAAGCAUCUCAAUUACAAUAUUUAAAAUUCAUAGACAUGAUGAUUCAAAUCAAAUGGGAUUAAUCUUUAUAGGGAGAUCAAGCAUCCAUCAUAGGUGGUGUAAUAGAAUUCAUCAAGGAACUGCAACAAGUCCUACAAUCCUUGGAGGCGAACAAGAGGAGAAAGAGUCUAAGCCCUAGCCCCAGCCCAAGACCGCUCCAACUGAUCAACACGCCGCCGCCGCCGCCGCCCCCUGAUAGUCCCUUCAGUUUCGAGAGCAUCACUGCUAAUAAGGAAUUAGGUGUGUGCUGCAACUCCUCGGCAGCCGAUGUCGAGGCGAAGAUCUCAGGAUCAAACGUGCUGUUGAAGGUAAUUGCUCGGAAGAUACCAGGUCAAAUCUUGAAGAUAAUAAGCGUCCUUGAGAAACUCUCGUUUCAGAUUAUUCACCUCAACAUCAGCAGCAUGGAAGACAUGGUUUUGUACUCCUUCAUCGUAAAGGUACUAAAAGUUGAGGUUUCUCAAUUGUCAUCUCAAUUCUAUAUGUUGAAAGAGAUUCAGUUAUAUCACUGAAGUUUCAAGGUUCUUGGUUCACAACGGGUAUUAUCAUUCUUGUUUUAGAAGCAUUAUGAUAUAACAUGUCUUUCCUAAGAAUUGUCAAACGGAUUCACGAGAAUUCUGCGUAAGCCAAUCUGAGUUUAUAUACAUGAAGAUGUAGGAUUUCUAUUUACAUCUGAACUUCAUGGUCUUGCCAUUGCCCAUGGAGCGAAGUUGUUCGAACUCACUUGCAAAAACAUAGUUAAUGGCUAUUGCUUUCCAUCUAGAGGUUCGAACUUCUCAUUACUCGCAGAUGGACCUUGUGAACUAUCUAUGGCAAGACUAAUUCAUAUGGUAUGAGGGAAGACUUCAAGGGCAUUGAAGCAAAUGCAUUGUGAUAUACGUCAUCAACUCUAGAGCGAGAAUCACGCAUGGGAAAACUUGUUGGUUUGGAUUUGCCAGUUCAAACCCAUUCAUGCUUCUCUAUUCAUAGUUAUAGAUCUCAGAUUAUGGCGAAUGUGUACAUGAUUUAUUCAUGCUUCUCUAUUCAUAGUUAUAGAUCUCAGAUUAUGGCAAAUGUGUACAUGAUUCAGUAUGUAUAUAUAUAUUAACACAUGUACUUAGAGUAAACUUGAGUUUUUCUUGUUUGUAUCAUAGUAAGACGGUUUCUUUUAUGUAACAAUUUACUUUAGUACGAUAUUGGACCUGCACAUAAUUCAUACCUCGAAGAUGCUAAGGGUGAUACAGAAACCAAAUUAUGAUGGCACAUCAAGCUUUAUCUGUAAUAUGCAUCUAGCAUCAAUAUGUAUACCGGAACCCCAAUGUCUAUGGCAAUGAAGUCCACAAUGAAAGAAAUUUCAUAUGAUUUCUUGAUUCGAAUAAUUAUGACAAUAAUUGAAACUUUGUGAUUUUAUUGCAGAUAGGGUUUGAAUGUCGGCUAAGCUUGGAGGAACUAGCUCUAGAAGUUCAACGAAGCUUCUCUUUGGACCCUUCGUGUACUGCAGAAGUGUAAGUUUUUAUGGGAGUUCAAUAUAGCCUUGCGUUUUAGAAACCCUAAUCAUCUUAUAAGAAAAAGAGGAGGAUUUAAAUGUUCCCUCUUGUAAUACUUCUUGCUACCUUUAAUAUAUUACGCAAGUUUAAGUCUGGUAUAAUCUGCUGAGCUUUCUAAUUUGCAUAGUUCUCACAUGAUCUUUCCUGACCUUUGGGACUUUUUAUUUGCUCUAUCCUCAUAGAUCUACAUGAAAUCUACAUAGGUCACAUGAUCUUUCAGAAUCUUUUGGACUUUUCAUUUGCCCUAUCCUCAUAGAUCUACUGAUGUGUUUGUUCCACACAAAUGCCCGAGCAAAAACCUCAUCUUCUUGAUGCAGAAUUUACAUUUGAAGCUGUCUACAACCAGUCUGUAAGCCUAAUCCGAUUGUUUGUCCAAGUCGGAAUGCUUCUUAUUAGCGAUCACGGUGUCAAGCAUUUGGGAUUGGACCUUGAAAUUUUUCAAGGUUCUAGCUAGUAGUUCAGCAAAAAACAUCAAAUGGAUUAUCAAUAGAAUUUGAAUUACACUAUGCCUAUGGAGACUAAACCUGGGAAAGUAAAUACUUUAUUGGAGUGCAUAUAGCCUUUCGAAACUAUAGAAUUUUGAGUUGAAUCUAAAGAUACGAUCUAACGAAUCAAAGUCAAUAUAGAUCUCAUAUAUACAUGAAACUAGAAUAUGGAAUCAAGACUUUAUAUGAUUUGACAAACCAAACUGAAAUAAAUUAGAGACUCUGUAUGAAAAUCACAGACAAGAUCGAUGGGAUGUGCCGAUUUUAUGAAUUAUUCUGUUUGGAUGUGACUUCGUACAUAUGCAAUCAAAUGACAUCCUUGUUAAGAUUUUGAUUAUUUAUAUAUUACAGUUGAGGUUUUUAUAUAUCAAUUGAAUAAUUCUCAACUUAUAUUUUCUCUUAGAGCUCAUGUAUACUUCAAUCGACUUCCAUAACUUUCCUCAAACACAGAAGAAAGACUACUUGUUUGUGCCAGAACCUAAUGAACACCAAGAGCUCUUCUAUAUGCUCAGAAAUUCCAAGACAAAAUUUCAUUUAGCCCGAGAUCAAAAUCCGACAGUUAGUUAUUUAUUCUUGAUAAUCCAAUUUUCCAUUUUUCGUGAGAUCAAAUGAAACAUGAAAUUUGAUUUUGCUUCAUGUUUACAGAGUGUACAAGGAAUUUCAAGAAUGCCAAAAUCACCAUGGUAGAGAAAGCUUUUGCUUUUGUCAGCGUAAAAGCCCUGCGGGCCUAAAUGCCUCGCUUCGGCUCCCCAACCCAAACGGUAUAUGAUUUAAUCUAGUGCAAAUGAAAUGUGAAGUUGAAGGUGAGGAAAGAUAAUAGUUAAACACGUAUAAUUAAUCUAGUAAAAGGAAUAAUUAUAAUUUUUGCUUGUUUGGAAGUGUGCGAGUCAACGCAAGACUAAGCACAAUUUGGUUUUGGACUUUGGAUGCUAUACAGAAUCAAACCAAACUAAAUCAAUUUGACCCAGAAAAAAUUGAUUAGCCAAAUUAAUUGAUAAGUGUGGAAUAAAUUUAAGUUUCAUUUUGAAAUUCUAUUCAACUUAUUAUCAAGUAAUCAGUGAAUAUAUUCAAGAUUAUUUAUGUGCUCAAUUUUAACUCUUACAUUUUUUUUUCAUUACAAUAAUACAAUAAAGCUUGAAGGAAAAUUUAAAAAAAAAAAAAAAGAUGAUUGUUUUCUAUAACGUAAUUUAGUUAGGUUUGAUCUCAAAAAAUUUAGACCAAGCAUUCAAAGUAGCCCCUCAAGAUGAUCCACACUGGCAAUUUGAACUUGAUUCAAUACAGUUUAACAAUUUCAACUUGGCGUGGACACGUUUGCUAAAAACUUUGUGGAGCAUUCAGAUAAACAGAAAUCAACAGGUGGAGCUGGGACAGGAAGUGGUAUAACACAGCGUUAGAAGGGUCGUAACAUUCCUCUAAAUAUUUUAUUGAGUAGUAAUUUAUGUUACUCUAAUGUGCAGUCGGAUUAUUUCUUUUCUAGUUACUUCGAUGUGUCCUAGGGUCAGGCUUGAGACACUAUCUAUUUGUAAUACACCAAAAAUUGGAAGAUUCCUGUCUGUGCACUUUGUGCGUGUACGUUUGUGAGUUCAUUUUUGUUUAUUUAUUUUUCAACAUUGAACCGAAUUAGGUCACCCUGAAAGAGAGUAGGUGAAAAAGAUAAGUAUCGAUGUUCAACGCAUGAGCAAAAAAGGUUUUCACUUUUUGUCAAGGACAUCAAGAGCCUCCACUUCCUUUCACCAGAGUAGAAGAAAUCAAGGGGGGAAAAGUCUCAAAAAGAAAUGAACAAGUAACACAUCAUUUUCUUCCCACUGUCGUAAAUGGCUGAUAUUGGAGGGCUAAAGAUGAAGACUUCCAUUAACUCGUUCCAUCUCUUUCCUACAGAUCUCCACUAAAAUUUUGCUAACAGAAAUCAGAUCGUUUUCCUUCCUUAUUUCUUGUCCACACCCUACUUUAGCGCCUAGAGAGCAUAGAGGAAUAGCAAGUGAAGCUGUUCUAGAGGCACGAGAGUCUCAAACAAGGACAUUCCACCAAAGUUGUUCAGGAGCUUUAAUGAUAGCAGCCACUUUCGGGACCAGGGAAACGACUAUUUAAGUUAGAUGCCAUUCAGUUUGAAACAGAAAUAAAAGUGAUCCAUCCAGCAUGGUUGAGUUGUCUGUUCCUUGAAACCCCACCCAACUAUGUCCUAACAGUGCCACACCAAAGUCCGCAUAAUCCGCAUCGCCAGGAAAAGGAGUUCCCACAGAAUUUUCUUUUAACAUAGUACAUGUUCGCUCUAAAUCUUUCGGAGGAUCUUCCGUUGAUCUUGUACAGUAGAUAAAAUAUGAUCGUUUUGAUUGUUUUACAGUGUUUUAUUGUUGAAUGUCCAAGUUUGAUGGGUCUUCAACAUUGCCGGAAUUGGAUCUCAAACGCCUUGAACUCGGACUCUGCAAAGAAAGUAAUUACAUGGGUUGUGACCUCGAUGUAACAAGCGAUAGAUAAACACGAAUUCAUCGAUCUGCAAACACACACUUAGUAAUACACGCUCAGAGGUGCAACAAUAGAAUCUCUUUUCUGUAUCCUGUUAAAUAUGACGCAAAAAUGUCCGAUGCAUAGAAAAAAUCAAAUAGAUACCUUGCUAAACCUAGAUGAUAGUAGAAAACCAAAAAUAUAUCCUUAAGUAGUAAAGAAUUCAGAAAAAAAAGAACAAAAGCCUAGACUGACAUGAAUAAUUGACAUAAAAUUAGAAAAGUGACUCUGUAUGGUUUUUGAGAUCUGACUGAUUGCGAUAUAGUGCUCGGAAGGAGAUGUCCAUAUGGGUAUUACGAGGCUCGGGCUCGUAGCUUUUUUGGGUAAAAAAUUAUGGUUGUUUUCUUGCACGUUGUGUAUACUAUCAUCCCCAGCCCACCUCUUGAAUGUUGGAAUGCUCUAGAAAGUCAUCAGCAAUGGCGUCCGCAUCAGACUUGUUGGAACCUUCAAUGCAUUUUAUUGUUCACGGAACCCUUCAAUACUUAAGUUGUUAUAAUGAUAGACCACAAAAGGGGACCCAAUGCAGAAAGGGAUUUAGAGAGUGAGAGAAAAUAGACGGGCUGACUUAUGGGCCUAAAACUUUUGAGCUUUAGCCCUUUAAUGAAAGCUUACUCUUGACGGACCUAUUCGAUAGUCCAUUUACCCUUAGUAGGUGAAUCGAAUAAAACCAUGCCCAUCUCUCUAAGUUGAUUUUUUUCCAUGUGUCUAAUGUCUAGAAGGUUGCUUAAUUGAUUCAUUAAUCAAGGGUUAAGUUUCAAUGAUGUCAUGAUUAGUAGAAACCCGAAAUGGUGGAAGGAAUGAAAUUGAUUACUGAUGAGGGCGUGAUGAAUUAGUUAUUGCGAUUGAAUCUCUACAUGGCUAAGGGGUUUUCAGUAAAUUGCUUUUCUACAAAAAAAAAAAAAAACUUGCAGAUUCGGAAGAAAUAACUAAUAUGAUAAUUGUUGUUAAUAAGUCACUGGACGAUCCUUUAUUAGCCAUUAUGUUGGAUCAACCCAAAUAAUAAUGAUUUCUUAUGCACGUUUUCCUUCUUUUAGGUGCAGUUUAGCAUGUAUUUUUCUUGAAAAUCAAACUUUUUUUUUUUUUACUAUGCACAUGGGUCUUGGCCCUCUCAAUAUGUUAUCCCAUAGAGAGAUAAUGGGCCAAAGAUGAUGGACGAAAAGACUCAGGGGAUUCGAGUCCAGCAUAUUCAUUAGACAAAUUGAUAUUUCUUAACAAAUGUUAUGAGGAAAUAUUAAAGCACAAGAGUUUAAAUAACCAUCCUGUCAUAUCCAUCCAUAAUCUGAGAACUGCAACUACACGCACUCUCGCUAACCAUCAAAUCAAAAGGUAAAGAAGACCACUAGCGAAAAAGCUCUUUUACACCUGCAAUGUAUGCUAUAAUUCCCAUAAAUAUAUAUAAUGCCAAAUUUAACAGUCUCGUGGGGUCGACCCCUACUAAAAACUCUGUUGCCCGUCGGCGUCCGCGUCCCCAAUUUUCCUGGGGUCGCCAUCGAUGUUGUGGCGACGACAACCAUCAUCACCACGAAUCAUCACCACGAAUGAUUGUAGUAACAGGAAAAAAAAAAUUCAAUAGAGUCGAUCUAUGUGAUAUUUUUCUGAAGUACGAUACCUCACAAUGCCACGUGCAUGUCCUUGAAACGACGAAGCACCCCUUGCUCCCUUUUUGGUUUGUAAGUUACCCUUGUGGCCUUUUCUAACUUCGUCGACAUAUGCACUUCAAGUUGAUCUUUGCUUUCAUCUAAUCUCUAAAUUUAGUGGGGCGUUUCAAAAAUGUAUGACUUAUUAAUGUGACGGUGGGUUUGGUUCCAGUCGCGAGAAAUUAUUUUUCAAAAAAAAAAAUUCAUUUCAUAUUAGGGAAUUCAUUUUCAUAACUUCCAACAUACAUAUUUUCUUUGAUCAUAAAUAUUUUUCUGUUGACUAAUCAUUUUCAACAAACAAACAAGUGACAAACGCAGAGGAACACAUCUUGAAGAUGAUUUAUUUCAUUAAAAAAAAAAAUUCUAACCAUGGACUAGCAUAAUUUGUUUCGUACAAAAUAAUGGGAAUCACUUAUUAGUUUUACAACUAGGCAUUACUAUUGACUGAAUCUAGCCAUUUAAAAGCUUGAGUAUGAAGACAAUCCCUCCUAUGGUAAGUUUCAAAAUUUCUCCUGCCCAUUUCUUAAGCUCUAUUUUGAUGAAAAUAACAUACCCGGGGGCCGGCGUAACUUUGCAUUGUAAUCCGAUAGUUUACUCUUUUGUAUCUUUCAGAUUAUAUCAUAUAAUUCAUGAAAUAGCUACGGAUUUCACAUAAUUAAUCUUUUCUAAUGAGUAAGCGGUGUCAAUAAAAGGGCCCCAAAAGAUUUACUUAUGACUAAAAAACCCGCCUUUUUUUUAUAUAUAUUAGCCUUGCGAAGGGAAAAGUUAGGCGUUCGUCCUUGAACGGCGCAAGAACAUGCUAAUUUGCUACUCCAAAAAAACUUCUUAUCUAAUUAAACUUUCCAUAAAAAAAAGAAGAAAUCGAAAUAGGGGUUGGAUGGCAUUAUGGAGUGAAUUAUUAUUUUGCACUGUGUUGUCACGGUCGGGGGUUUUGUCCCGGUGCCUUGUGACGGCAAAAAUAUCUUUCAGAACAUUUGCCUGAAAAGCUCAAAUCGACCGAACGGAAUCAUAAUAAUAUUCAUAUGCGUACCGCGAAAUUCAGACCGUCGUUUUCGCAAUCGCUUGCGUCCACUGCCGCCCGAGGCUGUGUCGAAAUUUUAGACUGACAGUUUCCCCUUCCGUUCAAAAGGAAAAAGGAAUCGUCGGCAAAAAUAUAUAUAUAUAUAUAUGUUGUACUCUGGUUGCAAUAAUUCAUGUGAUUAACCUGUCCAGGAGUACGGCGGUGGAACGAACCUAUCCAUCGCGUCGAAUUGGCUCAGACAAGGUUUUUUGUCCUAUUUGACACGGCCAGACUGAGAAGCAUUCGAAAUGGGGUCAAGUCACCGAAUCGAUCCCCCGUGAUGGAUUGGCCCGGUCCACCGUGGUUCCUGGAUUUGAGCGUAGGUUGUCGGAUCUCCUAACUUUUCUCGAAAGUGAAUGGUUUUCAUCUCAAAGUCCUUCCUGGCAAAUUAUCCCACAUUAGGAAUACACAAUCAGUUAAUAAGUGUGCGGGGAAACUUUUAAACUAAUUUUUGAGAUAAGAGAAAUUCAAGAUCACCUAACAUCAGUAUGAAAGCCCAUAUUAUCAAUAGAUGUAGACUAAUAAGUUGAUGCAAGAGAAUAUCUGAAUUAAUUGGAGCAAACUUAACUCCAUGAGAGCUCUCACGUAAGGGGAAAAUAAUUAGAAUGCACAUGUAAGUUGUGUUAAAAGAGCCUGACAUCGAAAAUUAGUUAAUCUAUAACUUAUUGACUUAAAUUUUAAAAUAAAUUUGACCAAAAAUACUUUUAAAUAGAUAUAGGUGUAACUAGAUAUGUUAAUGGGCUCGUACUGGACUAUUUCCUAAUGAUCUUCCCUAGUAAAGGUAUUGGAUUUUUACUAGGCUCUAUCCUGAUACUUCUCUUGAUAUAGUCCUUCAUUUAUUGUUUGACCGAUGGAUAUUAAAAGCCACUGGUAGUUGUCUUCUUUUCUUUAUCUUUUUUUUUUUUCAAAAAUAGUCUUUUAUUAUAUUAUUUGCAAAAAUAAGAUGCUGGCACGUAUCCUCUUCGUAUAUUUUAAAUUUUUGACAGGACUAUGAAUGAAGGUGCCAUGUCGUACCAUUAUGCUCCUAAAAUUAUCUGUUUCCUUUAAUAUUUUUAAAGUAUCAUUUGCGUAUGGAGAAAGAGCAAAUGCAUCGAAAAGUGAUAAAAAGAUAAAAACAAAUUCUCGAGCAGACCGGCGACCGGGGGUCAGACGAGCGGAGCGAGGCCACCUAUGUCCUUGGUACUGCGGCUUCGGGAACAGGCAAUAGCCGGUGGCCAGCACGACCAAACCUCGUCCCUCCCCACCGUGUGAUAUUACUGCUACUAACCCACGCCUUGGUCUCAGAGCUAUGAACGUGGGGAUUCCUCGCCUUGACUUUCUCUCAUUCCAUGCUUUCAAAUAUCAAUUGAUUUGAGGCAAUUCAUGAGACAUUUUUCUAAGAGGGGGGACCAAAGUUCCACGAAAUGCUCACUUUUCCGACAGCUCGCACGGAAUCUUAUAUAGUGCCUUCCACUAGUUUACCAUAUCAACAACUUUUUUAUUUUUUUAUUCUUAGCUUUUGGAACCUUAGGUUAAUUAAUGAAAUCCAAGUCCGGAUCGAGAACACAUUUGAGACACGCGUGUAAGUUAUGAACUGAUUUCGAUGAUACAAAAAAGUUGACCAAGUCUUUUGGAGCUUAGGGGUUCAGUUUCUAGAAAUCAGUGGCAUGGCGAGGGCUGGCUAUCUCAUCAAAGAUGAGAACGGAAGGUGAGUCUAAAGAUUCAUUAGUGUUGAGAUGCACGUGUUGUGUUAAAAAAGUCUCACAUCCAAUAUUGGUGUGGCUUGAAAUAGUUGACAUAUUUCAAAUGGUUUAUAAUUCAUUGAUUUAAACUUUUGAAUGAAUAUAUGUCAACUCGAUAUGUUGACGGGGUCGGAUUUGAGCUUCAUAUUAGCAAUUUUCCCAAGUGAAAGGAACAAGUUUCUACUUCUCACAUCCAACAAUGGUAUCAGAGUUGAUGGUCGAUUCGUAGUCCACUCUCAAUAUGCAACCUAAGGGAGAGAAAAUCUAAGACUAAGCUCACACAUGAGGGGAAGAUUAUUAAGAUGUGAGUGCCAAUUGUAUUAGAGAAAGAGAACUUGUGUGGUGUGGAAAGAUAAUACUUAAGCUUUUGAGUAAAGAUUGGCUUAACAAGAUUUGUUGCUAGACUCGAACUUGAACUCCCUCUCAGCAAUUUCCCAUGAUGAAGUAUCAAGCUUCCAUUAUGCACAUUACAAUAAAUGGUGUCAAAACCAAUGGCUAAUUAUUGGCUUACUCCUAAUAUGUAUUUGUAUUUAGUGAAUAUCUCAAGAAAGAAAUCUCCUGACCAACAUGGUUUCCAAGUAGCUUUCAUGGUUUAGUUCGGAGAAAGAGACCUUGGAGUGAAAGUGGGCGUUAUGGUGUAGCAAUGCAAUUCCAAUGACAUCCUUCAUGGUUUGGUUUGGUGAAAGAGAUCUAGAGGUGAAGCUGUUGGUAUAGAAAAAUACUUGAAUUAAGGGAGGGCAAACCUAUUAUUGAAGUCAUACAUGAUGGGAUGGGAGAUUGUUGAGAUACACAUACAAAUUCAUAUUAAAAAACUUUCACAUCAAAUAAUUGAUAUGGUGUAUAACAGUUAAUGUAUCUCAAAUGACUCAUAACUCAUUAGUUUAAGCUAUUAAUUAAAGAUGGAUCAAGUUGAUAUGUUGGGACUUUGGACUUGGACUCUCUCUUGACAAUCUCCCCAAGUAAAUCUCCCCAAGUGAAGGUCUUGAGCUUCCGUUAUGUGCUUUAGUUUUUCUACUUUAAGUACAAUUGAGGCUGAGGCCAGAGCGUUGCCAGGUGGGGUGAUUCUCGAGAGAAAGAUUAGGAAGCGUGAAAUUGAAUCUAAUGAUAUGGUGUCGACUAUCGGAGUGGCGCAGGAUUCGAUAGAAAACUCAACAUCAACUCCUAUUAUGUUAGAAUGCAGGAUAUCGCUGCUACGGCUGCAGCAGGUUCAGAUGAAGUUCUUGUUUCAGGAAGCCAGAUCGGUUCGUGGGUGCUUUGACAAGCUAGGUCGACAUCAACGCCAGGAAAUGUAGCUUUUUUAACGAAGUUCCUAUUUGUAUUAUGGGCUUUUGUACGGCUGAUUUUAAAGGAGUGUGGACUUUGCGUAACGUGGAAGUAAAAAUGAGCCGAGGCAUUGGCUGGUUUGUAAUUGAAAUGAGUCAUCAGAGUGUUCAUUAUCGUAGAGACAUUACUUAACAUUAAUAAUACCCAAUAUAAAAAAGUUAAGGUCAAUACGGACCUUCUUGACGAACUGCAAUCUAAGCCCGUCAACUUAAGAACUCCCUAGUUUUCUCAAUCUAGCAUGCCCGAUCCGACAAUCCAGCUUCCCAUGCAUGCAUAAUACUAUAACCAUUGUCCAUACAAUAUGAACUAUAUGCUAAGCACCUAACUCGUGUUAAAAUAAUCGGUGAUAAAGAUCAAUUAUUUGCGCCCUUUAUCGGUGUCGCAGACAAUCGCGUAAUCAUUCAACGCACAUCGGGGAGACACUACGACAUAGAAGCGUAUAGAAAAUGCUUAAAAGGAAACGUGAAAUAAUGAAUCAUCAUGUUAUUUAAUUGCUAAUGCUUAGUGCCAAUUAUGUGUGUGUGUGUAGUUUAUGUUAUCUCAUCCUUCACGUUGCAUUCAGAAAAGCCUUAUCUUCCUUUGGUUCCAUAUCUAAGCUAGGUUAAUUCUCGAGGGUAGAUUGUCAUUCGAGAAAGCUAUACUUUAAUGUAGUUAUUUUGUCUUUAGUUAGAUGACUGAACUUUGAUUUUGAUCUUUGGAUGCAUUCAACUUUUAUUUCUUUUGUAACUAGCGCACUUUGGCCGUUCUCCGAGUAGCUUUGUUGCCAAACUGAAAAGUAUAGUGACUUGCCAUGCAAUUAAAGUGAAGUACGUAACUAUUAGAAAUAUAUUAUCCGAUGUUGUGUAUCUCUCGUACCAUAGUCUCGCAAUCCUGAUUCAUUAUAAUUUAUAAUACUAUACGUUAUCUUAGAUAGUCAUCUUAUAAAACCUAUAGGUAUAUAUAAUUCAUUAAGGUCUAUCGAAAUAUACAAAAAUACUCCAAAUUUGUUUUCAGGUUUUUUUAUCUUAGUAUUAGAGCUAGUCGAUUUGCACCCAUAUAGGAAAAUAUCUUAAUUAUCUAAUAAGAAAACCUAUAGAAAUAUUCUAAUUUCAUUAAUAUAAUAGAAUAUUAUAACUAUCUCUCAUAGUGAACAAUUGAGAAACCCUUAAAGAUCAAUCAUGUGUAAAUUAGAACUAAAUUAUUUGGAUUUCCCAAGCCAACUUUUCGGUAAGUGUAGAAAAUUUGGAUUUCAACGCAUUUGGUGAUUAAAAGUCAUAUUUCACUAAAGUGCAUAUAUCGUGUUUCCUGGGUCCUCUACUUGAAAAUGAGUGUCGAAAUGCACUUGUACAUAUCAUUCAUCCUUGACAAUUUUUUUAAAUUGAUCAAUUUAAAUUUUAGUGGUAUUUGGUGACGCAUUCCUCAACAAAGUCUCUCCACCUACGAGCUCCUUAAUAAGCUACAAACGAGAUAGAAAAGGCAAUUGGAUAAGAAGAACAGCCAGUGAACGUAGACAUCAAUUAGUGGGGGACUAGAAGUCCAUUUUUUUUUCUCCUCACUUUUACAAUUAUAAUUUAUAAACUUCCCUCUUUUGGGCUAAAAUCGUAAUUAUAAUCUUUUGGGGGCAAUUCUACCUAACCAACUUGUCUUAGUUGAGUGGAGGACCUCGACCCGUCUCACCAACUCACCGGACCUGCCGUCGGCGCCAUUCAUGGCCCUGUUGGGUAAGCUCUGACGGACCGAUCCAGUAGCUUAGAACACGCUCAAUCAGCGUUCGAUGGGAUGCCGAUACGGGUAGUCAAGCCGAUAUCAUCUAUAGAACUGAUAUUACAAUGAAUAGAAUCUUUGUUUUAUAGUUUUUGAAGAAUUUAGACUAGCUAGCACGUCAUAAAUUCAAAUAAACCUCGUCAAAGCUCUACUUGAUAAGCGUAAUUCCAAAAUUAUGUUCAUCGCUCCUUUCCAAUUACUCAAGAGUGAAGAACGUUAAAAUAUUCAAAUAUUAAAUCGCAUAUUCAUCUAUCAGUUUUAGUUUUUACAAACAUUAACGGUAGUCUUGAAAAAAAAAAUUACAUGACACCAAAGUAGGGGAUUCUGAGUUUCAAUCUUUCACAAUACUUUAUUUGUUACUCUUAUUAUAUAUUUUCAUGCUUUAAUCUUUGAAUACGGACGUUAAAAUACUUAAAUAACAAACUAAGUCUUGACCUAUCGUUUUGAACUUUUAAAAUAAUUGACUGCAAUCUCACGGAAUUUUGCAAAACAGACCGAAUGAGAAACGUCCAGGGGAAAUUUUGGAAGCAGGCUCAUGUGGGUCAUGAUUCGAAGCGAUCACAUGAAAAGAAUUUGGAGCCAACAAAAAACAAUGCAAUUGGAGCCCUACCGAACCCACUGCCAGGCAGUGGUUCCAUCAAAUCAAACCCAUCCCUUUCAUUAGCAAAAACCGUGUCGAAUGCGUCGAAUUUUUCCAUAAGAGUUUUCAAAUCAUCCAAUGACAUCGCGGUCUUCCAAUCUCGUGACCCUCUCCUGAUUAGCUCUAACUCCUAACUCCACCAGCCCACCACACCAGGAACCCUACCCUACCCACAACCACUCCCAUUCUCUCUCUCUCUCUCCCCACAUUGGAUCUGAUUUCUCGAAUGACUUCAUUUUCCAUUAGCAUUCUCUAUUUUUCCAGCAAAUAUGAAAUAUUUGGGUGCAUACCUUAUGCAAUAGAAAACUUUGCACAAGACUCCUUAUGUAAGUACAUAUAGAGAUUGAGUUUAUCUCCAUACCCUAGCUUUGCCUAUACGUAUGCACUUGCAUACCAAUUAAAAAGAAUACCAUCGACACAAUAGACCUCAUAAAAAUCCAAUAUAUAAAAAGAUAAAAGAAAGAUGAAAUGGCUUUAGCGUGAAUUCGUUUGUUCUCGUUCCAUGUGAAAAGGAUGAUGGUAACCCAUUGAGCAUAGUCAAAAAUGCUGUUGGAAAUUUGACAAGUUCGAAUUUUAUAUUUGGUGACAAAAAAUUCAGCCUGAAUUAUUAAGAUUAGGCGAUAGGGAUGUGAGUGGAGAGGACUGUGCCUAGUAUAGUAUGCAAAAGAUGGACAGUCCCUUUCUAUCUUAUCUAGGAUCUAUAAGAACUUUGGCCAAUCGACGAUAUGAAAUGAGACUAGUAUGGGAUCCGAGUCAAGAACCAAUUUGCCAAUUGGAAGUAUAAUCUAUGCAACUAUGAUUGCGCACAACAAUAAGCAGAAAACAAUGAGAGUCUGUUGUCUAAUAGAUGAAAAGUGAAUCCGGUAUCUUGAUGAAAUGUAUAUUAUUUUUCCCCAAGUUUGGCUUCUUUUUAGGUUUUAGCUUUUAAGUGAAGUUUACAUGGAAAUUGAGACUUAAGAUUUUGGACAGUUUAGGGUGAAUGCCUAGUAAUUGUUGAAUGAGUGAUAUGUGCGAGAAUUUAGAGAGGUUUUUGAAAGUGUUGCGGAUAGGGUAAUAUCGAUAAAUGAGUCCACUGAGAGGAAAGUUAAGAUGACAACGAAAUAAGAAAUCUUGAAAUGAUUGAGAUUAACAUAACUUUGGUGCUAUGAUUAAUGAAGAACUUGUUAAGGAAAAUAUUUUAGUCAUGGAAAAGUUACUCUGAGUGUGAACAUGAUAUCAUGUAAUAUUGUAAUUUGGGAUAAUGACACAAAUAGCUCUUGAACUUUAGCAUAAUAUAUAAUAUGGUCCCUGGUCAUUUAAAUAUGUUCAAUGCAAUCAUUGAAUUUUAAGCUAAUAUUCAAUGUAAUCACUAAAUUUUCAAUUUACUCAAUGUGAUCCCUAAAUUUUUUGUGUAUAUUCAAUGUAAUCCCCAAACCAUACCAAAAUAUUUAAUGCAGUUCUUCCAUUAAUUCAAGAUUAGGGAUAGUAAUGAACAUUUUCAUAUAAUCUGGGAACUAAAUUAAAUAUGUACUAAAAGUUCAAAAGCUGAUGGACACAUUACAUAUUGAACUAAAAUUCAGAGACCGUUUGUAUUAUUUUCUUUUGUAAUUUCCAAUGACAUGUGGAUGGCUCAUUCAAUACAAUAAGAAAAACAUGACCAAGGACAUUGAGAAAAAUAAAUCAUUAAGAUAAGAUAAGAAAUUAGCUAGAUACAUAUUUACAAUAGAAAAAGUCCAAAAAAUCCCAAAUUAUGUUUGCUUGACAUAUUUACCGAACUCUUGUUUUGACAUCAAAAACUUUUAACUGUGCCCACAGUAACACCUUUACUUGAAUUUUUUUCUUCUAACAUCAAAAACCUCUAGCUUGUACCUGCAUGAGACAUGCACCCUCCAUCAAGGUUCUGUCAAUUUCAGCCAAACAAUGUUGUUUAAGCCAUAUCAACACCGUUUGCCUUCCAUCGUCUAUGUAAGCUGAUUUUUAAUGGUGCUUAUUGACAAAAUCUUGUUGGAGGGUAAAUAUUUACACAAGUAUAAGUUUAAGGUUUUUUAUGUUGCAAAAAUUUUUGAAGUAAAUAUAUAACAGUUGGCAUAUUUGAGGCUGUUUUAUGAUUUUUUUUUUUUGUUCCCUUUUUACCAUUUGUAUAUGCCUAACUACAAAAGUAAAAUAGGAGGAAGACAGGCUAGCGAAGGUCAUCACAACCCCAAAGUGGCUGUCGAGGACCAUCUAUGGCUCUAUACUAGCCAUAAACGAAUCAAAAUGGCCACCGAGGCUGCCCAUCUUGUAUAAACCCUCGGCUGCCACCGGCUUGGCCAUAAAGGGCAAUCGAGCGAUCACUUUAGUGCGUUUGUCAAGGUUCUGCACCAAAAUUUGGCUAGUAGCAUCGAUCAUUCGAUGUGCCUGGGAUAAUUGGACCCUUGGAUCACGACUAACUUGUUACUCAUACCGCCCAUCAAUCGAUUUGGCUCAUGCCUAAUCGGGUGGGGCCAAACUUCAUUAUUGAAUGGCUUUCCUCCAGCCUGCCCCAGUUCAUGUGGCCUUUGGUGGGCAUGGGAGUGCACAUGGUUUGCCAAGGCCAUAGGCGGAUACAUGAUUAGUUUUCAAUGCCAUCUGCGGCCCUCCAGGGCAACCAGUGGUCUGUCCAGGCCACCCCUUGAGUUAUUCUUUCAACCGAGAAUGGCCCUCUUGUUUAAACAAGAAAAUUUAAAUAUAAAACUUCACAGAAGCUUACAUAUCACCUUUAGAACGUUCAAGGGCGGUUUUGCAAUGUACCUCUUAAAGUCCGAGGGUUAAUCAGGAGGGUAAAAUGAAAGUUUUUCCAAAGAAAAAAAGCAAAAUUAAUGGACUGGUUAUGUAAUUUAACUAACUUGCAAGAAAUGCUUUGCAGUUCCCCUUGAAAACUACGAAAAGAAGAUGUACGAGAUUUUGCUUCGGGGCUCGUUCAAACCCAAGAUCGUUUGCAAUGUUCAACACAUCGCUGCCCUCCGGUAAAAAAGCAAUCAUGAAAAGCAAACAUCUGCAAAUACUCCUUUCCGUUCAAAUCCACAGGCAGUGAAUGAACAACAGACAACAUAUCAGAGAAAAAGGGAAAGAUUCACGGAAAAAGAUUCAAAGACAGACGACAAGAACAAGCCACUCCCCUCUGCUUCGUUUGUCAAAUCUCGGUUCUUUAAGAGGGUGGUAAUCAUUGCGUCUAAGAGCGUUCGACUUUCAUUUUAAGCAAAGAGAAAAAGGAUAAAGAAACACCUGCAAAUGCACAGUCGCUUUAGGUGAUGAUGAUUGAUUCCAUUCUUGAGAAGGUUUUCAAGGUCCUCUUUUUUGUAGGGUUCAUCUUUUAUCAAAGCCGUACUAAUCACAUCCUGCAUGGGUCUUCCUCGCGGAACCCAAAGGGCACGUGAACGUGGAUAUACAUGCUGCUGCAGCAUUUGUUUAUUCACUUUUACUGAAAAGUCAUGGAAUGAACAGCUUAUAAUCGACAGCCUUUGUUGAAAAAUCUCCAUCUUUGGGAAGCUUAAACAUGACUUUGCGACUGCUGGAAGCAAUCAUGCUGUAGCACCUGUCCAAUCUGUCAAGCGUACUAAAAGAAGCCUGGGGAAGCUGCUCUCAUCUCUUGGGAAUUUUUUUUCUCGAUGGAUCUCGAAAGAAAAAGCGAAAAUUCAAGUAUUGUUGUUUAUUGUCAAGAAAGAUUGGACACCUUCUAUAGUUUGAGUGAUAAUUUUUCAUUACUUCAUAUGUUCAAGAUUGAAUUAUUGUCUAAAGACAAAACUGUGCAAAUUAAAACAACAAAAAUGAUAAACGUGAUGUCUGACUAUCAACUCAUUUUCAAACAGUAAAACAAAAGAAAUCAUUUUUCUCGAUAUGUAUUUGAUCAAUAGUUUACAAAUUGGCAAACAUGGCUGUCAUCCAUGUUGACCUUUAGUUAAAUUUGUAUGCGUGUAAUGUUCAUUAGUAUAACCCACCAAUUUGAUAUGUUAUUGAAGGAAAUUUUCUUUAUAUAUAAAAAAGAAAAAGAAAAAUAUUGUCCUUAGGAUGCAUCAAAGUGCCAUUUUCUAUCUACAUAAAGAGAUUAUUUCAUGUUUAUCGAAUAAUUGUGACAGAUAAAUAAAUAAAUAAAUCGCAAAGGAGAUUUUCUAUGUAUCAAAUUGAGAUGAGUUGGAAUGUAUUUGAAGCAAAUGACACGAUAUUAAACCGCAUCUUUGCGUCAAUUUAACAAUUGCCACGAGCAAAUGCAUUCUCCUAUUAAAAAAAUGAUGAAAAGAAAAAAGAAAAAAAAAAAGCUUUGAUCCUCUUGAAAUAUCGUCAUGGCCCCAAGUUAAAUCGGAAUCGCUAUGGUACCAUUCAAGUCACGAUUGACGCCAUCUCCCUCGAAAGUCGAGGCCAAAAACCUUUAUGAAAAGGAGAUUCGAUCAUGGACAAUCAGGGAUGCGAUCUAUCUGAAGGAAACCUCCUCUCCCAUUUUGCUUUGCACUCAUUAGACGCUACACCUCGAAGCUGUCCUGGAGCCAACCUUUUCAACGAAGCUCGACGUGAAAAUGUGACCGCAUAAGUAUCAAAACUCCAAAAGGACCCUUUUGUGCUGACCUAACAACCGCACUCGUGAAGUACUCCAUAAAAAAAAAGGUACUCUUUAGUCAUCACGCUCAUGACGAUGGUUCAAUAUCAGAUCAGACGUUUUAAUAAGCAUUCAUCUCUCGAUUAACUUCGUAACCCUAGCGUCACAUGUGAAAAUCGUACGUAGUUCACAAUGAAAUUUUCCGAUGGCGGUAUAAGAACCCUAAUGUAGAACUAGUCUUCAUCCAACCGUGGAGCAAGAAGAGAUUCAAUCAUGCAAAAUAUUAUACGAAACAGCAACAAAGUGCAGCUGGACCCGAUGUUCUCUUUCAUGAUUGUUUAUCGUCUUUCGAUUUUCUGCCCACUCCCUUCUGUUUUCACGGAAAUGCACUUCUUUCGUACGUGUCCUCCUGCAAAGAACGAUACGAACGUUUUAGCUGACGAUGGAGAUCGAAGAUCGAUGUUCCUGAAAUGGCUUACAACCCUUGUGCACAUCGCAGGCCCAAGCUAUCUGCUCCCCUUAUCUUUUCGACCCCCUCCAAUUUCUUUUUCCAAAACCAUUUAUUGAGCUGAAAACGGGGACAACAUCAACCACUCCUCUUCGCUAUACUUAGACGAGGAAAUGUUACAUUAUUUUAUGGGCCGAACCAUUAAAAUAAGAGGGUUGAAGGAGACGUGCACCCAUUUAUGAAUGUCGAUUUCCGUACCUUAUAAAAGAAAGUAAUAAUGAGACGCACUUCAUCAGAAGUCAAAGGGAUGUGGCCACUUGAGACCAAGGGAGAUCCACCACCAUCUUGUGAAUCACGAGCGGGAUGGACGAUCGAACCCGUCAUACUAACUGCCAAAAGGGCACGAGAUGUACAUGCCCGUGGGUCCUAACUUAGUGCUCCAAUUUGCACCAAACCCUUCCAUAAUUUGCACCUUUUUGACUUGGGAGAUUUGGCGUUUUUCCCUGAUUAAAACAAUUCAUUCACAUGUAUCGUGGUCAAAAUAGUCUCGUGAGAUCGAACCCCGAAGACACUUCGGCUAGUUUUCCCAAUAGUGGAGUUAAUGCUACUACAUUUGACUUCUGGAUCUCUUUGAUGGCAACGUGUAGGCGGUCCAUGUGCAUCGCGGAUAUAUCUACAUCAUCUUGGACGGGAUCCUAGAGAUUUGUUUUGGUUCAUCGUAUCAAAAGGAGGAGUGCGCUGAAGCAUGCUUAAGAUUUGACUAAGACAAAAUUGACUCCGACCAGUCUUACCUACGAUGACGACAAAUAACACCAUAAUUGCACCUAAGUCAUUUACUCGAUUUAAAAUGUGUGUUGUGAUGGUGACGGCUAAAUUGGAUCAAGUACUUGGGAAGAUCUCCAUUCCCCAUCUCCGAAAGAAACUUAAGUGUAUUCAACAAUGUGAUUCAAGCUAAUUUGCCUUUAUAAAUCAACAAAAUCUUGAAUAGGGUAAUGUAGACAAUUAUUGAAAAUCGUGGAAAUAUACUAACUUAUCCCCGGUUCUCACCCAAAUGUAUUUUCAUAAAAAAAAAUGACCGAACGACUUUCAACUCGUUAAAACUCUUCAGCUUCACGCAACCUCAACACGUUUUCCCAUAGCCAUCUAGGCAUUAUGACAUUUUGACUAGACUGAUGAUUCAACUUGGAUUUUUUUAUAGGUUCCCCACAUACUAAACCUCUUCCAAUAGGAUAAUUCAUGCUUGGGUUCCCCCUCGCUCUAUCUUCAGCGGCUAGACUAAAUGCUCUCUCUCUCUCUCUCUCUCUGGUUCUCACCCAAAUGUAUUUUCAUCAAAAAAUUGAGCGAACGACUUUCAACUGGUUAAAACUCUUCAGCUUCACGCAACCUCAACACGUUUUCCCAUAGCCAUCUAGGCAUUAUUACAUUUUGACUAGACUGAUGAUUCAACUUGGAUUCUUUUAUAGGUUCCCCACAUACUAAACCUCUUCGAAUAGGAUAAUUCGUGCUUGGGUUCCCCCUCGCUUUAUCUUCAGCGGCCAGACUAAAUGCUCUCUCUCUCUCUCUCUCUCACUCUCGCUCUCGCUCUCUCGCUCUAUAGCUAGGAGUCUCUAGGCAUAAGCUUCAAAGACAUCAAUUAGAAGAUCGAUUUUUUCUCCAUAUUAAAUGAUGUGUUGAGAUGUGAACAACGCUAAACUUUACUGAGUCUGAUAUGUAAAAUUGAUUUACUAAGUGAUGUGUUAAUCUAUAAUAGACUCUUUUGAAAAGUGGAUCGUAAUUGAGAAUUGAUGACGAGUCCGAUGUAUUACUUAUUAAGCCAAUCUUAUAGAUCACAUUAAGGGCGCAUUUGAUAACUAUUCUAUUCCGAAAAUAAUUUUUUUUAUCAAAAAUGAAUCUUUUUUAUUCUAUUUCUGGGAACAAAUUUUAAGUAUUUGAAAAUAUUUGGUAACUGUUCAAAAAUUGUAUUCUCGGGAUAGAAUUACGUUUAGCACCGUCUUCAAAAUUUCUAAUCCAAAUCAUUUUAUUCUAAUUUUUAAAUAAGUUUAUUACUUUUUUUUCUUUUUCUCUUCCUUUCUUCUUUUCUUUUAUCUUCUUCAUCAACCGGUCGCCGGCCCCUAGUGAGGCCAUGCCUUGUCAGCCGAGCCCUGACUGGGCUGGGCGACCCUCGAUCUCGCCCAAAUCUAGCAAGGCCGAGCUUGCCUAGCCCAACUAGGGCUCGGCCGAGCCUCGCCCGGCUAGGUGAGGGUCGUCGAUGGCAGGGGGAGGCCGGGGCGAGGCUUGCUGAUGGUUGGGCAAGCCUUUAACAAGCUCGCUUGACCUCGCUCUAGCCGAUCACCGAUGACUAGUGGUGAUGGACGAUGGCGGGACGGUGGAAGAAGAAGAGAGAAGGAAGAAAAACAAGAAAGAAAGAAGAAGAGAAAAGAAAAGAAAAAAUUUUGAUUCUGGAAUUGUUUCCGGAAACAAAAAAUCAACUUUUUUUACUUCUCGAUUUUACUGGAACAAAUUUGUUCCCUGGAACAAAAAAUUUACCAGACGAAUUUCUAUUUCAAAUCUAAUACUAAAAAUAAAAUAAUAGAAUCAAACACUAUGGGAGCGGUUGUGAAAUGCACCUUAAGCCUUGCAUUUUUUUCGAGGUGCAAGUCACCAGGAGCAUGAGCUCUUUCUACUCGUGGUAAACGGACAAGGAAAAAUGAGUGAUAAACAAGAGCCUCAUUUCCCAAGAGAACAAUUUAUUGAGAAGCGUGUUUGGUGUGACAAAUUCAUUUUACAUUUUAGCAAAUUUUGAAGGAUGAAUUAUAAUGUUUUUAAAAAAAUAUUCAUUUUUUAAUCUGACAAUAAAUAACUAAUCCAUAUAAGAUGAGCUGAGCAGUUAUAUGCAUGUAUCAUAUUCAAUAAAUUGAUCAUAAAUGAAUUUAAACAUAUAGUGAAUAGACGUUGCUUUAUCAUUCUUCUCACUCUCGCCUUAUUUUGGUAUGACUUUUGGUAAAUGAGGUUGAAUAUAUGCUUAUAUAAGUUGGAUCGUGUUGGAUAUGUAUUGGGUAUAGGCCACUAGCUUUUCAUUGUACGAAUAUAAGUCUAUUAGGGUCAAAUCAUUUGUGACCCGAUCCAAUCUUAAACCAACUCUACCCGUUCAAUUAGUCUAAUUUGGCCCUAAAUGAAAGUCCGAUUUCAAGUUCAUUAAAAAAAUUAAUAAUAAUAACGCCGCAAGGGGUACUACUAAAAUCCAUAUUUGAACUCCUUUCAAGGGACAUAAUUUACUAAAUCGAAACGCAUUACACUAAUUAUAUACAUUAGGGGCAUAUAAGUAAUGUUAUUCUUCCUGUUUCUAGAGAUAUGCAAUUUUCUUCCUUGAUCUUUGAGAGAGAGAGAGAGAGAGAGAGAGAGAAGGGAAGAGAACAGAGGAUUCGCGUGAGCCUACGAAAGUGGAUGUUGUACCAUAGCCUCUAAUAAUAAUGUCACUGAAGAGUCUCCCACUCAGGUCCAGACUCCCAUGCGUAGAAUAAAAUUCUAAAAAAAAACACAUCACGAUAGCUCAUUGCCGCGUCCAUUACGAAUCCACCACCGUUCAAGAACAUUCCCCGGGAAUACCGUCGUAUUGGCACGAAAACAUAUUUUGUAAAACCUUUUUGAUUUGUACUUACUAUUCGUAUAUGGGUCUCAAAUCUAAAAAAGAAGAUAAAAUAUAUUAAUUAGAUACAUUGAUGUGGGGGCCGAUGGUGAGAACAUUAGCUUGAAACUCGCAAACUGUCUGCAUUCUUUUCGCUAUUACUAUGCAAUGGUAGAUAUGGUCGAGCUUAUGGGUCCAGCUCUUGCCAAAUCGAAUUUUGAGUUGGAAGUUUGGAGAUUGAGAUUGGAGUCGUGCUUGGAAGUGUCGGGGUCUGUAGCUAGUGCGCAUGGAGUGGGCUGCCUGCCACCUCGGCCACAUAUGGCCGAAGUACCGUACAACUCCCACGUUCUUUUCUCUUCCUUGUAAAUUUCUCUUGCGUACUCUUGCGUUUGAUAAUUGCCAAACUCAUAAGUUUCCCCGUGAGUUCACAACGGUUGAUAUCGGAGCUCGAGUCGAAAUAUCUAAAGUUGAUUCGGGAUAUGAAAGUUUUGAGUAGCAAAACCCUCCUAAAGAGCUCCACAAGCAUUUACCUAUUCUCGCAUAAGCAGACAUCACAAAGUAUAUUAAGAUGGCAUCAUCUAGAGACUAUUACAAAUAAGAAAAAUGAAAGUCUGAAAUAUCCUUAGGGUUCAUGGAUGCUUGCUUAACCCGAGUGACCACGGACAGUAUGUCUUGGACAAGCCUACAUCAAGGCACUCACAAAGACUUAGGAAUCGAGCAAGCACCCGGUUAUCGUGAUCCACACACGGCAACACGUUUUUCAAGUCUUAUUUUGACCUAUUUUGUUUAGAAUACAAACGUGGAUAUGCGAGGCUUUCUCUUAGGUUUUCGAGUGAAACACAUGAGUGAUUGGUUUUCAAGAAACGUAUGAAAAACGCAUGAGUGAUUGAUUGUGACUUUGUAACUCCUCGAUUAAUAGCGGAUUCCUUUAUGGGUGGCUUUUUUCGUGUGGUAGGUAUCAAUGCUCGGAUGGCAACAUGCGAAUUUCUAAUGCGCGUUAUGAUUUCUCAUUGAAAUCUCCAAUAAUUUCAACAUUUUGCAUUUGAUAUGUAAUUACAAGAUACACGUUAACUUUUGCAUUAUUUCACAACAAAUAUAUACAUGUAAACAUAUAAAAGUACAUAUAUAUAAACAUACACCAUGAGCGAAUCUCUAAAUGACUCAUAUUACGUUAUCUAGUUAGAGCAUAACUCGUGCGAGAAGACUUCAUGGCUUGCUUAGGAUUAUGGUAACGAGAUUUCUAACCUUAUGUCUUGGGGUCGUAGGUGAUGUGGAUUAACUAUUGCUCAAAUUGAACUUUUCAUAGUGCAAGUGGAACCUUAUGACAACGCUCACGGAGAUUACUAGUACUGAUUGCCCCUUCUCACCAAUUUACUAAUGAAAAAGAAGCUUCACUUAUUCAUUGUUUACUUUUGAUUUGGCAAGAUUCCUUUGGCGGCAGCUUAAACGUGAUCAUAUUAUAAAAUUAGCAAGCACAAGAAGAAACUAUUAUCAAUGUAAAUAAAUGGCCAGAGGCCGACUGCAUCAUUCAUAAUUAGUAUAGGCAAGGGACUUGAAUCCAUCUUAUAAUAUCUCAAUUUUGAUAAGUUUCAAUUUGUUCGUUAAUAGAUGUCAUAUGUAGCAAGAAAGCAUUCUCAAUUCACCUAUAAAUGGAGAGGACGCAUGUCUUAAUAAAGAGUUUUGGCCGUACAUUUAAGGUAUACUUGUUUCAGAAAAAAACUUUCCUCAUAAACAAAAAUACUUUUCGAUAAAUCAUCAUAUAGAAAGCUACUUUCCCAUUUUGAAGUUAGGGAAUUCAAUUUCCUAACUAUAAAUACGCAUAAUUUCUUUAACCAUAAAUGGUUUUCUGUUAACUAAUCGAUUUCAAUAAACCAAAUGCAUGAAAGUCUAGAAAACUAAUUCAUGGAGAAUAUAUAUUUAUUUAAACAAACACACCCUAAAUGUCAAUUCAAAGAGAUUUGAGGACGACAUGCUUUUUUCUGUUGUGAUUACCUGAAUUUUUAAAUAACUCAUAUGGUACUAGGGAAAACAAGUCUACCUUUUCCCCUUAAAUCUUGGUACAAUUUAAAUCUACUUUUUCCCUUAAACUUUGCCGCAAAUCUAAGAUUCGAUUAAUUAAGUAAUAUAUAAAUUUCAGAUUUUUUUCCAAUUUGACUAAAAUAUCUUGUCUCCAUCAUCAAACAGAAUAAUUUGAUUAUGCCGAUGCAUUAUACAAAAUUAAAUGAGGCUGAGUGAGCCUAGCUAGGCAAGUCGGGUACAAUAAGUGAAUGGUUUCUUGAAACUUGCCCAAAUUUAUCCUUUUAUCAAAUUAGGGCUAGUCGAAUCGAAUGGACCGCUGGGCUCUUGAUCAAGUCCACUAUUUGGGAACUCUUAAUUUUCUUGUAAUAUUUGAAAUGUAACUUUUCUUCAAAAUCAUAUGCAUAAAAUCGCACAUCUCUUUGUACCAAUUUUUUUUAAAGAAAUACUGAAACGUAGGAUUCAGACUCUUAUAUAGUUAUCCAAAAUUAAAAUGUUUAGAGGGGAAAAAUGCUAUAAAAAAAAAAACCGUUUCGGCGAUAUUAAAUUAGAGAUAUUUACAGGAAAAAGAAAAAGAAAAAAAAAGGAAGAAAUUCUUCGCGUGGAAAAACGGAUGGGGGACGGGAGGGGCAAUUGGGUAAAUCCGCGUCGCGACAGCCGAGGCUGGGGUACAGUAAUCCCGUGUGGUGGCGAGCACUGAGCAAGAGAGGGAAUCGAGCCCCUUCCCGCCGUCCAAUGGACGCGGGAUUUGUUUUAAUCGUCCGAUGGUACGAAAGAAGACGCGUCCUUCCCGCCUUUCGAAUUCGGCCGUCAUCAUUCGAGCACGAUCGAUGAUCAUGAUGACAAUUGACAAACGCCCGUGUUAACGGCGUCGUGUCGCCUCCGUCCCCCGCCGUCGGUGGUGGUAAAUACUAUAUCCCCACACGGCUUCAGAAUUUCUUCCUUUCAGGCUCCAAAAUUCUCUAAGGCACAAAUAAUAUUUUGGCAAAAUUUUAUGGGGAGUUUUGAGGAAAUAUAAUUACAUUUUCCAAGAUCUUUAGCCCAAGAUAGGUUGGAGGUGCUUUAAGAUGCGAAUUGACUUCCGUUGUCGAUAUUAAUUUUGCGCUCACUAUAGUUUUUGUAGUUAAAGAAAUGUGCUUAAAAACUUUAAUGGUGCUAGCAAAGGCCUGGCAAGCUGCCGCCAGCUAGAUAUGGCUGCUGGCGGCCGAUUUGGCUCUCUAAUAGUGGAAAGGGUUGAUAAUUUUUUAAAAGAAAAAGCUAGCGAAAACCCUUUGCAAAUGAUAGUUUUUCUAAACCGCAUUUAAGUCAAAGUUAUUUCUCAUGCGUUUUUAAAUUACACUUUACCAAAUGAAUUUUUACAUUUUUAAAAUUAUUUUUAUCUAAAGUCCUUUCCAAAGCCAAACCCGAUGCACCCAACUGUGGGAAGUGAGACCGUGACAUUUAUUGAGUGGUUUACACCUGUGACCUUUGAUCGUAACAGCACCACACGUGACGCUUUGAAAAAGCCAUUUUGCUUUAGAGUUGCUUUUGUUGGCUGACACUUGUGCUUAAGCUCGAGUGCCUUUUCUUUGAAGGGAAGACAUUAUGAUUUGAAUAUGAGUUCACUUAUUUAAAAUAAAGUGAUUUAUCACUCAUAAUUUUUCAAGAAUUUACGGUGAUCUAUAUUAAUAAAUCUGAAAAUGCCAUGGAUAUCCCUUUAAACAAAUCAAACCAAUAUGUAAGUGGAUAAAUUUUGUUAGCGCGUGAUCUAGGAAGGUCGUCAAACAAAAUCCAGAGGAAAUAUUCGAUCAUCAAAUUACUAGCUGCACAUGUUUCGGGGACAUGUCGGUGGAUUGAUAAUUAUUACAUUUCUUUAUAUAAUUGUUUAAAAAAGAAUAUGCCAAGGUACUUUUUAGUAAAACCCAUAAAUGUAUGGACUCGAUUCAAAUUCAAGAAUCAUUUUGCCGUAGGCGGGGCCAUGUCGCGUUAAGGGAUAAACUUUGGUGAGCGACCAAAAAGAAAAAAUAGAAAAGAAAAAAGAGAGACUCACGAGUGGGCCCCACGCGCUCAUCUCGGCCGUCAUAGCAUAAUAAUGUUACGAGCAAAUUGGAGUUGAUUUUCCGUAGAUUGGGCUGAAAGAUUAAAAUCUUGUUGGGAACGUUUUCUCUAUACAUUGUUUUUUUUUUUUUUUGGGCAAGAACUAUUAGCAGCCGCCCUAAGGUGUCGCUCGUUUAUUGGUGGUUCCCAUCGUUCACUUGCACGUUUAGCUACAUGCUAUAACUCAACAGCCUUCAGAUUGGGCACUAAAUUUGCACCGCAAAGAAGUUCAUAACUAUUUUUUUUUUAAAAAAAAAAAAAGGGAAACCCUUCUCGAACCUCAGACCAUUGGUUGUAGUAGAAAAACUUAGGAGGAGAAGUAGAUGAAAGAGAAAGAUUGGUGGAGAGGUUUGUAUUUGAAAAAAUUAUAUUGUGUAGUACAGUUAAUAAGUGUAGACAUUAUUAGGAGUGAGCAUGGUAGGUUUCAAUUCAAAAAAUGAAGAGUGUGUUUCGAUUAAUAGGUUUCAAGUUCUUAGUUGGAGGAAAUUAUAACUUGGAUUUGAAACCUAGAACCUGUAACAAGUUUUAGUAUUUUUCUUAGUUCAUAUUUUUGUAUGAUCCUCAGAUAUUUCAUACUGUUCAAUGAUAAGUGUAUAAUCUGGAAGUAUUAGUCUGAGUUUUCAUUUUAUAACUAAGAUUUUUACUUUAUUAAUAUUCAUAUUUUUCAUAUGUCUAAAUAUAGGUCAUGAUUAAUGAAUAAUAAUAUAUGUAGAAUCUAAAUAGAUUCUGGAAUUAACCUUGGAACUUGUAACAAUGUAACUUCCAGAUUUUAGGGUAUGUAGGAUAGGUUCCAAGUUAUAAAAUUAAAAAAAAAAUGAGAAAUUUGUUCAAAUGAGUAAAUUUCAAGUUCUAAGUGAAACAUGUAUGGAACUUGGAACCGUUUAUCUCUAGACACUACCAAUAACCUACUAUCACCCGGUGAACAGUAGCUAACUCCUGUCCAUUUUUUCAUUUAACAUUGUGAAUGUCCUUUUGGACCCGAGAGAGAGAGAGAGAGAUCGAGAUCAAAUCUUUUGAGAAUUCUCAAUCCAUGUUUUUUAUAUGAUGAAAGUAGCAAAAGAAAAGGAAAAAGAAAAAGAAAUUAUGCUAUGGGCUUGUGAUUUGAUUACACGGAAAUCUUUAUAAUGUUAUGGUGAUGGCUAGUUGAGUGGACUCAUGAUAAUUCACUAGGGAGAACAUUCAAUGGUGUUUGCUUGUGGGGCGGUACUCAUUGCGUGGCUAGACUAGAGCUAAACCACGCGUAACUUGCAAUGGUGGGAGAGAUUUCAAAUCGAGACUAUGGACAGUGGUCAGGAAUGGAAAAGCAUGACCAAGUUUGCUUUUCUUACCAUAAACCUAGUUUUGACUUUUGACUGCAUAACCCAAAGCUUCACGAAGUAAAGAAGGGUUCGAUUCUAAGGUUGAACCUGACAUUGCAUCUUUAAGACAAAACAAGAAGACCUUCUCGAGAAAAGGGUCUUCCACUUGGAAAAGAGAGAGCCCAUUUUUUUUUUUUUUUUGGACAAUUAGAGAGCCCAUUUGAGAAGGUAAGAAAGUAUCACAAUCCCCUCCAAGAAACGUAGAAGCUACUUGCUUAUGGGAAAACCCUAAUAGAAGCUAGCCAAUCUGGUUCUCGAGAGUGUAAUCAAGUAAUCGAUCGGCAUGUUUGCUUUUUCUCGUUCAAUUCAUAUGCUCAAAUAAAGUGGGAACUUAUGAUGUGUUUGUUUUUCUCUCUUUCCAUUUUGGUUCUUAUUAUCAACUAUCCAGACGCCGCUCCUACAGAUCAAUUGUAUUCAUCCCCUUUGCAUCACUCAUUUUUCACUUGAUAACUCCAAACUUCAUUCACAAGGGUUUACGAAUACAGGAGGAUUAGGAACCGUGACAUUCUCUCUCAUUUAAUUCCGUAACGCCCUUGUUGCAAGCUAUUUUGUUGCUUCCUUCAUUUCCUAACCAAUGAUGCGCCACUAUGGACCAUACAUCAAAUGACAAUACUUGCCGAAUAAAACAAGCUGCUCCAUUGGUAGCUUCUUUUGAACGUAGCUGUUCGGGCUCCUUCAAUCACUUGUCAAGUUGUCCUUUCCUUGCUUGACAAGUGUGGCAUUUUUCACCAAUUGCACCUUUUUGGCAGCAUCUUAUUUCGCCUAGUUUGCUUUUCUUGAUCCUAGUAGACCAAUGGAGGUUUCUUUCUUGAUUGAAAACGUGGCAAGUCUUCUUGAGAUUCGCCAAUUGAUUCAGGAAUAUUUUCCCUAUUUGGUGAGGAAUUAGUUAUUUUCUGUACGGAGUUUGAAACUAUGGACCGAGACUACACUAAGGAACAAGGAAGCUUGACUGAUCCCAGAAGUUGGUCGAGAGCCACAAUUUGUUCGAACACCAUUUGCCCCCGCAAUUCAGUCUUUGCCUUUGUAAGACCAAGUAGAUCAUAGGUUUUUCUUGACUCAACUCACUUACUAGAAGGAUUCUACUUUAAUACCAUCCGUCAUGAUCGAUAACCCUUGGCCGUGAAAUAGCUUGUGCAAUGCCUGGUGAGUAGAUAACACGAGGCCAACCUUUGUUUUAUAGUUGUUUCAGAAAACAAUACAGUGAAUUACUUUCUCAUAUCAAAUUGUACCACGUUCAGCUUAACUUGAGCAUCUAAUUCAUCUAGCAAGAUAGCAAUCACUAUAGAAUUAACAACUAGUUUCGAUCUGCUAUGAUCUCAUCAAGAAAGCAACAUUAACUCCUGAUUAGUUUGUACAUGGAAGAUCAACCACGCCUUCAAAGUUUUGUAGAGAUAUAUUUGUUAUAUUCUGAAACUCCUAGCAUCAACCGUUUGACGCCACUUUCAUAAACCAGUUAUAUUAUCCCCUUUGCAUCACUCACUUUUCACUUGAUAACUCCAAAUUUCACUCACGCGGGUUCACGAGUAUAGGAGGAUUAUGGACCAUGACAAUUGCCUGUCAGCUAUAGUUGUCUAUGGGGCUCCCGGCCUUGGGUUGAAGAAGAAGAAGAAAAACUAAGGAGGGGAAAUAGAUAAAAGAAAAAGGUUGUUGGUGGGGUAUUUUUUGGAAAAAAAUUAUACGGUGCAAUGGGGUUGAUAAGUGCACUGAAACACUACCGAUAAUUCAAUGUCACCCAGCGAAUAGCAAAUAACUUCUGUCGUUUUCAUUUAAUUUAGUGAAUUUCCUUUUGGAAGAAAAAGAAAAGGAAAAGAAAGAAAUGACAAUAAACUCUUUUGACAAUUCUCAAUCGGUGUUUUGUUAUUGAAUGAAAGCAGGGAAAAAAGAAAAGAAAUUAUGCUACGAGCUUUCGAUUCAAUUAUAUUUAAAUUGUCAUAUUGUUACGAAAACGGCUAAUCGAGUGGAGUCGCAAUAGUUCAAUAGGGGGGACAAUCGAUGGUGCUUGCUUGUGGGGUGGUACUUAUUGCGCGACUAGACCAGCGCUAAACCACGCGUAACUUGCAAUGGUGGAAGCGAUGAGGAAUCGAGGGACUAUGGACAAUGGUCUAGAAUCGAAAAGCAUGACCAAGUUUGCCUUUUCUUACCAGUAACCUAGUUUUGACUUUUGACUACAUAAACCAAAGCUUCACAAAGUAAAGAAGGGUUCGAAGCUUGGGUUGAACCCAAAUUUCAUCUUUAGACCAAAUUGUCUCAGAAGAUAUUAACCUUCUUGAGAAAAAGAAAAAAACAACUUGCCAUGAUUUCAUCCGAAGAUUAACAUUAGCUCUUGACUAGUUAGGGCAUGAGAGGUCAUUUUGCCUUCAGAGUUUCUAAAUAAUAUAAUUCUAUUCCAAAACUCCUAACAUCAACUAUUCUAACGUCAUUUUUACGGAUUAGUUAUAUUCAUCUCCUCUAUAUUAUUCACUCUUUACUGGAUAACCCCAAACUUUACCCACAAAGAUUCAUGAAUAUAGGAGAAUCAUGGACCGUGACACUUGCUCGUGGGGCAGUACUCAUUGCGUGACUAAACUUGCGCCAAACCAUGCGUAACUUGCGAUGGUGGGAGAGAUGGAAAAUCGAGAGACUAUGACCAACUUGCUUUUCUUACCAUAAACCUAGUUUUGACUUUUGACUGCAUAAACCAAAGCUUCAUGGAGUAAAAAGGGGUUCGAUGUUUGGGUUGAACCCAAAUUUCAUCUUUAGACCGAACCGUCUUAGAAGAUAUUUACCUUCUCGAGAAAAAGAAAGGGGUCUUACCCUUGGAAAAGAGAGAGCCCAUUUGAGAAGGUAAGGAAGCAUCACAAUCCCUUCCAAGAUGGGGAGAAAGCUACUUGCUUUUGGAAAAAACCCUAAUAGAAGCUUAGCCAAUCUCAUUCUCGAUGGUGUAAUCGAGUUGUGGAUAGGCGGUUUGGCUUUUUCUCGCUCAAUUCAUAAGAUCACAUAAAGCGGGGAAUGGGUCGGGUGGAGUGGAAUGAAUGUCUUCGUUUUUUACCUCUUUCGAAUCAGUUCCUUAUCGGCGAGAUACUUUGAUGCCGACGAGUCCUUUCAUCUCUAAUGAGAUCGAGUGCAUAACUGUUCAUCCUAAAACUUUAAUAUGCUAAAGCAUGGGUUGUAUUGUCUGUGCUUGACCCGCCCUCUCACACAAAGAUUAGUAUCACGACCAAAGUAUAAAGCAUUCAAACCCUUUAUUGUGAAUUGGAUUAGUAUCAAGAUCAAAGAAUCUGUUAAGCGCUCAAUUAUUCAAUCUAAAACCUCAAUUUAUUAAAGCAUGGUGCAUGUUGUAUGUGUCCAACACGUGCUCUCACAUGAAAAUAGAUACCAUGAGAAAGUCUAAAACGCGUGAAUUGAGCACGUGUAGAUUUUGGAUGAAAGAGUUGUCUCCUAAAUGAAAAAGUAGUUGUGGACAAUCUAACUCGAGGUCUUUAAAUCAAAUGACGCAUUAAAGUGGAGCACUCAAUAAUGCAUUUGAAAAUUCAAGCUUUUAAAGUCAAUAGCCAGACUACUCUAGGCAUCGAAAUCAGGGACUAUACUUAGGGGAUUGAAGUGAUCUUGCACCAGUGAUUGAUCGAGAUUAGAAUGAGGGAAAAGCCGCACUCAAGUCUGAUUUUCUUACCGGGAUCCAUUUCGGUAAUUUGCAAAAUUGUACUAGGCAGUUGGACUAAUUUGUGUAGAACCGCAAAUGUUGGAAGUCCUUUUCAACUAUUUCUUGCCAUGUCAUGAAUUUUUGUGGACUUAAUUAGGUUCUUGUCAAGACCCGUCACCGAAUAAUGAAUCUAGUUUCUUGUCAAAAUCUCGAGCUCCCCAACAAGGCCAAGAAUAAUGCUCGAAAAUCAUAAAAUCGGACGCCUUAUUACCACAUGAUUGAUCUUCCGACAUCAAAUCAUGUGAAUUUCAUAUAAAACCCAAUUUAAAUUGGUGGGCGAUAAGCUUGGGGAUCUAUAUGUACAACACUCGCGCGAGCGACUCCCUUCAAGGUCUCUUCUCCAAGAUUGACAUGGCGACUCGGGAGUGACAAAUGGGUGAAAAAUCGAAAAGUCGGGGGGACCCACGCGAAAGGAAAAAGUUCAGGAGGGGGUCGCGAAUUUCUUCGGUCAAAAGGGGUUGGGGGUGCCAGAAAAGAGAAAGGGAAAGUGAAAGCGAGGGGGUGAAAGAAGGAACAUCCGCCUGUCACCUUGCUCAUCAUUAUGUUGCCUAAUGCAUGAUUGUUGCUUCGAUUCUCAUCUUCCUCCUCCCUUUCUCCCCCUUCCCUUUGACUAUACAAAUAAAGAAAAGCUAAAUUUCAAUCUCGCUUUUUUCCUGCAAAAUUGCUGGCUUUUUCUUCCCACAAAGUCAGCUUAGAGUGGUUGAAAAACAUUCCGCAAGAUACAAAAAGCAAACGGCAGUAACUAGUGAAAUGCGUGCUUGCAGUCGGCAAAACCUUUUUUUUUUCCCCCCCCCCCCCCCCCCCCCCCCCCCCCCCCCAAAAAAAAAAAAGGCAAAAGUCACAAAAAAAAUUCUAAACCGUGUUAUAAACCUUUUUCUUCGAAGCUGAAAAUUCUAAAUUUAUAUAUGUGUAACACAUUUAUCCUUUAAAUGUAAUAAAAAUAUAUUAUUUUGACCGAAAAAAUCAUAGAUACAAGCUAGGGUCAUAAGAAAAAGUUUAAAAUAAAUAUAUCACAUAGUAAGCAUAUUUUAGAAUUUUUUAUGUCCAAAAAAGGUUAAGGUAAACAUGUUGUGAUGGGCUAAGCAACAUCGAUACUUAUAUGCAAUACGAUAUGACAUGUUGAUACAUCGUUUCUCAAAAAUUAGAAAAUUCUAACAUGUUGUGACACAUAAUAUGUUAAACUAAUAUUUUUACAUAUACAUAAUAAAUUACAAUUUUUAUGAUUAUUUUAAUCAAAUCAAUUUAAUUCAAAUUCACAAAUAAUCAAAUAAUAGAAAAAGAGCCUAGAAUGAAUUUACACUAAAAAUAUUAAUCCACCAUUUAUUAAUAUCAUUCAUUAUUUCUAUUGGACAAAUUCGAGUCUAUCCUAAUAAUUCAUAAAACUUAGAGGAAAAAAAACAAGCAAAACUUUUGACCUCUUAUUUAUUGAAAUUUUUUAAAAAUUGACCCCGUGUUUAUCGGAAAUCUAAACUCACAUGUCCUAAUUAUGAAUUCAAGUGUUGGAGAGUGUUAGGAAAGUUGAAAUUUCGACACAUGUUAUUUGAAUGUUCAACACAAGACAAAAACUUUCGGAUAGUAUCGGUGCUCUUAGGCAGUAGGCAUAAUUUGAGAUUUUUGAUGAUUUUUUUCAAAGACGAAGCAUUGGGACAAAACAAAAGCCAAUAGCGAUGGGUUAAAUUUGAACAAGAAAUUCGAUAUAAUAAGGGGCACUAGUCUAUUUCUUGUCUGUUUUGUUUGGUUUAUUUCAGUUUAAAAAGUUAUUUGUUAAUUUAAUUUUCCUACUAAAACGCAAAGACUAUUUUGAUGUUAAAAAACUAUAAAGCCCCCCCCCCCCCCCAAAAUUACUUCAAAUGAGCUUAGGAGUUCGUAUUUUCACUAUCAAGUGAAACGCAAAGCUCAAUAGCUAAAAGAUAAAAAUAGAUAAAAGAGAAAUAUCACUUCGAUAUUUGUAGUCUGCAAUUUUCAGUGAAAAUAUUAUUUGUUACUUGCGUUCAAACUCUUUUUUUUGUUCUCAAGCCGGUUGGGUGCAUACUUUCCAAAUGUCUAUACCCUUUUCAUCAUCUCAUUCUUUAUAUAUAAGAUGAAAAAACUAUUACGACUUACCCCUUUCUUCUAUUUCACUUCGAAAACAUGCGAAGACGGCAUGUUCUUGUUUUGUAGUUUCACGAAAACGUGUUUUGAGUUUUCAUGAAAGUAUGAAAAGGCAAUUCAUCGGACGUCUCUCGACCAGUUUCUUGCUUAUAAAAAUUUUCCUAUGUCGUUGAAAAGGAUGACAUAAGGUACGAUAAUCUUUUAAAUAUCAAACGUGCCUUGCAAAGAAAUUAGGAAGUCGUAUUAGUGUGUGAAUUAAUAAUGUCCUUAAUGCUAGUUUUCCCAUGCCACAAGGACUGCACUACUCCAAGAAUUAUAGUCCUUAGUGCUUUUGACUUUGAGCGCUGGGAAUACUCGCCUGGUGAGGGAGGUGGGACAGGCAAACAGAAAACGAGGUGGUACCUAUCUCAUUGUUAAAUUAGGUGCAAGGACAUCAUGCGAUUAUUUAUAGGGCCGAUCUAUUUAAAUAAGCAAAAACCCAUUCUACAGACUUAGCCAAAAUAUACUUUGCUUUUAGCGAUUUCGUGUUCCGAAAUAAUAUUCACUGGCAAAUGGUACUUUUUACUUCAGGAUAACACCACAGAUCAUUAUCACGAUUAAUACAGGACCCGCGAUGACCAGGUUAGAUUCACGUGAGCCGUCAUAUGCUUAAUAGCAGUUGUCGAGUACUGGUGAUUUGAAAGGCUGGUCUUUAUUAUCGAAGCGGGACUUCAAGGUGUCUUUUGAUGGAUAGGGUUUUCUAAGCGAUCUCUUUCACUAUAUAGUUUUCUCCCCUCGGUCCUAUCCUCACGUUGUGACAGUAACAACCUACGGAUAAGCUUAUAAGAAAAGAGAUUGGACAAUGAGAUGAGAAAAGAGAAAGGUUGAAAAACAGACAGCAUGCGUUAAAGGCAAAAUUGAUAUUAAACUUGGGAAGAAAACAAGCAUUAAAUUAGAUUUGCUGGGAUGGAGAUGCAUGUUAUUCUGCAACUCCAAAUGCAUCCAAACGGAUACCGCAAUCUCACUCCCUCAUUCCCAUGCAAACUCCUUUGACCUUCCCACGUGACACUGACUCCCUCUCCCACCCGCUCGUCAAAGUCCCCCACCUCCCUCGCACGUGCCGGGACAUUCGCACGUGCCAAGCCGGGCACCGAAUCUCGGAAAGUGAGUUCCACUCGGUUCGAUUCGAUUUUGAGUAGGACUCGAUCGGCUUGUUCAAAAUCAUAUUGAACUAAUUAAAAAUAUUGAAUUUUACUUGAAUGAAUUCAUAUCGAUGAGUUGGUGUGCUGGAAAUCUAUAUUGAUAGUUAGAAUAUAUUCUUACUUUGAGUUCAAUAUUUGAUAUAAAAACAGAAGAGAGUGAAACGUUUGGUCUGUCGUAAUCGUGCUUUUGAAGAUUGAAACGGUCCUUAUUAAACAUGUUUAACGAGUGCCUCCACUAACAAAAAACCUUGUAGAAACGGAUUAGUUUGAUCCUAGAUAUGGAUAAACUAAUCCGGAUAGGGGAACACGUUGACCCCGCAACCAAACGGGCGGAGAAGAUUUCGGAUCUCGAGCUACCGCAUUAAUGAGUCACGAAAUAUAUUAAGUUGCCACGAGCAUGUAAUGCCAGAGUCUUCGCUUCCGAAAGGAAACCCUUCAUUUUCCCAAAGAUGGAAAUACCUUUUUUUAUUUAAUUUUUAGUAGGGAAAAAAGAAAAUUAACUUUGGAGAUGGCCCUCCAAUGUUAUCCUCUGUACUUUUUUUUUUUACCCUUUCCACUUUAUGGAAAUUCAUAAAUUUUCUAUUGUAUUUGUAUCGUAUCGAACCCUCGUGCUUAACAUGUAGAGGCUUUGUUUGGAGUUAUUAUGGGUUUUUGCCUCACUUUUUUCAUUUUGGGUAGAGUUAUAAAAUUGAGUGCCCAAGAAUUUGAGGGUUAUAUAGACUUUGGCAUGUAUAGUCACUAAGGAACUCGAAAUUUAUAAAAUCAAUUUUUUUUUCUUUUGUAGUUCUCAAAAUAUCUGGCAGAAAUGACUAAGUACCCUGAGGGAAGACGUGAUAAAAAGACCCUAAAGCUUGAGAAUUGAAGUAGCUUUGGCCUUUCACUUUUCGCCUUUUUCAAUCUUGCGGCGCAUGUUGUUUGGUUCUUUUUUUCUUUUUAAAUCUAUAAAAUUUCAAAUAUUAAUAUGGACAUAUAAUUUUUUUUUCAACCUGGAUGAUGAUAUUUUGAAAUUUGAUGGUAAAAAAUAUAUUUUUUUUGACAAUUUGUUACCCAAAAAAAAAACCCAGAAAAUCAAAAUAGUCUUAAAUUUCAGAUGGGAAAAGUAGUAUAGAGUGAGAAUGGAAUUGACAAAUAUACACUGAUGACCUAAAAGAUAGCAUUCAAUUUUUUUUAAUGGGAUCAUAUUCUCUUGCAUCACAUUAACCCAAGUGUUGCAUGAUGCAUGUUGUGUACUGUCCAGAAAUAUUAAAAAGUGGGAUAUCCCAAGAUCCUAAUUACUUAAAAAAAAUGUAUUUUCCCCCCUCCAUACAAGGUUGAAAAAGAGAAAAAGAUUAGAGAGAGAGAGAGAGAGAGGGAACAAUUUUGACAUUCUGGAUUCAGUAAAAUGUUGACUUUGGGGAACAUCCAUGGACGGAGAGCAAGUGGGAGCUCACGAACCCUAACGCAGCUGCAGAGAGCUGCAGCUGAGAGAGAGAGAGAGAGAGUAAAAAGAGGAGGGGAAAACAGGACAGUGCUGCAGAAACUUUUUGUUCUUUUGCCAAUGGACAAAGAGCAAGAGAGGGGUACUCAAAGAGCCGCACAUCUCUCGCUAUCUAGCCGAUUAGACAGAUAGACUGGAUUUAAGAUUUGGGUAGUCAAGAUUUGGGUCUUCUCUCUCGUUCUUUUCGAUCUUCCUACCCAUUUCUAAUGCGUUUAACAACCCCCAUUUCUCUUUUCUUUUCUAUAUGAUCUUGUGACCAUAUCCAGAAACCCAACUGCAGCAGCAGCAGCAGCAGCGCGCACGACGACCCCCCUUGAGCUUUUUUGAUCGUUCGUUCGUUCAUUCAUUCAUUCAUAUGACUGUAGCAUGGGUAUCGGAUUGGCCUAUCCCUGUUCCUCUCUGCCUCUCUCUCUGUUCCUCUCUCUCUCCCUCGCUCUGUCUGCAACACUUGCACAUAUUCUGAUGCUCUUUCCGCUGAUUAGACCAGACGCUUACCGGAAUUCGUGUCCAGUGUCAACGCCGUUAGAUUUUCGAAAAUAGAGUUGUUAGGUUGUCCUUGUCAAAGACACAACCUCCCUCCCUCUACAAAGCUCAGGCACCAUAAAAGACUUUUUGGCCCCAUGUGAGCUUCUGUAUGUGCGAGAGAGAGAGAGAGAGAGAGAUCUCUCUCUCUCUCUCUCUCUCCCCCAAUCUCUUUCUUCCUUCUGACCAGCAUCGCUGCCACAGCGUCUUUCGCUAAAGCGUACGUGAACAGCCUCCCCAAUAAUAAUGCCUCAUGUCUUCGACUUCUUUGAUCUUGCAAAAAAAUAAAAAAAACGCAGAGGAGCGCGGGUCCCACCCUCCAUGCAUUAAUAAUAUUCACAGCUAUUGAAUGCCCUUUAGCUGGGCCCCUCCCCAGCUCACCUUUUUUUUGCUGCGACUAAUGACUAAUGAGAGGGUGAGCCCCACCGCCACCCCCACAAACAUCCAUCUGCAACCUCUCCUCUCCUCCUCUUCCCUCCUCCUCUGUUCUUUCUUUUGGGUUUUUUCUAGGAGUGGAAGUGGAGGAGGUGGUAGUUGAGUGCGGGUGCAGAUGCAGAGGGUGCAAGUGCAAAGGGCAGAUUUCAAUUUGGUUUCCAGAUGAAUUUGAGCAAAAGAUCUGAUGUGAUUGUCUAGAAGUGGGGCAUUUGAGAUUUUUCUGAGGCGAGGAAGAUGGGGGGCAUUUUUUUGGUGUCACCUUUUCUUCUUUCCUUCGUAUUUUAUUAUGUCUCCAGCAUAUAUAUAAACACAUAUUAACAUCUCAUAGAUUAAAAAGCAAAAGAGAGGAAGGAAGAAAAGGCCCCACUAAUCCCACCCACCCCCCAUACAUAUUUCUCAAAGUACCUCCCUCCCUAAUUGAAACUUACAUUACCUUUUAUCUCUAUUACAGAUUUAAUAACCCUACAUCUUUUUGCCUUAGGAUAUGAGGGGAAGGGGAAAGGAAGAGGAAACUAAAAUUUUAGAAGGAAGAAGGCAAAAAAGAGAUAGAAAACCCAUCAGCAAGUGUAAAAUAUAACAUGAGAUUCUCAGUUACCACCACGAACUCUUAAAGACCAAAACACCACUUUCAACAGCAGCAACUCUAUCUAUAAGCAGGCAGAAAAGUCUCUCACAUCACAUUGCAACUUGAUGGGUUCUCAUCGCUGAAGUAGCUGUACCCCUCCGUGUGGGAGGGCGGUGGCGGGUAUGGGUAUGAGCCGGCAUAUGGGUUUGGGUUCGGGUUUGGGUACUGGUUUGGGUACGGCGGUGGCAUAUAGUUGACAGCUGGCGGCGGCCGGGCGUACAUCAUGUGCUGGAACCUCUCAUUGCCCAUAGCCCUCUGCUGAUUCAUCACUUGAGCUAAGUACUGCUGUUGUUGCUGCUGUUGCUGCUGCUGCUGCUGCUGUUGCUGCUGGUGGUAAGGAUUUCCGGGCAUGACUUCCAGCCCGGCGCCAUGGAAGUAGCCAUCUGCUCCGCCCACUCCUCUGCUGCCGCCGCCGCCGCCCAGCGAGCCGGCUGGGAGGCCUGGGACAGCCGGGAAAUUGCUUGGCAUGCUGCCCAUAUGACCCAUUGGAAUUUUCAUACCACCCAUCUGCCCACCACUGCCAUUAGCAACAUCACCCAUGUGGAGGAACCCAUUUUCCAUUCCGCCACCCUUUUUGCCGCCAUUCCCAUUGAUGUUAACGCUAGGACCACCACCGCCAUUCUUGUUGUUAGGGUUACCGCCAUGGUUACCAUUUUUGGCAUCACCCCCGUUCUUGCCACCAUUUUUACCACCACCGCCACCUUGGUUUUGAUUAUUUCCUCCUCCGCCUUUUUUCCCACCGUUCCCAUUUUUGCCAUCAUUGUUCGGAAUAGGCGCACCUCCACCACCGCCUCCUUUCUUGCCAUUAUUACCAGCACUAGCUCCAACAUUUCCCCCACCCUUUUGGGCAUUCAAGAGCUGCUGGGCAUGAUUCCCAUUCAUCAUCUCAUUCAGCAUCAUCAUGUUGGGCAUCUGGCCAUUGCCCAUCAUUGGCUUCGUCUUGGUGGGUGCUGGGGGGUAGGCAUCAUCAUAAUCAUCAAAAUCCUCAUCAUCCAAAAAAUCAUCAUCUUCAUCAUAAUCGAAAUCAUCAUCAGUGAAUUCCUCAUCCUCGGGCAGAAUGAAUUUCCCUCCUCCUUUCUGGUUCAGGAUCGGACCCGGGUCCUUGGAGGGCAUCUUGAGGUCCUUGAAUUGGGGCAGCUUGAGAUCUUGCAACGCUUUCAUCUGCUGGAGCUGCUGAAGCUGCUGCUGAAGCUGCUGCUGCUGGUUCAGAUGUUGAAUCUGCUGCGGGGUCAGAUGUGGAAGCUGCUGCUGGUUCGGGAGGUUCUGAC
rnacentral:lncRNA from 1 species